rnacentral:lncRNA from 1 species
CUCAGUAACGCGGGCUUGUGAUCCAAGUGGAGACUACAGGGUGAUGGAACGUUCGAUCGAUCCACUGGGCCGGGUUCGGGCGGGCUUUAAUCUGGCCUGCCCAUUCCAAGUUGGGAGUUGAGGCAUGGGAUUUGAGCGAAGGCUUGGAUCAUAUGCCUCUUAGAGUGGGGGAGAUUGCGUAAGGCUGGUUUCACAGAGCAGCGUCAACCUCCCGCUCUCGACGGUGGAAGGAUAACGGGCCGUUGCCUUUCGAGCCCACUAUGACCCAGUAGGCUGAUCUAAUUGAACCAUCACUUUUUGAUUUUUAAUUUGGUUGGAAUUGUUUUUUAGUAAUAAAUGCAAAAAAAAUGGCAUUAAACUUAUUUCUUUGAAUGAUUUAUCACAUAUAAAUACUAAUUGUGCCACCUCAUUGACGACUUCUUUCAAUUAUAUGGGAAUAAUUGGUUCGUUGUGGAAGUGUCAUUUAUUCUGGUAGUUUUAAAAAUAUAUCACAAUUUGCAUGAUAAACAAGGAUUUGGGUCGGUUCAAUAUAAAACAUUCGGGUCGGAUCUGGAUCUUUUCAAGCUCAGUAUUUAUUGGUUGAACACUGAUGUGUCGCCUAACGCUCUCCUAGCUGGCCAGAAAGAGACGCGGCUGGUGCAAAGUCUUAACACUUGGCAACAUCUUAUUGGUUAAAAGAGCCCCCCGUGUGGCACGUGUGGAGUUUUAUUUCAUAUUUCUCUUCCUUCACCGUAAGCUUCACCCACUGGAUCUUCCCAAUGGUUUCUCUGCAGGCAUAUCAAUAUUGGUUGCGAGUUUAAGAGAGAUAAAAGUGUUUUAGAAUGGCGAUGCCUUUGGAAAUGGCGAUGCAUCUGACCAAAACGGUGUGGUUUGCUCUCAGCGGCUGGAUUUUCACAUGUUUAACUAUCGCCGACGAAAUCGCCGGUUCUCUCCGAAACCGAGAAAUUGGCCCUUUCCAUGUUGGAUGAUCGAUUAAAAGAUUCUACAUUCCUUUAGUGUGUUUUCACCAUCUCCUAUCCUUGAUUUAAGAGAACUGUUUCUUUUUUCAAUUUUUUUUCCCUGAUGAGAAUCGUCUCUAAAUCACUCCAAUCCCUUAAACUGAAGAGCUUGGAUUUAUAUAUACAUAUAUAGAGGUCGUUUGGUCGAUGUAAAGAGGAAUUGAUUUUAUAUAAUACGUUUCAAUUUGUGUGAGUUUCUGUUGAUUUGAGAAAAUAAUGUUGUGUUUCUGGUAUAUUGUUACGGGAGUUCUUGAUAUUGAUGCUUCUUUCUUGUUACUUCAAACUUCAAAGUGUGAUAUCAAGAACUCCCUUUUGGUUACAUUGCCUGAUAUUAAGCUUUGUAGAGAAUUAUUCAGAUGUCUAUAGAAUUACAAAACAAAAUGUAGUUGCAGUUGUAAUGAGUAAGGAUUUAUGUCAGAAAUACAUUCUAAUGUAUAUCUUAAGCAAAUAGAGCAACCAAGAUCACAUUUUUUUGUAUAACUCAAAUGUUCUAACCGAAAACUUGAAAUAUUAUUCUAAACAAAUUUAGCGCGUUAGGGAUCUUUUUCUUUACGGAUAAGUUAUUAAGCUUUACUUCUUUUUAUAGAAAAACAAAUUAAGUUUCUUCUUUUGCCCAUCUUGCUUUCUCUUUUAUUUUAAUUGUUAUUUUAUUUUAAAUUUAAUAAUACUUUUGCUUCAUCAUUAGAAAAGGCAAAGGCAAAGGCAAAAGUACCAAAGGAAUCGUCAAUGAGUGUGCCUUGUGCAAUUCAGUUUCGUUUUUAUUCUCAUAUAACAUAGAAUAUCAGUGCAGAGCUCAAUUUCUCUACAGCUCAUUAUCUUUUUGGAUUGGAGACUAAGGCAUGUUAAAUUAAUUUUUCCAUAAUCGGUGUUAACGUUUUCAACUUUUAAUAUUUUUGUUUGCUAAAUUUCUGUUAAGUUUAAUCCAUAAUUAGAAGUAACUAGCAGAGUAUCACUCCUGUCUAGAACUAUUAAGUUAAAUAAACAGGUUUAUGAGUGAAAAUUCUUUUAAGUUUUAUAUAAAGUUUGUGUAGGUUAUACCGUGUUGUCCACAUUUCUCCAAAAAAUAUUUUAGUGGAAGUAUUUGGCUAAGUUCAAAUUUAGAAGUUAUAUGCAGUUUUUAAGGAUCUUGACAUUUUAUUUACUUAUUGCAACACAGUUUACUUUGUUUUGAUUUAUGAUUAAGCUCUAAAUAUAGGGUCAAAUUAAAUAAAGACUUUCCUUAAUUAUCCAAUAAAAUCAAAUUUUGAUAUCGUAAAAUCAACAUUACCAUCGUCUUCUUUAGUGUUUCACCAUCUUCCACCUCCAACUUACCUAGACAGCUCCUUUCCACCUGUUUUCUUUCUCUCUCUUCUCCUUUAUAUUCUCCGACAAAGGAACAGCACAAGAAACCCAGAAAGAAAGAAAGAAAGAUUGUUCGAAACUUUAAAACAACGACGCCAUUUGUUCUUCUUUCCCCUGCUGAUUCGAAAUUAUGGGUUCCUCUGCUUCGAAAACAGUUUCUUCUUCUUCUUCUUCUUCUUCUUCUUCUUCUUCUUCUUCGUCUUUCUCGGCGUCAUAUUCACCUCCGGAAACAGUUUCUUCUUCCCGAUUCCCGUCGUCAUCUACGACGGUCCCCAGAGCUUUCUCAUUUCCGAUGCCGUCGAUUCAUCAUCCACCGGUUAAAAAAGGCGACACGCACCACCUUGUCUCCCUCACAUCCACCACUUACGGUUCUCUUCUACUCGUCGAUCUCGAUGGACAAGCAUUGCCCCAUAUCUCCGUUUCCGGGGAGAAUCAUAAGACGACGCCUGAACCGGAGGAGUCACGCGACUCGUUGUCUCCUGACUCAGUCAUUAACACAUGGGAGCUCAUGAACGAUCUCGACGACGAACUCGGUUUUGAGAAUUCCGUUACCGGUAAGCGUAAUUCCGCCGUAAAGUUGGAGUCUUUCUCUAAACCCAUCGCGAAACGAGACGAGGGUGUGAACGGGUCUCCGUUGAAACUGGACGAAUCUUACGAGAUCGUGAGAAUCGAAGAAGAUGAGGAAGACUGGAUUCCAUUGCCUUCUAAACCCAAGCAACCUCUGUGGAAACAUUUGUCUGAAGAGUCUUUUCUCUCUGAUUUAGAUCCUAAUAUCAUCUCGUCUUACAAGAAAGCAUUGUCUUCCAAACAACUUGGCAAAAACUCUAAAUCAGUCUCUUGCAGCCAGUCAAAUCAAUCGACUUUAAUCAGUUUACCAGAAUCUGUAUCCUCGAGUUCACUAAGUGCUCAGACAUUGGAAGAGCAAGAGAAACCAAGAUUGCCAGAAACAGAAGACAACAAGAACAAGAUAGUAUUGUACUUCACUAGCCUGAGAGGAAUUCGAAAGACUUAUGAGGAUUGCUGUUGCGUAAGAACGAUAUUGAGAGGGUUUCAGGUUGCGGUAGAGGAACGCGACAUCUCAAUGGACUCCAGAUACAGAAAAGAGCUUCAGAAUGCACUUGGCGAAGAGAAGCCGGUUUGUUUGCCAAAUGUGUUUAUAAGAGGCACACACAUUGGUGGUAUGGAGGAGAUCAAGAAACUCAACGAUGGAGGUGAAUUGAGAGAGAUGUUGAAAGGGUUUCCUGUUUGUGAAUCCGUAGGAGCUUGCGAAAGCUGCGGGGAUGCAAGGUUUGUGCUGUGUACUAAUUGUGGUGGUAGUACUAAAGUGUUUGAGGAACAAGAAGAUGUGUUUAAGAGAUGCAAUGGAUGCAAUGAGAAUGGAUUGGUACGUUGUAACAAGUGUUGUGUCUAGUGAUUAGAUUUGUUUCAUAGAUGUUCUUGUGAAAGGGAGGAAGAAAAAUUAGAGAUAUACUGUGUUUUAAAGAUGUGUGUUUGAUCCGUUGUGUUCCAUUGAUGUUCUUGUGAAGCGAGGAAGAGAAAUUAGAGAUAUACCUUGUUUUAAAGAUAUGUUUGAUCGAAUAUGUUUGAACAUUGGUCUAAAGCACAGUAGGAGUCCAAUGUUCUUCUUAAUUAUACAAUGAAAUACAGAGGCUGACGUAUUUGAAGAAGUAAAAUUCGUUAUAUUGCCUUUCAACAGAUAAGCUUUUCCUUUGGGAAAAGCCUGACCUUACUUUAUCUGACGGGCUUUUACAGAAUCUUGGCGCAGCUAGAAGACGAUGUAGUCCCUUGUGAAUCACAAAUGGAGAAUUGUAAAACAAAUUUGGAAGUAAUGGCAGAAGAUGAUGUAGUCUCAUUGUUUUAACCCCUUUACUUAAGCAAUAGUAAAGUCAGAAGAUAAAAAUUUGGUACUGAAGUAACGCAGUCGCAAAUUCCUAUUGAUCAGCAAAUUCUAUUCCAUGAUUAUUAUCAGUUUACUAAUGACGUAGGUUGUAAAGAAACAACUAGAUCUUUAUAGUUUUUAAUCCUUUUAUAUCAUAUUUUUUCCCUUUCUUCAGAUCCCGAUCUCUUCUUGGCGUGCCUUUGGUUUCACCAUCAAACCAUGGCAGAGUUCACCAGAUAGUAAGUAUCACUAGAAGCAGAAGCAAAACCUAAGGUGGCAAAGUUGAUAGUCUCAUUUCUACCAAAAAAAAGAAACACAAGUUAGUGUCAAAUAUGAAUUUAUGAGCUUCUAACUUAAAAUUAACUGGCAAUAAAUGGAUUGGCAUUUACCCGUUAUAUAUUAUUUUACAAAUUCUCCAACUAUCGAUAUAGAAGUUUUACAAUAAUUAGAUUUCAAUUUUGUAACAAGCAAUAAAAUUAUAUAUCAUAGUGGCUUACUAUCGUAAAGGCAAAACAAAAGUUUUUCCACCCUCAACUUUUUCAUAAACUACGCCAGCUCUCAGUCCCCAUGAUUUUCCAGUUUUGUCAAGCAGCUGACUUAACUUGUUCAUCUCCGAAGCUAUCAAAAUCUCGGUCUACACCCAGUCUGGUAAUCUCUUAGAAUCAUACAUAUUGGACCUUAUAUCAAUUGUACCUGUCAGUUGUUGCAUUGUUUUACAUUUGUCAACUUUAAAAGCUUCAAAUUGUUUUCAGAUAGAUAUGCAAAAUUAUAAACGUUUAUAAGUAGUAGAUUAACGAUUUUUUUAGCGUGCACCAUUUGGUCUUUAUAGUGUUUUCAACUACGUUAGAUUUAAAAUUUUAAAUUAAAAAUAUAUUUGAAAAAAUUAAACUCAUUUGGAAUUAUUGAAAAUUUUAUAUUAUCAAGUCACCAUAAUAGUAUUUUGAAUCUUAAUUAGAACGUUUUAACAUUUAAGAGCUUCAAAUUGUUUUCAGAUAGAUAUGCAAAUAAAAAAAUAUAUAUAUUUGGCAUUUUGGUCUUAUGCUAAUCAUCUUGAAUUUCGGACUAUCAUGUUUGAGUUUCCCAAAAACCAGUGCCACUAAAUAAACAGCUAAAUCGCUCACCUGCUUGGCCAUUGGCUACCAUUAAAGUCUGUUACCAUUACUUUAGUAUAGAUCUGUGACAAGAAUGUUGAAAUGUAGUACAUAAGGCCUAAGACAUUGUUGAAGAACUCUUCAAAGAUGUUGUUUUGUUUGAAAGACACCUUUUUUAUUUGUUGUAAUCACUGUAUUGUCAAGAAAUUUCUCUAAUUUGAAUUUCAGAUAGCGGUAUUGUUCUGCCAAAGUGGUAUAGUUAAAGUCAAUGCGGUGCGUGGCAUUGCAGCACACAUACUUAGCCGAGAAAGUAUAACCGGACUGAUUUUGGUCCUGCAAAGUCAUAUAACAAAUCAAGCUUGGAACUCCUUUGAACUCUUCUCGUUCAAGGUCGAGUUAUUUCAGGUAUAUAUAUAUAUAUAUAUAUAUAUAUAUGUAUAUAUAUAUAUAUAUCUUUAUCUUUAUCUUGAUUACCUUGGUAGAGUAUGAGUUGUUUCGACUUAAUUCUCAGUAGGUUGAUAACAUCUUUGUUGCUGCCUUGUUGUAUUGUUAGAUAACCGAUUUGCUGGUUAACAUAACCAAACAUGUCUUAAGGCCAAAACAUCAGGUUUUAAAUGAUAAAGAGAAGAAAUCACUUCUCAAGAAGUUCAGUAUUGAGGAGAAACAAGUAAGCAAGUUUUUUGUACUUGGAUCAUUGCUAGGAACUCUGAGCCAGCUUUCUCUAAGCUAAUUUUUUUUUAUAAUAUAUAUGUAUUUAUGUUUCCCUUUUGGUUAGCUUCCUCGGUUAUCGAAGCAAGACCCGACUGUGCGAUACUACGGGCUAGAGGAAGGGCAAGUCGUGAAGGUCACAUACAAAGACGACCUCACUGAGUCGAAUGUUACGUACCGAUGCGUCUGGUAAUUAAGAUCGUUCUGUUUAUUUAGCUUUCUUGUGUGUAGGAAUCAGUAUAUCAUGUAUUGAUGUCAAAACCUGUUAAGUUUUUGUUUCUUUUGUGGUCUUUAAACCAAACAACUUUAAUAAUUAUAAGUUUGUGUUUCAUACUUUCAUAUAGAACAUAGAUAUACAAAAUUAUGCAUGAGCCUUAUAAAGAAGGCUUGGUCAACUAUGGACGAUGGUCGAAUCUGGCUGAAUCUUGUUUGACCCAUGUGUUGACUUUCUCGGCUUCACGGCUAAGUCUUUGCUCCUCCAAUCUCGCUGCCUUAAGCUGAUGCUCUUGCUCCUUCACGGAAAACGUUCUUGUGUCCGAUAGAAAUUUGUCGUCGCCGGUUGGCCAGCUCUGGUCACCGGUGUUGCCCGUAGUACUUUCCGUGGUAUCUGGAUCACGAGAGCAGCACAAGUUUGAGCCCAUGUGGAUCAAACUAUAUCUUUGAUAGAAAGAAUUAAUCGGAUAUGAAGGAAAAAUAAAUUUUUUAUUGAAGAUUGAAAUUCAAGAACAAAUACGAGAGAGGGAUUGGUUUAGUGUUGGACCAGAAUGUGUUAUUUGCUGAAUAUUAGUGGUUUGAAAGAAAGGAAAAAAUGCUUCAUUUUCAUAUAAAUGUUUAUUGGAGUAUGACAUCAAUAAUAAAACAAAACAAUUUUUUAUUGCUAACUAUUAUUGUCAUUGACUAUUCUUUUGAGACUUGAAAAUUAGAAGAAGAAAAAGUUACAAAUCAAUUACUUGCACUAUAUGGAACGAACUAACGGAGCAUCCCUAACAUGAUUGAACACUUUGAAUUGUUAUUCUUGGUAUGUUUUGUCCGUUCCAAUUCAUAUAACACAACCAUUCGAAGCCUACGAGUUAAGACCAAUUUUUUUUAAUGCUAAUUUGAUAACAUGCAAAAUUAACUUAGUUUAAUUUUCCUCUAUUUUUUUAUGCUAAUUGAGAACAUAGAGGAUAAGGUUGCUCAACCACAUGCGUAAAAUGUUAGAAGAAUCUUUAACCUAAAAAAGAAAAAAAUUAGAAGAAUUUUAUGAAUUUAUCGUACAGUAUAUGGAUAAAUUUUCUACAAACAUUUUUUUUUGUCGAAAUUUCUUUUAAUUUCCAGACUAGUCACGUGGGCGGCCAAAUAGCACUCCAUGUGUCGGCUCCUGGAACGCUACAGCCCAUAUGUGAAUUCCGCAGUAGCCGGGGCUCAAACUCGUGAUGGUGAGUACCUCAGCUGAGGGUCCUCUACAAACAUGAUAAAAUGCACUCGAAAUUUUUGUAAUUUUUUGGUUAGUGGGUGAAGUUGUAAGCGUGUAUAUUAUGAUGGUCAGUAUCUCUUGAUUUUUUCCAUCUUCAUUUUUCAAAUACUUUACUGUUAACACUGCUCCGACACGAAUAACCUCUCUUUCCCAAAAUUGGAAAAUCUAGGGUUUCGGCGAACUUGAACGUGAUCGCAUUCGCAUCACCCAAAUCACCCAAAGUUUCGAGCUGUUAACUGGUUUCAAUUGCUCUCUUCCUUGUUUGAUCCGAAACAGUGUGCGAAUUUUUCCCACAUUUGGAAGAGAAGAGAGACGAUGAGCGACGUCAAUGGUGAUCCCGCGGCAGUGAGCGAAGCCAAGGGAGGUUCUGACGCCGCACGGAUCGCGGAAGUGAAGGCGUGGCUCAUAUCCCAGUUUGAAGCCGCCGGCAGAGAAGUCCCCAAUUUCGACUACACUCAUCGAAGCAUCGCCCAUUUGUAUAAUCUCGCCACCGCUUCUCAAGCCAAGUCCCAGGCUGCAAGCAUUGUCGCCAACGAUUUUCGUCAAAAGGCUUCGGAAUAUCGUGCUCAAGGUAUUUGCUUCUACUCCCUAAUUCGAUUUGCUUGUCUGCUUCGAUUAUGACUCUUGUUGUAAUCAUCAUGAGUUUCUCAUCUGUAUUGCUGUUCUGGAUCACGCUAUAUAUACUGUUUGAGAAAAAAAAUGGGUUUUUUUUUCUUGGGGAUUAUGUUUCUCUGUUUACUGGCUGUGUGAUUUGUAAGAUCUCUGGGUGGAAAUUUGUUGAUGUAGCGGCUAGGAUUAGAGAGAUAUUGGAGAGUGCGGGAAUGGCUCAAGAGAGCUUACCUUCGAAUGUGGUCUCUUCAGCUCAAGUUCUUGCAAAUGUUGCAAAUUUGUUGAACAUCAGGGACACUGAACUGAGCAGGUGAGUUCACUGCUAGCCCUCUUAUUAGGCGUGGUGUUUCUAUCUCGAAAUGGGGAAACUUAUGCAGAAGAAAUGUGUCUAGUUUCCUUGUUGCAAUGGGAGACAUUUCUUUGAGGAAAACUGGAGUGGAGGAGAAAAGGGCGAAAGCACAGAAAGAGUCCAAUGUUCUUCUUGAUUAUACAAGGAAAGCGAUACAGAGGCUGACGUAUUUGAAGAAGUAAGAUUCUCGAUAUUGAAACAUGGAUAUUGCACUUUUGAAAAAAGAUAAGCUUUUCCUUUGGGAAGAGACUGAUCUUACUUUAUCUGCAUGGGCUUUUACAGAAUCCUUGCGCAGCUAGAAGACGAUGUAGUCCCUUGUGAAUCACAAAUGGAGAAUUGGAAAACAAAUUUGGAAGUAAUGGCAGCAAAGGAGGAACAGUACAUACAGCAGUACAAGAAGUAUGAGGUAGACGCCUUCUUCUCCUUUCAGUUUUUACAUACUCCUUUGGUAAUAGGUAAACUGAGGAUCAGAUACCUUUCUGCAAUUAGAUCUGUUGGGGGCUAUUUGAGAAUCAAAUACCUUUAUGUAAAAACUGGAACAAACUCUUAGCACGCCGAAACAGGACGGAUUAGUUUAGUAAUGGUCAAACUAUAUUCUUGCUAGUAAUUAAAGGAUAUAAGUUACUUUUGAAUUUGUUAACUGUUAUAUCAUAACAUACAUUCUGAUAAAGAUCCAGAUCGUAUAAGAACUACUUUGAUGAUGUUGGCUAGCAAAGUAUUAUAAUCGUACCUUUUCCCUUAUGUAUUUUCUGGGGAGCAGAUGUUGCUCAACCGUGUUGGCUACACUUCUAAGAUCAGCCACAGAGAGCUGGUGGAAAUGGCAGAACACAGGAAGGAAUUGGAGAAGAUGACAAAACCUGUCCUUGAUACUCUAAGAAGCUACCAGGACUUGCCUCCGGUAAUUUUCUUACUUCUUUUUCACUGAGUCUAAGAAAAUGAUGCAUCUCUCUGGUUCUUCCAAAUCUUGAUUAAACUCUCUCAUUGAUCUACAUUGUCAAUCUCCUCUUUGUCAUUAGUCGUUGCUAGACACUACUUGACAGUAAAUUUCUUGCUCAUUUCACUAAACAGGACAAAGCUCUGGCUGCACUAGCAAUCGAAGACAAGAAAAGGCAGUUUGCAGCCGCAGAAAAGUAUUUAGAAGAAGUAUUACAAUCUGCCCUUGAGACAAGCGACGAGUGAUCGAUAUACAAUCUCCACCUGAUUUUGGCGACUAAGUGAGAGCAAGUGGUCUACAAUUUAUUUUUAUUUUUUUCGUUCAAUGGUCCAUAAUGUAUUAAUAUUCACUUUUAGCUCAAAUAAUAGUUUGUCUAUCAUAUGAACAUAUUAUUCUGAUUAUUAGUAUUAAAUACUGCCAGAAUUUGUGGCGUAGUUUGAACUUGCUGCCAAGUACUGCUGUUCUGGGAGAUUUGGAAACCCUGUAUUCCAUAUAAUAUGAGUCUCCUUAACCAAAGCCAGAGAGGCAUAAACCUCAAAAGUCGAGCGAACAGACUUAAGGUCUUGUAAGACUAGUUCACGUUUUUGACAUUCUUCAGUUAAAACAGUCUCUAUACAAUAUUCGCACAAAACAAAAUAUAUAUCUAUGUAUGUAUGAAUUAAUUGUUUUGUUACAAAAACUCUUCAAAGAUACUAAAAGAUUAAGCAAAACAUAAAAACAUUUGAGAUGUUUCGCAACUUUAUAUUUUAUUAUUUUUAAAAAAUUUCUGUAAAUAUGGAUUAAUCAAACAUAGUUGGGGGACCAAAAAAGAAGAAAUAAUACUAUAGAGUUUAGGAAUAUCUCAAAAUUUAGGGGUAUUAUUUCAGAAGGAAGAAUAUUUUUCUGGGCUUGGGCCUGAAGUGUCUCUUUCUCGUGCUUACUUAAAGAAUUAAGAAACUCGGCGUUUGAACCAUAAUUGGAUCGGCUCAAUGGAUUCUAAAAUUGGAAAUUUCUUCGACUCCGUCGGUUCCUUCUUCACCGGCGGUGAUAAGAUCCCAUGGUGCGACCGAGAUGUCAUCACUGUAAGUUUUCUCUUUCUUUCCCCCUCUUUUUCGCCUUUCUCUUCUGGUGGUUUUGAUAAAAAAAACGAUCGUGUAAACGAACAAAUAUCACCAUAAAUUUUUCUGGGUUUUGUUGGUGAUAUUGUUAUAUUAAAAUUAGUUUAAUUUCUCGAUGAUUGAUUGUAAGUUUCUGAACUGAGCUCCAGGAAUCUUAUUAAAACUAGUUUAAUUUCUCGAUGAUUGGAUCAUAAGUCAAAUUUCGUAAUCAACAAUCGUAUCCGUCCACAUCUUUUCAAGUGAAAACGCAAUUGCUAUGAAAUUUGUUAAAACUUUGCAUAACUCGGAUUAUUAGUCAAAGCAUGAUCUCUGUGGUAUGUCUUAGGUAUGUCUUAGCUUAACGCCGUAACGGUUUAGCUCUUAUUGCUUAAUGUCUUUCUAAUGUUUUCCUUACACACCAAGUAACCUCUGAUGCUUGCUUUCAGGAGUGUGAGAGAGAAGUUAAGGCAGCCACUGAUCAUGACCCCGAAGAUCGGAAGAAAGAGAGCAUAAUGCGAUUAUCAUGGGCUCUUGUUCAUUCUCGACAAGCGGAAGAUAUACAGCGUGGAAUAGCCAUGCUUGAAGGUAUUAGUCUUUUCACUGAACUAUAAGUCCUUGAAACUCUGCUCUGUGCCUAACUAAUGGCCCAACUAUUACCGGAUUUUCUUCCACAAGGCUUAAAGUUUUUCCCUUUCAUGGUUGUGCGAACCAGAAUUUGACAAAAAAGCUCUUUGGUUGCAGCGUCUCUAGCAAGCAGUAGCCCUCCUUUGCAGGAUCGAGAGAAGCUUUAUCUUCUUGCUGUUGGAUAUUACCGUACUGGAGAAUACUCAAACAGCAGACAGCUCGUGGAACGUUGCAUCGAGGUUCAUACUUUUCUUCACGACCUGAUAAUAUUGGUUCAUGGUGUUAAAUCCUAUUCUACGUCUUACUCUUAUUAUGAUUGGUUUCCACAGAUUCAACCUGAUUGGAGGCAAGCUUUGGUCUUAAAGAAAACCAUUGAAGACAAAAUUGCAAAGGGUAAUUAAAAGCGAUUGUUGAAUAAUUUAUCACCAAUCUGAACAAUUGAUCUCUGUUGUGAAACUUUGUCUCUCCUGAUUGCAGAUGGUGUUAUUGGGAUAGGCAUCACGGCUACAGCCGUUGGACUCAUAGCCGGUGGAAUCGCUGCAGCUUUGGCUCGCAAGAAGUGACCAACCACAUUUACAGAUUCUGUAUGCAUAGAAUAAAUAACUAGAUGCUUGUUUUUCUUAUAAGUUUUUGUUCUUUCAGCCUUGAAUUCGGUUUUCAGUUAUUCCAUCAAAUAUUUCGUAAUUAUUACCUUAUUUUAUCUGCUCUGCUAAAAUAAUGAUUCUCCCACGCACAUGUACAUCCCAAAGCUGUGAUUUGAACCCUUUUUGGUGGUAAGAAUUAUGAUAUGGUCUUCUUUGGUGGUGAAAACAAAACAGGACAGAAUAUGUUGUUCCAGUACAUUGCAAUCUUUUCUACAUAUCUUAAAAUUAUUAUGCAUAUUUUGAUCUUCAUAUAGAUAAUAUUAAUGACUACAAAAUAAUUGUAAACUGUCAUAAUUGUGUUUAUGGUAUAUUAUUGAUAUCUUCAAAUUUGUAUUUACUGCAUAAGUACAAAAUACAAUAGAAAAAUCUCCCAGAAAGAGGUUAGAAAUUACUCUUUGAACCAUAUUUUAAAUUGUUUUAAUUAUAAAUAUACUUUUGACAUUUAUGGUUAUUACUUUUUCAAUUCUUAUAUGCAAAUUUAGUCCGGCAAAAAGAAACUGAUUUUUGGUGAAUAAAAAAAGUUGGGGUAAAAAUAAUAUAGCCAAAAAAAUGAUUUAUUUGCGAUGAAAGCGAAGUAUAGAACGAACACUGACCGAAGACACCAGAUCGGAUUUGAUUGGGCUCUACAUUGUAGAGAUGACGUUGACACUCCCAUAAAUAUUGGCUUUUCUACUUUUUAUUUUUCUCUCUCUUUUUUUUUCUCCUUCAAAAUUGUAUAAAUUUAUAUAUGUGUGUGUGUAUUAGUGUAUAUAUCUGUGUGUUGUUAUAUGAUCAAAGGUGUUUCGUCAUGUAAUGUCCCAAUCUCAUCGUGUUAAUCUUUACACGACAAUAGAUUUGAUGUUUCAAUUUUUAAGUUAGAGAUGAAAAACUGAUUGCUUCCAUUCUAAGUUUCCCAAUCAAUUCACAUACCAAUUAUUAAAGUUCCUAAAUCUCUCUUUUAUUUAUCAAAGGAUAUUAACAAAAUGUUUUUUCGACAAAAAUGUUGGAUAUCUCCUUGUAAUCUUCCCUAAUUGAACUUUCAAUAUUCACUUUUUGUUUGUCAAAUGGAUAAAAUAACAGCAAAAAAUAUGAUCAACGAGAGUCGAACUACGAACUAAAACAAAUAUUGAACUAAUUGUUAAUCGAUGGAACUUAGAAGACCAAUGUUUUUUUAGUUGGACUAAAUGUUUGAUUUAUCAGUUGUUUUAUCUAGUACAUAUGUAUAAAGCAUGAUGAUGCCUGUGACAGUCCCUGGUUCCCUCUAGAAUCUGGAAUGCAAUUAGAUCAACCAAGCUAGAAGUUCCCUGGUUCCCUCUAGUCUGGCAUAAAAGAGCAACUCCUAGGCACUCAACUAAUGCUUGGCUGUUUACUCUUAACCGCAAUCCUACACUAGAUCGCAUGUCGAGUUGGAAUUUGGAUGUCGAGACGUCUUGUUUGCGUUGUGGUACCUGUAAUGAGACUAGAAACCAUCUGUUUUUUUAGUGCAGCUACUCGCAGGAAGUGUGGAAAGCAAUCUGCUUGAAACUUGGCGUGAAUGGCCCUCCAGCGCAAUAGGAUGCCGUUCAAACAUGGUUGCUAAACUAUGUCGGAAAUGCAACCCUUUCUAUGGCCCUUUCCCAAGGGUGGAGUGCUUGCCUUUACGAAGUAUGGCGCGAACGAAAUAGAAGGACUCAUCACGGACUUACCCUUCCUCAUUCUCGGAUCACCAGUUUGGUUUUCUUCCACCUCAGGGAUAAGUGCUCGGCUUUGUCUCUUUUAGGGUCAAAGCUUGGUCCUUCUCUACUGGCUUUGUGGCAAAACUGAUUCUCUCUCUGUGUAUUGAGCAAUCUUUUUGCUAGUCUUUCUUCUUCUCCUUUUAGUUCCUUUUUAAUGCUGUAUCCUAUUCUAUUUAUUAUAUAAUGAAGGUCUUAAAAAAAAAAAUAUAUAUAUAUAUAAAGCAUGAUGAAAUAUUUAAGUUAUAUAAUCUUGACCCUCUUAAAAAAAUUAGGGAUAAUAUUUCAAAAAAAUAACGAUUCCAUAUGUUGACAAAUUUAUGAUGACUUUUCAUGACUUGUCGUAUAUAUAAUCAAUAGAACAAUUGCUUUUUUUUACCACAUCUUACCAUAGUCGACAAUUAGUAACUGACAACAUAUUUACCUCUAAUGUUGUUUAAAACGUAUAGUUAUCGACCGAUCGUAUCAUGAUAUAUAGUAAAUAUAUUUAUAUUAUUUUUUUAAAUAAGUUAAAAAGUAAAAACAAAACAAAAUGUUAUUGACCAACGAUAACAUUUGGUUCAACCGGUUGAAGAUCCCAAGUUUUUUUUUGUUACAACAGAAGAUCCCAAGUUUACUGAAAGAAUUACAGUUUAAAUCUCCAUUAUAACUUGUGUAAACUAUAAGACAAAAGCUGUAAUGAUAUCAUAUCAUAUUCCUACUUUUGAAAAUAUGAUUAGAUGAAAACUUGUGGAUAGCUUUAUCAAUAAUUGAUUUUCUAAUGAAACAAAUAAUUAUCCUAUAUUCAUUCUUUAUUUUUAUGAUCAACACGUCCGAAAUAGUAUAGACGUGAAAAUUUGUAUUUGUGAAGACACUUAUAUUCCAUGUGGAAUUGCAUAUACCGUCUCAUACGAUGUGGAUAAUAAUCAGCCACACAACAAAUAUUUAAAUGCUAUCGAAACUUUUCAAAGGACAGAAAACAAAUUUUUUAUAUGUGCUGAGUUGUGUAUAUAUACAGAAAUUAUUAUAUUUAUAUACCCGGUAAGACAAUGCUGAUGCAAAUACAUACAAAAAUUUCAAUUAACGGACAGUUCUCGAAUCACGAAAAAAACAAACUAAUGUGGAAUUAUUAUCGUGAUAGGUUUAAUUCCUUAACCAGACAGAACAUCUUAUUGUACUAGUAAAGUAACUCUGUUAAUUGUUAAAAGUCCCUACAAUACAUUCUUAACAUGCAUACACACACAAAGGCUGGAAUUAGAGAGACAUUAGGGUAGUAAAAUAAGGAAGUAAGAUAAGGAAUUAAUAGAUGGCAAAAUUAAUCAAACGACUAAUCAAUACAACUCUAGAGAACAAGAAAAAACCUAAGUCUUUUAAUUAUAUAAGACAUGUUCUUAAAUUCCUCCAUGCCCUCAUAUCUUCGUACCCUUCUUAGAUGUCCUCAUUUCCAUAUACAAAAAUAUAUAUAGAAGAUAUAAGAACUAAAUUAAUAAAUAUAUUUUGAGUCUUAAUGGUCUAGAUAUAUAUAUAGACCGAUAAAGAACUAGAAGUGAUGUUGAUGAUGGUGAUGAUACAUAGUAGAUGGGUCAUGAUGAUGAUGAUGAUGAUGCCGACUCAUACCUUCCCUUUGACUGUUAUGAUCAUCUCCUUGAUCCCUACUAAGACCCAUCUGACCCGUACCCGCUCCAAGAUUGAGAUACACCAGUCUUGAAUCCAAAUUGUUAUUACUCCCUCCACUACUUCCACUAUUGUGCUCCUCAUUCAUCUGAGGGUAAAUUGUGUUGUUGUGGUCAUUAUUGUUAUUAUUGCUAUUGUUUCCUUCUUCUCGAGAGAUCACCAUUGCAGCGGAUUGAACAAGCUCAAGGCAAAGCCUGAGCUUAUUUGGUUCAAUAUGAGUCAAUCCAGGAACUGCCCCCUUGAACAAGAAAUCCGAAGUUAACGUUCUAAGGAUAUCAAGAGGCGUGAUUCCACCGACUGUACGUACAUUUGGAUCGGCGUGAUGGUCUAACAGGACAGCCACCAUGUCGGGAGAGACCAUCUCAGCCGCGAUGUGUAACGGUGUCUUCCCUGCUGGACCCGCUGGAUAGUUCACAUCGGCUGCUCCAAGUUCAAGCAAUGCCUUCACAACUUCUCUACUACAGCUUUCAACAGCGUAAUGCAAUGCUAAUGACUCAUCAAGAUUGAGUCCUUCUCCCAUUACCAUUAGUUUCACUAGCUCCACGUCUGAUGAAUCCAAAGCUCGUCUCAUCCUUCUAAUCUUUUGAUCUUCAAGGUCUUGUGCCACGGUGAGAUCAUGGUGGUGAUGAUGUGGCAUUAGGGAACGUCGAGCUAUGGAAGAUUUGAGACGAAGCUCUUCGAUUUUGGCGACUACAUCUAUGGUGAGAUGUUUGGCUAGAAUCUCCGGUGGGAGACCUGAUUUGGCGACUAAGUGAGAGCAAGUGGUCCAUAACUGGUGCAUGUCUUGCUUCCUUGAUGCUAUUAACACUUUCAUCACAUCUUCUAUUGAGGCUUUCUCCACCAUGCUUGCCAAUUGUUUCUGACAAUAAUACAAACAUUUUUAUUGAUUAGUGCUAUAUCUAAAGAACCGACAUAUUUUUGUGAGCAAGUGGGUUUAAUUUCCCUUUUUAGGUUAUGGUUUGGGUUUUUUCUUUUUAAAAAAAAAUCUUCAUUUUAGUUGGAUGUUUUUAUGGAGUAGGUUUCAUUCGUUAUCUAUGACUUAUUAUCGAAAUCUCAAAAAAGGAAAAUCGAGAGUAUAGUGGGAUUGGAUAAGAAAUUAAGACUUAAUAAGUGAAUAGAUCCAACUACAUAAUAUAGCUCUUCAAAGUUUCUACUUUUGGGAAUAUGCUCUUCCGUGCAACAAAACCAACGUUAUCUAGUUUCAGAAAAUUUUCCGACGAAGAUGGUUCCUUUGCAAGAAAAUAAAUUACACAUGAAAUCAAGACAACAACAAAAAUUAUUUGCCAUAUACGUAUAUAUGUAUAUACAUAAUAUUAUCGAAAAUGGUUUUGAAAUUUCAGCAAAUUUAAGCUAAACCAAUAUAUUAAAGAAGCCAAUCAAUAUCAACCAAAAUCAAGAGGGUUUUGAACAUUUAACAAAUUUAAGCCAAACUAUGAAAGAAAAACAAUCAAAAUCAAAAGGGUUUUGAUAUUAAGCAAUUCUAAGCAAAACCCAUGAAAAGAAAAACAAAAACAAAAGGAAGCAGAACAACAAAGAAGUUGAAAAUUUUAAUUUUGUUUGCUCUGGAUGUGCAUGGAGAGGUAAAGCAAGUGAAGAAAGAGAGAAAGAAACCUGAGUGAGCAAUGCGAGCUGCUCGACGCCGAAGUAACGAGAGGCGGCUAAAGUAUCGAGAGCAAGAUCGACGGCGGCUGAGCAAUGCGUGUGCCAACAACCUCUCUCGCCACAAUUCGGCCUUGGCUCGUGUUUCUGCGGCACGAUCGAGACUUGUCCGCUAUAAAGAAACUGAAGCAGCAGCAGAAACACCUCGUAACCGACUGAGUUCACUGGUAUGACUCCAGAUGGGGCCGGGGAGCCUCUUGUUGGGCUAGCGGGUACUGACCCAUGUCGGGUCGGGUCGAUGCCUGUGCCGGAUUGUGGUGUGUCGGUCCCACAAAAGAAUUUGCGGAAGAAGAGGCUCCGAGCGGCGAGGAUGCAACGGUGGGCGUGGACUAGACGGCCUUCGACGCUGAAAGUUACGUCGGAGAAAGCUUGACCGUUGAUUAGAAGGUUUAAGAAAUCCAACGACAGAGAUCUCAGGGAUUCCUCGAGGCUGCUCAUUCUUUUCUUUUCUUGUGGUUCUUGAAUUUAUCUCCAGAAGAAAAAAAACUAGGGUUUAGCAAGGAGUCUUCCGAAAAAUUAAAUAAAGUAAUAGGUUCCUCCUUUGAUUGAAUUUGUUGGCUAACUAGAUGUUAUGGAUUUUUAAAAAGUAGAAUAAUUUUUUCCGGGGAGAAAAGCUUAAGGUUUGAUCUUUUGAAGCUUCUUGCUCUUCUAUGAGAGAAUAAAAAAGAGAGAAGAGAGAGACAGAGAGAAGGAUUCUUUAUUGCUUUGUGGUGUUAGAUAUUUUUUGUCCUGAUAAGAGAGAGAGAGAUUGAAUGAGAGAAAGAGUGAGAUAUUUGAAUGGAUGAACCGGGCUGUUCAGAUAUUUAAACUUAAAUGGUUAAAAAAAAAAACAAAUCGUUUGUCUUUAUGACGAUUAUAAAAUGUUAUAGCAUUAAUCAAUUGGAAAUUUAGUGAUCUGGUUACCCAAAGAGGAAAAUAAUAAUUAACAAGAAAAUAAUACAGGGUGGGCUAAAUCUACUUAUGGAAAUGAAAAGAAUUGGAAUGAGAAAACUAUAAUAUAAAUAAUGAGAAAGUGUUAAUUAAGAAAUAAUAAACAUCAUUAGCAUCUGCCUAAUCAAAAUUCUACUCAAUCUCAUCAAACAUUAAAUUUCCAAAACUAGACGUAUUUAUUGAGUAGGAUAAUAUAAUAAAACCAAGAUCCUCGGCAAUUGUCUUUUUGGCUUGGUACCGAACAUGUGAAAGCCUGAACAGCACCAUGGGUACAUACACAUAUAUGUAUCGUGUAUGUAUAUAUGUAAGGUUGUGUCAUGCAUGUGUGCAUGGUAAUGAGAUAAAAUGGUAAAACUGAGAGGAAGGUGAUGGAUAAGAACAUAGGCCUAAUUAAGUUAAAAGACAGAAGGAGUGAAAUAAAUUUCCUAACUGUAGUGAAUUCUGAUUUGAUGGUUUUCUGUUUGACCGUUGGACCAAUCCUCACCAUCCUUCCUUUCCCUUCUCUACCUUUUCUUUUUCUUAUUUAAAGUUUCAUUAAAUUUGUUUUAUUUUUUGCUAAAUUAUUUCUUUUUUAAUCGGAUUCAAUUUGUAAUAUAAUACUAAGAGUUAUUUUAGAGAUAGUCAUAAAUAAAUAGAUUGAUGGAAUCGCUUUUGAUACUUUUUUAACAUUAUCUGUGAAAAGAAAAUAAUACGCUUAUAAUACCAUUGAUUAACCAUCUUUGUGAAUGGUAAUUAUAAUAUCAACAAUGAUUUAACGAAGUAACAUUAGUAUGUUUAUAGACAGAAAUACUAAAUGAAUGUAAUUUCAACAUAUGAUUAAUAUAAUUAGUCGCUAAAGUUAUUAUUUUUAGCACUCUUUUCAUUCUAUCAUACCAAAUUACCAACAUAGUAGAGUCUCAUUUAGUAAACAUACAAUCUCAUUUCUUUUCUUAUCAAAAAUUAUAAAUAUACCCACGUACGUUAACUCUGGAUGCUGUUUUGUAAAUAUGAAGAUUCAUCCGAAUACUAUUUGUAGUAAAUUAUAGAAAUUCAAGGUAUUUAUUAGCCAAAAAAACAUAUAGUACUAAUCAUAAAAACAUAGCUAUUAUUCAUGUAAAAUACCAAAAUCAAAUCAAUCAGGCAGAUAACGAAAUUAAUAUGAAACAUCCAACCACAGAAGUCAAGACGUGGCUCUGAUAAUGGCGCAGUCGUGGUCCGAACCCAUAUAUUCACCAGUUAAGAAAGAGAAAGCUGAAUUUUCCAAGUUGGAGCAAUCAAAAUUAAAAUCAUUCUGCUUUAACAAAAACAAAAUAUAUUUUCUUUCCACAAGAAAUUAUAAAUGGAUGGGAGAGAGUGGGAAGGGCAUGGAGAAGCGUGUCGGCCGGAUCGAUAGGGUCCGUCUGUUGGAUGUUUUCUUCUUUUGUUAAUACAUUGACCAAUUUUAUUUAAUUUUUCUAUCAACGAAUUUAGAUAAAUUAAAAUCAAACUGAAUGUAUAAGAGUUACACCAGGAUCCCAAAUAGGUUCGAUUUGAAGAUUAAAACCAACAAUAACCAGGUUUACCGGAGAAACAAACCAAAAACAGAACAGAACUCUUCAAAAUACUGUCACAUCGCCUCAGUCAUCUUCUGUCGAUUAACCCUAACUAAUUUUCACAUAACCAAACUGGUAUAAAAUUAAAUUAAUAUACUAAACUACAUCGGAUUUAUCUAUAAUUUUUUAAUUAAGAUGGUUGUUAUAUAUAAUUAAGAUGGAUUUGCAUUAUCUAGUUCAAAAGGGUGAUUUAUGACAAAAAAUUCUUACCGAAAAAAAAAUUAGUUGUUGCUAAGAAUGUAGUACAGCUGAAAAAUUUUGUUUGUUUUUGUUACGUAUAUCAUCGUAAUUCAACCAGAAAAAAAAAUUGUCAUGCAAGAGAUGAUUGGAUGAUUUUUUCUACUUGUACGAACUAUUUUUCGAUAGUAUUUCCACCUCGUGUGCUCAGGGGCGCACGAGCGAGAGGAUUUUUGAAUUCUUUUCCCGUUCAUUUUUUUACUUCGAAUCAAAAUAUCAAAAUGUAGCUCCGUCUUUAUUUGUUUGGUAAUUUAGGGUAAAAGAAAGUGAGAAAAAAUAAGAGAAAAAGAAUGACAACACAGAAGGGCACUGACAGUCGUAUGAUAAGGAAGUGGUUCGAUUUGACGUUUGACUUGUCUUUUCAUUCUCUCUCUCUUCUUUUUAAUUUUUACGUUUUCCUUUUUUUCUUCAACCUACCUUACAUCAAAAUGUAGGUUGUUUUUUUUUGAGAACAUAUGAAAUGUUGUUUUUUUUAACACAAUUAAUGCAAUGAUUCUUAUGCACAUCGAAUUUAAUUUAUAUUCUCAGGUUUUCUAUUUUAUUUUGGACAUUAUACAUCAAUAUAGUGCCUUUUUAUUUAUUUUGCACCAUAAUACAUAUAUGCAUAUAUAGGUAAAAGUUUGAAACAUUUCAUCGUUGUGAUUGGCCUAGUUUGCAUAAGUCUUGAGUUUUGAUUUUCCUCACUCGUCUUAGGUGAAUCAUGAUAUUCAUUCAAUGGGUUAUUACAAGCUAUGAGUACUAUUUUAUAAAAAGACAUUAUUAAGAUGGUUGUUAUAUAUGCUUAUUUUUGUCUUAAACAGAAUAGUUAGGGAUAGAAAACGUGUAAAUGUAAAAAAUUUGGAUGCUACCGAAACCUAGUUAACAUUCUAUGUACAUGUCCUUCAAUCAGCUCUAAUGCUAGUUUCGUCAAAAACCCUAGCUAACACGAUUAGUUCACAACUUAGUUUUUAAGAAAACCGGUCUUGUUAAUUUUUAAAAUUUGAUUACUGGUAAGUCUUUCAUAUUUUCUGCUGGUUGCAGGAAGUUGAGAGUGAUCAUUAAACCAAUAACGUUGAAAAUAAAAUAAAAUAAUUGUUUAAGAUUUUGGUAACCAAUGUAUUUUCUUAACCAAUGUAUUCAAAUAUACUGCAAUUUGCAAUUUGUGUGUAACCAAUUUGAAGUUGAGAGUAACCAAUAUCGACUUGGAAACAUUUUGACGUUUAAGAAAAUACAUUGGUUACAAAAUUUUAAAUAUUAUUUUAUUUUAUUUUCAACGUUAUUGGUAAAAGUCUAAAAGAUUGCGUUGUCAUCUCAAUCAGUUAUUAAAGAGUAAAUGGGAAAGCGGGUCCUGGUUUGACGGGAUCCUAAGGUUUUUGCUACAAACUAUUUGUUGUAUUUACCAACAUUCAUUUUAUAUUUUACCUUUUUCAAUUUUUAAGAAUAAAUAGUUUUUGUAGCUGAUUUUAAGAAUAAGUAUACUUCUAAUAAUAAAUAUGUCAGUCAUUUUUAUUUUUAUGUUUGCAUUUUUAUGUUUUAAAAAGAAAGAUGUCAAAAAAAAAAUCCAUAGUGCAAGAAGAAGUAUGGAUGUGUUGUGGUUUGAAGAUUACCGACGCUUACCAAACAAAAAAAAAGUUAUAAGAAAAUAUUAAAAUAAAAACAAAUAGUUAGUAAUCAAUUCAAAGUUUCACAGAAAACAUACUAUGAGAGGAAGAUCUAUACUCCAGUAGUACAGCAAUAGGAAUUAGACACAAAGGAAGACUCCAGAAAGUGAGUUUAACUGGGAUUAGUCUUUAAUCUAUGCUAGAGUUUGUUUUGGGAUCAUACCUUCUACCUUUCUUUUAGUUGUUUGAGCUGAUUACAUCUUUAUACUAAGUGUACGAAAUUCAAUCUUUUUUAGGUGUACUCAGUAGUCACUAAUUCUAUAAAUUUAAUUACCUUUUUUUUUUACCUCCAAUAUAUUGAUGCAGGUUAUUCCGUAAAAUCUGUAACAAAAAAAUUAUGAUCAAUGUGCAUGAUUAUUGUUUCAAAUAAUAACUAAUCCAACGAUUUUUAAUUAACAAUGGCAUGGUGCCCACAUCUUGCAUUUUAUAUCCCAUAUAUGCCACUUUCUUAAUAUAUUCCCCACCCCUUUUCUUCACCUUUCUCUUUUCUUAUUUUAAGAAAUAUUUUUUUUUUCUGUCAUUUGCUUGCUUUUUGUUUUUCAUUUCCCGACAGCGCUAAUUUUUAUAUUAUAUUUACAAGAUUGAGGGAAAAGUUAAAAAGAUGCCACCUAAAUACUUAAAUAUUAAAUAAUUAUGAUUGGUACGUGGAGGAAUACUGGUCACUACAUUUCUAAACCACUUAAUUAUCAUCCAUGACUACACUCAGAUUUUUGGAAACGCUUAAAAGCUUCUUCUAUUCUUCAUUUUUCUUUCACAAACUCAAAUAUAAAUAUGAUUUCCGAAGGGGACCAGAGCACAUAGAAGUAUGUGUGGAUUACGUAUAUUAAUAGUUAGAUAAAAAUUGGACUAAUAAAUUUUAAAUUAUAAGAACACAAAGAAACAAGUGAAACUAUUCACAUGGCUAAUUAAUCCUGUACUAAUUUGGCAUUUUCCACUGUUCUUCAACAGUGAACAACUAACGAAGUGUUAUGAACUAUAUAGUAAUACACUUUUAAAAGCAUUACCAAUUUUUGAGUCUUUGACGCACCAAACUUAUAUAUACAUUAAUUUGUUGAUAUAACAUGUGAGGCAAUGAUAUGCGAAGAUUAUGUAUGCAGAAUAUACUGAAUACAUAACAUUUACAAUACAUGUAUGUAGAAUAUAUAUAUAUAUAUAUAUAUAUAUAUAUAUCUUAGAGUAAUUUCGUAGUUUUCUAGAGUCAGUAGAAAGUUUGCAAUGGUCAAAAUGUACAACCAAUAAGAAAGAAUAAAUAUAAAGCCAUCAUUUUCCUAACAUCAUAGCAUGCUCUGUAAGUCUAGGAAGGUGAAGAAGUAUAAUAGUUUGAACAAGAUUUGAAUUAGCUAACUUAGACUUUGUUGGAAAAUACAAGCAUAUGUACACCUAAGUGUGGUUGUGUGUAUAUCCCAUCUCUAUGUGUAGAUGUAUGUAUGUAUAAUGUGUUAAAUCGUUUCCCAAAAAAAGAUGACGACAGGCGACAGCUUUGAAUGCAGCCGAAAAUAACAUGAACCCCAAGAUGUUCCAGUCUUCAAAGUCGUCUUCAAGUGAAACUCCUGACCUGAGGUUGAUACAUCAAAUUUAGAAACUUAUAUAGAUACCAAAUAAUUCGUGUAUAGGUGUCCACCAAUAACCCAUGUCUAUGCUUUGAGUGCAAGCCCAUUGGCUGAGGUUGAUUGACUUUUUCACUAAAAGUUGUAGGGUUCUUGGGUAUAUAAUAUAGGUAUAAAUAUGUGGGUAUGUAUAUAUUUAUAGAAAGAGAGAGGAGGAAUUUAAGUGGAACCCAACUGAAUGUUGUGAGCUGGGAUUCAAAUGUUGAUGGAAAAUCCGUAGAAAAUUAUAAGUGGAUGAGCAUAAAAAUUAGGUUCUCGUGGAAGGAGUUGGGUCAAUACACAACUUAAAUUCUCUUUUAAGUGGUUAUGGUGAUGAUAUUGUCUCUCUUAAUGUUUGUGUUGGGGAAAGUCACCAACUAUGCCUUCCAUCUCUACCAUCCAUUCGACUACUCCAAAGAUCAAUAAAAUUGAAUACAAUUUGAAGUAAAUAAUCAAGAUAAAAUUGAAGUAAUAAUCAAGAUAAAAACGGUAAAUAUAUUGAAUACAAAUUUCGAAAAAUUAUAUGGUUUUAUAAUGCAAUUAACAUGACAUAUCUUAAAUUCUUGUAUCAUUAUAUAUAGUCAAAUAUACCCGAAUUUAUAUCUUGAUAUAGAAAAGAUAAUGAUAUAUAUGGGUCGUAUACACUAACUGAGUUUUUCUUUUCUUAAUCCAAUUACAAAUUAAGAUUAUUUUUAGGGAUUCAAAUAUCAAAAUACAUGUAGUCUCGCACCAGUUUGUUAACUUCAUCCAAUAAAAGGAUGACAAAAGUUUCACUUCUUAUUUUUUUUCUCUAAAUUUGACUUGCUAUUGUGGUGAUAGCCUGAUAGGAUAUUUUUAGAUUCUCGGUUGAACAAAAAAAAAAAAAAAGAUUUCUCGAAGAAACUUUUAAAGUUGACAAAUGUCACUUUGAAACAUUUGACCAAAAUAUUUAUACUGGCGGCAUGAUUAUAUAUAACGGGGAUAUUGUAGUUUGUAGAAAGGCGAAUAUGCUUCAGUUGUUGCAAUGUACUCACAUGGUCUUUGCCCUAAAUCAUUGGCAUUUGAUAUUUACAAGUAAUUUCCAUUUAUCAAUUUGUCUUUUGUCUUCAUAGCUAUCACAUCGACCGGUCUGUAUUACUGUAUAUUCUGUGCACCCUCCUCCACAUAUUAGGAUUGGUUAUAUAAUUUUUUUUUUCGUAAUGCAAUUAGAAUGGAUCAUACGUCUCCAUUAGAUGAAAACAGUUUACUAAAUAACCUCCACGACACUUCGAACCGAGUACCUUCAGAUUAGCUUAAUUAUGUAGCAGUCAAGCCAGUCAUAAGAGCCGACAACAGUGUGUAUACGAAGGUGAUUCUGAUUUCCAGUUAUGAAUAUUAUGUAAAUCUUUUUAUCAAAAAACCAAAAAAAAAUCUGUAAAUUUAUCAUAACACUAGCCACUGGAGAAGCAAAAAACAGAGGUAUGAGAAUAUAUUAAAGAAAAUUAUCCGCAUUAUAAUCUUGCAGACUACGAUUUAUGAGCAUGAGAAAUAAACGAAUUCAUUGCCGCCUCUCGGUAUCACCAUUUGCAUUCGAAAAUCAUCUAUCUUUUGAAAGAGUUUCUUAGAAAGAGUUUUUUUGCUUCUUAAAUUUUGUAAGGUCUAAAUAAAAGUAUUAGAUAUAAAUGGUGGUGACUGGUGAGUGAUAGAAAUUAAAGAAAUAAGAAGAAUAAUGAUAAGUUAAAAAAAAGUGAAAUUAAAUUUUCUGUUUUUUUUUUAUUUUUUUAUAAUUUUUUUUAUUAUACUUCAUCCGUUUCACAAAGAGUGUCGUUCUGACAUUUUUCACACAAAUUAAGAAAUAAGAUAAAAAGUCUCUUAUACCCUUAUUAAUUUGCAGAAAUGACUUUUAGAAUUACAUUUAUAACUAAUUUUCUGAAUUUAGUUUGAGGUUAAAAAUAAUAUUUUAUGUCAAAAUUUACAUUAAAAUUCUAAAAUAACAUUCUUUUUUAAACAAAAAAAAGUGUCAGAACGACACUCUUUGUAAAACAGAGGUAGUAUUCUUUUUUUUUUUUCUCUAAUGUGUCAAACCAUUUGCAUUUACUAUAUUUAUUGAAUUUCUUUUUUAUCCAAAUCCCUCAUAAAAAUAGUAAUAAUAUGUACAGUUUAUUAAUUUCAGAGGUAAUUUGACUCUUUCUAUAUACACACAAAAAUGUAAUAUAUAUAUAUAUAUAUCUUAUAAGCCUUGUUUAUAUAUGACCUCUAAAUAAUAUGUACUAUAAUAUAUAUAUAUAUUAUAAGCCUUAUGCACUAACUUCAUGAUAUGCAUACGACAAAGUAGUGAUACAUAUGUAUUGUAUUAUUGGGCACAAGAAUAGACCCUCGCUCUUAAUGUCAUCCAGAUGGUGAUAAGGACAUACUAAUCUAUCAUUUCUAAAUGUCUUUAAGCUUUUAAUUUCAUUGCUAUCUCACAUUCGAAAUAUAACUAUACAACCAAACUUUUAUAAAUGAAUAAUGUCAGAUUAAUAUUUUUAUAAUGUAUCAACAUAAUAAUAUAUUGAGGUAUUAUUUGGUAGAUAAACUAAUUUUAGAACUUAAAAAUAUUAAUUAAUUCAUCAUAUAUCAAUUUAUAAAGGUUUUGCUACAUUUCAGUUUUUAAAAGUAGUUUUAUACGGGAGAAAAAAACGUUACGGGAAAUUAUGUAAAGAAAAAACAUAUUAUUGGGAUAUUAAUGGAACAAAAAUAAUUGUAUAAAUAUUUUUUUUUUGGUCAAACAAAAUAAUUGUAUAAAUUAAAACUUGAAAAUUAGGGAGAUUAGGCGUAUCUUUUCUUAUAAUGGGAAAGGGACUUGACAGGAGAAAGCAGAGGAAAAUUAAAGAAGAGCACACACUUCACACUUGAUGAAAGAAGAAAGUAGCAAUUUUGGAAAAAAUUAAACAUUUAGUUAUUAGUAUUACGGGUCAAGUGGAAAUUCUUUUGUGUUAAUUUGAUAUAAUCUGGGUCCCAUUCGCCACAAAAAGUUACAGCUAUCAAAUAAAAGGAAAAUAAAGUUGGAAUCGAGGGUUAAAAGCAUUUAUAUCCAUAUUUGGUUCACCAUCACUAAAUUUUUAUUUCAUGGAUCCCACAUUAUAUUUUCCCUCAAAUCAUCUAAGAGGAAAAUCUUUGGCAAACGUAGAGAAUCAGAUGCAAUAACAGAGACAUAAAAGAUCUGAAAACCAUCAUACCAUUAUAUAUAUAUAUAUAUUUCUCUAAAUAUAAUAUAUAUUGUUGACAAGAAUUUAUAUGUGAAUGAUUUGGGGCCAGAAAAAAGGUAGAUGAUACAAAAAAAAAAAUAGGUGCUUGAGUUAUCAUAUGGCAAGCCUUUAGGAGACAAGUAACCAGUUUGUAUAAAUUAACACGGAAUGCUAAAAGUGCUAAUUAUUACUUUCUUAACUACAAUUGUUUACAACAGACAAUCUUUAUUAACAAUUAAAAAUUAUCAUAUUCAUUUUGUUUGAUUAUAAAUAUCCUAUUGACACUUUUUUACACAAAUGAAUAAACAUAUUAAAAUUGAAUUAUACCCCAAAACAGGUUAAAUUUUGGAAUUAUGUCCUAUUAAUUUUUAUUUUUAGUUUUGAAUUGAUGCUAUAUAUUAGGGACUUCAUGAUAAAAUUUACAUUAAAACGCCAAAAUAUAUUUAUUUUUUGAAUCAGGAAAAAAACUAAAAGACAUUUAGUUCGUUUGCAAUUUCACACACAGAUAUAUAUAUAUAUAUAUAUAUAUAUAUGUAUGUAAAAGUGGGCGAGAAAAGCUGAAAUUUACUAGGUAAUGGGUGCUAUUCUGAAGUCUUUGUGGCAUACGACAGAAGGGGUGUUUGUUACGGAUUGCAGGUGAUUUAACAUAUGCAGAAGAAAGAAAUUGUAGAAGAGAUAAAAUUUAAACAAAAACUGAAGGUGAAGCAGUAAACAUGAGUUGCUCUUUUAAUAGUUGAAACAAAAUUUGAGCAGAUAUUUAGUAUGUAUGAUCCGUGAUUAGGGAUGUUCAAUCCAAAAUAAACCAAAUAAAAAAUUAUAUUCGAAAAUCGGGUAGAAUGGUAAAAAAAUUCUACAUUUAACAUUUGAACUUUAAGAUUGACAUUUAAAACAUUUGAACUUUUAAGAAAUUAGUUUUAAAACCAAAAAAUAACAUUUUUUACAUUUUACAUGUGAACUUUUAAGAUUAGUACAACUUAAAAUGAAGGAGAUUAAAAGCACAAAAAGCAAUCUUCAAAAACUUAUCUUUAGGAUUUGUGUUCCACUUCAAUCUGCAUGGUCGAGAUGCAAACCAAAUUGCAUGCCUUCUUCAUAAUGUUAAAACCAAUAUAACCUUAAAACAAAAAAUAUAUCCAAUUAAAUAAAUGAGUACUGUCAUAGUGUUAUAUAUUAUUAUAGGGUUGAUUAGUCAAAUGUAGUCGUGUUUUUUAAUACUGUUUGCUAGAUUAAAUCAUUAAAUUACUAAGAAAACAUUGCUUUAAGAAAUAUUAAACACGAAUGCGAACUGCAUGCAAACAAUAUUUGUCCAUAUUGCAUUCCAGUUUUCACAUUUAUGUGUAAAUCUCGUCUAAAAUGAUGUUUGGUAAAAGUACAGUAGUUACAGUAUUAAGUUUGUCUAAGAAUUGAAAUUCUACUGAAAUUUAAUUUUCUAAAAAUAAUAAGCAUGAACGAAAACAAAACCAAAUACAUACGGUUUUAAUUCUUAAGACAGGUUGUUAAGUUUUCUAAUAUAUCUUUAAUUUUUACAUCUAAAAGCUUACGGUUACAAACUUACAUUUCUAUUUUAUGGUCAACUAAAAGCUUACAAGUUACAACUAUGUUUCUUACCAAUUGCAUGCCAAAAAAAUAACGACGGAUGAUCAAGAACAAAUAUUAUUAUAAAAAAAAAAACUUAACAAACGAAUUUAUGGAAAUUCGAUAUACAUGUAAGUCCACAGGUUUCUGACUGUCCUACAACAUAGUCCAAGAUUUACAGUACUGGUAUUUUUCUUUAACUAUUGUCUAUAAAAAAAAAACUUUUUAGCAAUAUAGAAUAAGAAUUCAUAGAAAUGUCACACAUAGAAUGUUUUUUGGAUUAUUUUAACGCAUAAUUUUUUUUUUCUUUUGACAAUUUUUUUUUCUUUCUAUUAAGGGUUUUUAAUACAUAUUUCAGAAUUUGCAAGUUUAAUUGAUCAGCACAACUAAACCGUUGAAAAGUAUGAAAUAAUUUACGUACGUAGAAUUAUACAUCAAAUGAAUUGAAAUUUUCUGCUAAGUAAAUGGUAGAUUUUCCUUUUGUUUAUCGUUUCAAUAUGCAUAAUUUGAACUAAUCUUUAUUUAUGUAACCACUGCGAACUGUUAAUUAAAAAUAGUUUUACAGCAUCAGUAGGGUAUAUAAACUAUGCUAGCAAAGAAUCAUGUACUGAGUCAUAAAGCCCCCGAAAGAGUGUUGCGUUGAAAGAUCUAAAGGUAUCCAGAUGAAAUUUGAAGACCAUAUCUAAAAUAAAUUAAACAUGAGAGAUGAAAACAUGAAUGAAUAGAGAUUAUUUAAGUAUGUGAUUAACACUUUGUUGGGAUGCAAAAUGAUAUAUGACAAGACAAGACAACGGUGUGUGUUAUUGCAUGUGAAGAGUGAUGUUGACUUCUAUGACGUGACCUCUCAAUCUCUUCCUCUCUCUGUUCCUCCUCUUAUUUUUUUUUCUUCUUACAUGUUUUUUUAUACUUGUGCACUAACUAGAAAAACUAGAAUGAAGGUAGCAAAAAGUCCGUCGUUUAAUCCUCCUUUUAACAAAUUAUUAAUCAAAACGUACCAAAAUCAGCAUACAUAUAGGUACACUAUAUGCAUGAAAUUAAAAUGAGAUUCCUUUACGUUUACACAACAACUUAUUUUUUGUUACUUUUGUCGACAAUUUAUAUUAUAUAGGGAGAAUUUUCAGUACCAUACUACCAUUGACUUAAUUUCUCUAAAUCUACCUAGAAUAAUAUAAUUAGUUAUUCGCUAUUUCUUUUGAUGUCAAUUUUUUUUUAAUAGGAAAUAAUUACAUGAACUGUUAAUCUACCGCAUGAGAGGUCUCUUCCUAGUUAUACGAUUUUGCCAAAAUAGCGGCUUUCAACAGAACGGUACAACCGCAGCGUUACUUUAAACGGGCUUCGUUUAGUUCAAGUAUGUCUGAACGUUCGACACGUGUCCUGAACUUACUAUCACUUCACUAGCUUCUGCUGCCACAAGCCCCUAUUAACUAAAACUUAAAAUCCAAUUAAUUAAAAAUAUGAAAUCCAAGAAUCGAAUAGUGUUCUAUUACUAGGCUCUGAAUGGUACACAAAUUAGAAUAAAAAGGUGGAAAGAAAAAGUGAAGGAAAAAUGUAUAGGUUCACCAAAACUAAAGUUAAUCUUUCUUCAUGCAUCUUUAAAGUAGAGUUUAAUUUUCAGUUGGAAAAAAACACUUGGUUAAUACUCUGAUAAAUAGUGGGUCCAUAUUGAUUUGUUAACUCCAAUUAACUAUAAUUUGUUUACCGAUCAGAGCCUAAAUAAAAAAAGUUUGACAAAAGUGUAUUGUGUAUUAUUUUACAUUUCCAAUAUAAUUUGUUAGACAAAUUUUUAUAUUUAACCCAUAUCAAUGUAGACUCAUGAUAAAAAAAAAAGUAUUUAAAUAACCUCACGGUCUGGCAUCUACAUCAGAUUUUCUUCGCAAUGACCUAAUUAAUCUUUCUUUUUUUAAUAUCAAAAUGACAUAAGAAACCAAAUCGAACUUUUAGUCGUAUUUGAAAGCGUUCAUGUUCAAAUCUAAGUACCAAAGCUCUCCAAGCCGAGUUAAUUAAUAAUGUGUGUUGUAGGAGCACUGACUUCCACAUGCCAUGAUUGUGGCCUAGAGCUUAAGUCUCAGUCUCCUUUUCAUGAGUCUCUCUCACUCAAUGAAAUGUUCAGUAGUAUUAAAUGCACAAUGAUGUGAGCCUUUGCAUAAAACCAGAGAGUGAGAGACCUUUGGGUUGAACCAAAAGCUCUCACAAAAUUCCUUUUGUUUCAGAGUAUAGAGAGAGAAAGAGAGAGAGAAAGAGAGAGAGACGAUAGCAGUUGAAACUUGGGAGUUGUAGUUAAGACAUACCUGAAACUUUCUGUCUCAGUGAUGACUGUGACCAUUGGGCUUCGCUCUUCUUCUCUAUCAUCUCUGUUUUCAGGGGCUUUCAUGUCUUUUCUUCAUCUUUAGUAUAAUUCUCAUUUUACUAAUUAUUUGUUUUUAUCAUCAUUUACAGUGUGUAUUGCAUAAAAGAAGAUUUGGAUUCGACUUAAAAUCUAAGGUAAAACAAUGUAGAACAUCUCAAUUUUUUUCUUAUAUAUAUUUUGCAAACUUCUUUUCGUUCAUUUCCUUAUCGGAUUUCUUUUUCUUUCGUAUCUUCAACAUAUUUGUUUGACAAGACAUGUACUUGUGUGAUUGGAAAUCAUAAUAAGAAACGCGUACUUGUGUGAUUGAUUUCUCCGUUAACAGAUUAUUUCGAUCUUCAUUUAACAUAUGCAAAGACAUUCUUCUAGCUAACUGUGCUUUUUAAAUGAAACAAUGGUCUAGAAAAAAUAUAUUAACAAAGGCCAAACAAUAUUCAAAGAGAUUUUGAAAUCAAAACGAAGAAAGUUUAUUAUUUGAUAUAUAUUUUUUUUUGACCACAUUUAUUAUUUGAUAUUAAAGAAAUUAUAUUUGUAAUCAGCUAAUAUUUAAUGGAUAUUAACUAAUUGAUACUCCCUCCAUUUUUUUAUACAUGUCGUUUUAGUAAACUCACGCAAAUUAAAAAAAGUUUUAAAAUACUUAUUAUGACCUUAUUUAUUAUUAAAUUCACCUAAUACGAAUUAUUACAUAGCUUAUUAAAAAAGGGUAUAUAAAGUCAUUUUCUACUAGUAACUCUCUAGAUUGACGAGAACGUCAAUUAUUUUGGUAUAAAAAAAAAUCUUAAAACGUCAGGUAAUAAAAUACAGAGAGAGGGAAUAUAAGUCAUUUUAGUUCCAAAAAAACAAACUGAAACUUGGAAGGGGAAAACAUAUUUUCAUUACUCUAGAAGUAAACUAAACAUUUGAGAGGCAAAAAAUGCCGUUUAAUUGUUUAUGUCACAGCAUGGAGAAAAAAGAUUAAUGUUCGUCUUUGACAAACACAUUAGUUAAAUUAUAUACCAUCGUACCUAUAAUUACUUCACCCUUUUUUUAGUGACUAAAAUGGUAUACUAAAUUUUGCUGCCUAAAAAGUAGUUUGUUAUAUACAACAAUUCUUCGCACCGUAUGGUUCACGUGUUUUAAAGAUAUUUUUGAUACUGAGUAUGCUGUCGAUCAAUCUAGAAUGCCUAUGUAAAAAAAAAAAAAAACACUUCAUGAAUUUAAUCAAACAAAAAUAUCAAUCAUAAGCAUUCUUCUUUGAUAAUAUAGGCUUCUUCUUUGAUAAUAUAGGCUUUAUAUGGUAACUUGAGUUUGUGGACAUGACUCGAAAAUAAUUUUUCGAUAGGUAAAAUCAAAUAACUGAGUCAAUGGUGAAACAAGUUGGCAAUAAUUAACUUUCGUUUUUAAUCAAGGGGCCAAAGAAAGGUAAAAUAAUAAUGGCCCGACAAAUGAAAUUCGACAUGAUUUAAUGCGGAUUUACCAUUAAAUUUAGUUGUCACUUUCAUAGACUUUUUUCACCAAUUUCCAGAUCUCUCACUUUACCAUUCCAGUUUUGGGAAUUUCAUUAUUCUAAAGCUCUAUCAGUUUAAAUGAUUUACUAAUGGCAUAUUUAUUUUAACUAUUUACCACCUACCUACUGAUAUUUGAGUGAUAUUUUUAUAGUAGUUAUAAAUGUAUCAAGAAAAAAGAAAGGGGUAAUGUAAUAUCCACUUGAGGGAAAAAAAUAAAAGAAAGAAGAGAAAUCUCCAAUACUUUUCAUUCUCUGAAGUAUGGGCCUACUGAGUUUAUUACAUUAUGCCAAAUUGCCAAGCAGAGUCCAUCAAAUAUUCAAAUCCCAUUCAUACUGUUUCCAUAAACGACAUUCUGUUCUAGCGGCUAGUCUUUUAAGUUUUUCUUGUUCUUAAUUUGUGUUGCUUACUGUGUAGAUGUCUCUCCCUCUUACACGAGAAAAUUUUGUUGGUUCACCACCAGCUUCUGAAAGUCAGCUUGCUAUAUAUAUAUAUAUAUAUAUAUAUAUAUACAUAUAUAUAUAUAUAUAUGUUCAACGAGAGAGAUGUCUUCGAAAUUCAAACUUUAGUCGUUCUCCAAACACCAUCUUUGUCUCCACGACCAUUGAUGCUCAAUGUGAAGAGUUAGUAGUCUCAUCCAUUACACAGAUUCGCAACAAGCUCUUCCUCUCUUCUCUCUUCUUUAGAUCUACAUACAGUACAUUCUCUCUACCUCUUAUCUUGGAAUGCAAGAAACCUUGUUUUCCAAACUACAAUUAUAUGGGCUUACUUUGUAAAAGGCCCAAAUGACAUUAAUUCUACUUGGGCUAAUCUCACAGUCAAUAAAUCCAUUACAAAACAAUGGGACCUUCGCAUGAAUUGAAAGUGGGCGUCGUUUUCACUGCCUUAGACUCAAUCAGCAUUCUAUGAUGAAUUCAAGUUUGACUCGUUUCUCUCAAACAAUAGAUCCAUCGGAAAGUUAAAGCUUUCUAUGUGUUGAGAGUAGAAGAAACAAAGGAAAACACUUGGAAACAAAAAUAAGAGUAGAAGAAAUGGCAAAGUUAUUCAUAAAGCAAGCGGAGCAAUACGCGGCAGCCCGACCCAAUUACCCGAUCAAACUCUUCGAGUUCAUCGCGUCCAAAACACCGUGCCACGACCUUGCCUGGGACGUCGGUGCCGGAAGUGGCCAAGCCUCACGAUCGGUAACAAUCUUCUCUAAUUAUUUCACAAUUUUCAAUCUUUCUUGUAAAAAUCUUCAAUUUUGAUUUAGUGAGUGGAUUAGUGGUUCAAUUUUCAAUCUUUCUUGUAAAGGUUCAAUUUUGAUUUUUAGAUUUGUGAUGCCUAACAUCUUCCAAUUCAAUUUUCUUCUCGAUGUUUGAUUUUCAGUUAGCAGGAAUCUACAAGAAGGUGAUUGCUACCGAUACGAGCUCCAAGCAACUCGAGUUUGCUGCAAAGCUUCCCAAUAUCCGUUACGAGGUAACUCCACCGGUGAUGUCUUCGUCGGAGAUCGAGCAGCUGGUGGCGGCGGAAUCAUCGGUCGAUUUAGUCACCGUCGCUCAAGCCCUCCACUGGUUUGAUCUCACGACUUUUUACAGCAACGUGAAACACGUGCUCAAGAAACCCGACGGAGUAAUCGCCGCCUGGUGCUACACUAAUCCGGUGGUUAACGCCGCCGUCGAUGAGGUUUUCCGGCGGUUUUACGAGGAGAGGCUUGGACCGUAUUGGGAUAAAGCGAGGCGGCUUGUGGAGGAUGGUUACAGGGGAAUUGAGUUUCCGUUCGAGAAGAUCAUGGAUGAUGAGUCAACGGAAAGUCAACGUUUUCCGGUUAGGUUUGUGGCGGAGAGAGAAAUGGGGGUUGAAGAUUACCUGACGUAUCUGAGGUCGUCUUCGGCGUAUCAGACGGCUAAGGAGAAAGGGUUGGAGCUUUUGACGGAGGAGAUGGAAGGAGAGUUUGCUGGUUCGUGGAAGAAAGACGGAGAAGAGAAGAAAGUUGUUAGGUUUCCGAUCUAUUUGUUGAUCGGUAGAGUCGGAGGAGAUCGUUUAUGAAGAUUGUGUCCUCUCGCUUUGAUGAAUUGUAAAACAGUGUUCCAAACACUUGUAGAAACUUGAUGUAUCUCUCUCUUACUUGAAUACUUAUUUUAAAAAUUAAUAAAAUAAGUGGGACCAUGAGUUAGGACAAGUCGACUUUAAUUGAGAGACCAUGUUUUGUAGCUCCAGCUUCCUCGGGGUUCGAUUCUUUCGCUAAGCCAAACGAUAUGUUUGUCCUCUUUCUCUCUGAACGCACGCGCAAUAUUUAAUUAUCUAUGGUUAAAUAUGAAGUAACUUAGAGCAUAUAUAUCACGGGAUUAAGAGACGUUCAUGACACAGUUUUUAAGACAAAAAAGUUUAUGUAACAUCCCGAUCCGUCCUCUCUUUAGGAACCGAACGCGGACUGGUGAUAUCAAUUCUAACUCCCCCCAACCGCCCCUCCCAGUGAGCCCAACGCCUUCUCUAGGCACGUGGGCCCAUCGUUGGCCCAACGCCCUCUCUAGGCCCAUUAGCCCACCACUGUCCGACGGUCGGGAGUCGUUAGUUCGGAAGGCUCAUAAGACUUGUCUACUGUCUCUGCAAUCACCACAUAAUCUUUCUCCGUUCUUUAUCCUCACUCGCACGAUACCGCAUAGUAUUUCCCGGUAGGUCACCCAUUCUGAGAGAAGUCUCAGCACACUUGACCGGAAAAGAUAAGUGCACUUUGUUGACAUAGGUAGUCAAAUCAAUUCUUAUAAGCUUUUUCACAUAUACUGGAAAUCGGGAUGUUACAGCUUAGUAUUGAAGAGACAGUAUCAUCCCGACGAACCUGAAGAGACAGUAUCAUCCCGAAAUGGAGCAUCUUGAUUGGUCGAAAAUUAUAAUUUUUGAAUUAAAAUAAAAAAGAAAAACUAAAACCAAAAAAAAUAUAUUAUUAUAUUAUGGUGAACCCUUUUUAUAUUUAGACCAUCCACAACCCUGAAUCCCAUCAUGGGGUUCAUCAGCGUAUUUUAAUAAUUUUUGGAAGAGAGAGAAUAUGGAAAAACCUUGGGUGAACCUGGGGUGAAAAAAGGGUGUCCAACCCUGAUACCCAUUUUGGGGUUCAACAAAAUAAAAUAAUAUUUUUUUUAACUAUUUUAAACAUUUAAAUAAAAUAAAAUGAAAAGAGUGAAAAUUGAGAAAACCAAAGGUAGAGGUUCUUAAAUUGAGAAAACAGAAGUGAAAAUAAAACUAGUAAUCUUCUAGAUGUCCAAAUUUAUGCCAAAGGUAGAGGGUAUUUUUUCUAAGCAGUAGCGUGCUCUAGAGUACAUUCUCGUGCUUUUCAUCGAAACCCGCAUUGUCUUCUUUGUAUAGCUUCGCUUUGGCUUCAUCAAAGUAGUCCCCUCCACCUAUUUCGGGGUUUGUCAGCAUCUCAUGAAGAUUAAUGAACAUCUUAUGGAUGGUGUGACUAGGCGAGAAGUAGUCCGUUGUCAGCAUCCUUAGGAAGAUAUGACCACGAUCUCCUACAUUGGGAUGAAAGAUUUUGGUUCUGAAGGAGACCUGCAGAAAAUAAAUAUUCAGCAAGCGAUUACUACAAAACCCUGAACCGUUUAAGGCGUCAUACCUUUGGUGGCUUGAACGGGUAUUCCGGAGGAAAGUCUAUGCUGAUUUUGAAGACUCCGUUUUCGUACGGCGAUCCUGCUGGUCCGAACAGCUCACCCUCCCAAUAAAACAGCUUUCCAUCUACGGGACCUGCCUUGUAGAGCGGGCUCUUAACCCUCGCAAUCUCUUUUUUCUGCUUGGUUAUGGUUCUCGCCCAGUACGGGCCAUCCUCAUAACUUUGCAUACUCUGUCCAUAGUAAACGAUUUGAUCAUUUGAGUUACAUAAAUAUCCGAACCAAAUGAGAAAAACAAAACUUGAAAACAAACCUAAACUCAUGUAACUGCUUAAACCUAAUCAUUCGAUAUAACCAGAACACGAUUACAAUACGAUGUCCCUAAACAUUCGAUACUCCUAAACACACAAUGAACCAUUUCAACCUAAACAUUUGAUAUGACCUAAACAUUCAAUACUUGAAAACACACAAUGAACCAUUUCAACUCACACAAGCGAUUCACACAAGCGAUCAACAAUUCGAUUAACUCACACAAGCGAUUAACUUACACAAUUCGAUUAACUAACACAAGCGAUUAACUCACACAAGCGAUUAACUCACACAAGCGAACCAAAAUUUAUAAAAGCCCCAAGCGAAUUAGAAGCCAAUUGCAAUCCCAAAUGAAAGCCCCAAAAUUUAUAAACAUUUUCGAAAACCCUAAAUUCAAAACAUCAAAUUUUAAAACCCUAAUACGCGAAAUCCGGAAACCGAUUGAAUAUAAAAACAAUGAAUCGCAAACAACCCUAAACCCUAAACCUAAAAGCCCCCAAAAAAACUUUCCGAAGAACCCUAAUUUUCCCCCAAUUUUGAAAACCCUAAAUUUUCCCCCAAUUUUGAAAACCCCAAUUUUCCCCCAAUUUUAAAAGACUUCUAAAGGAUAUAAACGACUUACCAUACUGAUCGACCGAAGGGGAAACGACGAUUCACCGGAGAUUCAAUCGGAGGGGAAGAUUGGAUUCGAAGUCGCGAUUGUCGAGAGAGAAAAAGUUUCUCGAUGGAAGAAGAGAAAAAUGAAAAAUUGUCGACCAAAAUCGAUUUCCAACCAAAAAAAAAAUUCUCAACCACGGGCCAAUACGAACACGACAUAUGGCCGAUGAACCUUAAUGAUACGGGUUCAGCACACUGAUCUUGAAGAUACGGUAUCGUUCGAAUAUUGGAGUUCAACAAUUAAAAAAAACUAAAAAAAUUGCUUUGGGUUCUACGGAUGAACCCCAUCCAUACUGCGUUGUGGAUGGUCUUAGGGGUUCACUGAUGUACAUACUCUUAGUAGCAUUGCCACAACAUCAUUUUGAACCCUAACUUUUGACUAACAAAUUAACCAUUAUUUGUAAUGGGGGGAUUCGGGAUGAACCACACUAUACUAUAUUUAUAGACUAUGAUACCUUUGUUUUACUAAAAAAAUUACACAAAGAUUUUUGUUAGAGUUGGUAUGAUUUUGGAGUUUUAGUAACGAUUUCAACAUAAAUCUGGCGUGUUUAUUUGGGUGUAUAUCUUUGAUGUCAGUGAUGGACAAUAUCGAUGAUUUUAAAUGGGUUUGUUUCGUCGAUGUUAAAUCAUUUACAAAAAAAAUCUAGCGGAGGACGAGACUUAAAUGGUAAUGCUUUAAUUUUUUCGUUAUUCUAGGUUUUACCUCCCUAACAAUUUUUAACAUUGUCUAUUUCUUUGAUACCAAAAACAGUGCAACAAACGUAUCUCUCUAUUUAUCUACCUAUCAUGAUUUUGAUGAUGUUUUGAAGGAUGGAUUUUUCUGUCCAACAAAAUGACAAACAGUCAAAACGUUCACAACUUCAGAAUUUGGAAGAUAUCAUAAGCGGCCAUAUAUACAAAUGUGUGUAGUGUAUACUUGCGUGUGAAGGCUAAUGAAAAUCACAAGAACUUUCAAACCUAUAGCCAUAUGAAAUGUCAUACCCAAUGUCGACAUAUCGAUAUGUCCAAAACACCACUAUGAUUGGGGAGGUGGAAACAAUAAUUAAAAUACGAUAUUAUCUUGUUUUGAAACCUCCGGUUAACAAAAAAUUAAUUAAAUCUUGUUAUAAACUUUUAAAGUAGAAAAAUAAAGUAUUUAAAAAUGUAAUAUUUUUACUGUUUUAGUAAAAUAAAAAAAUUAAUUAAUUUAAGCUGAUUUAAAUAUACAAAAAAAUAAGUUUUGUUGUAAUUUAUGUAAGACUCAAGUCCAUACUAAACUUUAAAAUUUAUAACCGCUAUAUUAGAUUAUACAAUGGCCAAAUUAAUAAAAACAUAAAUGAGAAUGCAAUCAUUAACCUCGACCAAUAAUAAAAUGAUUACCAAAUGAUCAGCAUUUUAAUAUGUUUAUGCAUUUCUCUACGUCUACACUUAAUUAACUCUAUAUUCUUAACAAAAACAAAAUUCUGUAUUAAUGAAUCAAACAAGUAUAUCUGCUUUUUUCAGGCAUAAUUCGAGUUCGGGAAUCCUUAACGAAAGUUAUAAUCUCUCAUUUACCAUUAGGAGUACCAUUUGGAGUAUAUUUUAAUCAAUAGAAUCUCAUGAAAACUUCAUAAACUGAGCUGCUUCAGCUUAUAUCUGUCGUCCAAUAACCUUAAUAUAAGUUUUAGACAGCAUUUAUACUUCCGGCAGGGUUUUGAUUCUCUAGCACAAUCAUUCAUCUACGCGUUGCUAAUGAUAAAUUUAAUGCAAUAAUAAAGUCCGCUUACUAACCAACUAAUCCCUAAAAAAAAUCUUGUGCUGUUACGAAUAUUCUACGCCUCUAUGUGUGGUGAGGACUUGAGAAGCGGCGCAAAUGCCUUUUUUUUAUCUCACAAAAAUUCAACUGAGACUCGGCUUUUGUUGUGGACGUUAAUUUGUGGUGCAUGCAUCUUUCGUUUACUUCCUUCCAAUUUAGACUUCGGCGUAAUCUAUAACAAAUUUAAAAAUGUUAAUAAGAGUAAAAACUCUUCAAAAGUAAAUUAGAUUCCGCGUUGGAGAAUGGGGAGGGUCCAUUUUCCAUAGGCCACGGGUCGAGUGGAGGACAGUUGGUCGGCGCAUUUGCUUGGACAAUGCUUGUGGACAUUGUCCCUCCACUUUUUUUUUCUUUUUUUGUUCUUUCCUUCUUUUUAUCUUUAAUCUGAAGAAUCAAAAUAAAAAUCAAAGAAGAAUUAAUUGAAUCAAUGAAAUGUUGCUUGGUUUGCACUGAGAACUUCUGUAGUUAUUGAUUAAUACAAACAUCGUUAGCAUAUGUAAUUUCUUGGUGGCUGAAUAGAUGUAUAGUUAGAUUAGUUAAGAAAAGAAAAUAUCAUGUAAUUAGAAGUUUAGAACAUUGAUCAACAUGUCAAGUGCAUGCAUAAUAGUUUAUAGUUGAACCCAACACACUGCCUCGCAUAAAACGGAGGUGCCAAUUGCCCAUUCACAAGUAUAUAAAAAAAGAACCCCAAAGAAGUGAAACUCCAUUCAGUUUGAAAUCUCGAUGAGGUUUCAUUAGUAAAACAAAACAAAAGAAAAGAUAACGCAUACUUAAUAUUUGGAGAUAAAGAGCUAAUCCGUAUGUUUAGAAGAAUCCGAGUCUUCUCCUCCAUAUCUUUAUUGUUGGCUAUUUUGCUAACCACCGUAAAUACAUUAUAUUAAAAGACUAUCCGUGUUAACUCAACGUGUUAACAACCUCUUAACAAUUGAAUCAACUAAUUGUUCAAGUUUUCAAGACGUUGAAUGUAUAUCAAAUUUAUGAGAUGAUAAAGUAAAGUUCUUGCUCAAAUGAGUUUUAAAUAACCGAUAUUAAAGAGACAUCUGGUUUUUUAAACCGGCGGUAAACAAAUUUAAGUGCUUGACGUGACGAAAUUAAUACCCACCGCAAAAUAGAAAAAUUACAGUACCACUUAUAUAAAAUAAUUUGUAUAUAAAAAAAAAAAAAGUGCAUGGCGAUGUCAUUAUCAUCAAUCAAAACAUGAUUAUUACAUGAAUCAAAUGAUAUGAUGAUUCAUCUCGCAGGAGCCUGAAGCUCCAUCAUGCGUGAAAAGUCCUCGAAGCAAACAAAACCGUCUCCGUUCCUACCAACGGUCGCUAUCAUACGCCGACACUCAUCUAUCGUGCACCUCUCGUCUCCGAUGACUCCAAACACUCUGUAUAGCUCCUCCGCCGAUAUUUUCCCGUCGCGAUCCGCGUCGAAAAACUCAAACACCUCCCUCAUCUCCUCCGUCUCGACGGAUCCUUCACCGGAGGAAGAUCCGGCGACGCGGCUAGCAAGCUCUUCGAGACUGAUACAACCGCUUUCUUCUCCUCCGUCGACUUCUCUGAGCAUCAGACUCACUUCCUCUUGACUCGGCGGGUCAGGACUCAGCCUGCUAAGCAGCGCCGCUAGAUCUCCCCUCGAAACGACACCGUCGUCGUCGCGAUCGAUCAAUUUGAACGCCUGAAUCAAAUCAGAGUAAAAAUCGCGAUCUCCUGAGAUCUGGGACCAAUCGCCGGAGUUUUCGGGGAGAACACUGACUGGAGUGGCGGCGGGACCUGGCUUGAGAUUAGCGUAAGAUCCGUCGGAGGAGGAAGAGGAAGAAGCGCCGGAGCUGAAGGAGGAAGGUUCGGAUCUGGAGACGGAAGCUUUGGAUUUGGAUCGGAAGAGACGUUUGGGGCUCAGGCGGUUGAGGCUUGCGGCGAGCUUCAUAGCUACGAGGAAAUCGGAGAAGAUAAGAGAGAGAGAUAGAAAGAGGAGAAGAGAUUUGGUUUUUGUUUCUUCUGGUUUGAGAGGAAAGAGCGAGGAAGGAAGGUCUUAAAUGGGGAGAGAAAGAGGGAAGCCAUGGCAGCUUCCGCGAAGCUUCGUGGAGAGAGUGCUUUCGUGUUUAUUUUGAUUGAUACUUAUACUUCUCUCUUUUCAUUUCACUUCAUUCAUUUCCCAUUUUUCUUCUUUUUUUUUUUUUUUCUUGGAAUCUCUUAUUAUCUAUUUAUUUCUAUGAUUAGUUGAUUACAUUUAUUACUACUACGACUAUCGAAAAUGUAUAAUUUAUUUAUUCUUUGUAUAUAUAUAUUGUAUAGUUGCUUUUUCUUCGACGUACAUAUGCAACGUAUCUACUGGUUGUGGAAACAAAGGUAUGUCUAAAGAGUUGAGUAAAGAAACAAAAAUGUAAUUGUCUGUUUACAUGGGAUUUUGUUUUGUGUUUCGACUUUGGAUUCGAUUCAUAAUUAUGUUCUGACAUCGUCAUAACACAUGCAGGUGCAGUGGUCGUCGAGUCAUGAUUCAUGACCUAAUUUUUCUUACUUGUUUAUUGUUUAAUUGGUGGAGAAUUACGAGAAUGUUUUUUUUAAGGGAUUUAUUUCGUGUUUUUUUAUUAGCGAGCUAACGUAAAGAUUAGUUCAGACUCUUUUCCAUGACACGCGAAAGAAAAUCAGUAAGAAUAAAGGCUAUUUGUGAUUUUUUAUCUACCAAUACUUUAAUAGUAUUUCUAAAAAGCCUAUGCCAUUGCUGUGUAGUUUCUUAACAUUUGCAUGAGAGACACUUCAAAACAAUAAAUAUAAUAAUAUUUGAUGACUAUAACCUUCCCUACUUUUAGUGCUAAACAUCGGCGUGGCCAAACGCGUUGUGUGUGUGUUUGUUUCUGUUAACGGAUUUAUGAACCAAAAAGUUUCGAUAGCAUUUUCAAUAUAUAAUUCAAUAGUUUCGGCUAUAUAAAAAUUUUAAAAAUUCUCUACAGAACGUCAGACGCACUACUUGGUACGGCCGACUCUGGUCUUAAAAAAUAAUUAGUGUGUAGAAGAACUGAUUACAAAAGUUGAUAUAACCGAAUAGCUUUAACUUUAUCUCUUGCAUUCGAAGAUAUUAUAAAAUUGCAGUAAUCAUUCUAGAAUUAUACGAAGCAAAGUCAUUAGUUUUUGUUUGUUUGUUUGUUGGCUUCUCAGUACCUGAAGAAACUUUCACAAAGCUAAUUAAGUGUACUUUUAUGGAAUCAAAGGACUGAUCACAGUUCACAAAUGAGAAUGCCCCCAAAGACCAAAACACUAAAACAGAGCACAUCACUAGUGGUCAUAAGAACAACUUCGUCACCAACCUCAAAUCUCAAUAUUCCAGGAGUCAUCAGCUUAGCAAUUAGCACCAAAAUCCCUGGAGUCACUAACAGACCCAAAUGAACACACAUAGUCCUGGUCAGAGUCAGAGCUUGAAGUUGACCUUUUACGAUAGUAUGGGCUUCCGUUAAACCAUAACGGGCUUAGAAUUUAGUUGUGUAAUAGCCCAUAUGGGCGACUAAAAGUAUCAGAUACAAGAUCCGAUGCCGAAUCUGAUCCAUGUGUUCUGAAAAUUAUAUGAUAUUAGGAAUUUUAGAUCUCGUUUCUGUUCUGAAUACUGUCAUUUGUCAUAUGGUAAUUUUAGAAACAAAGCCUAAAUCGACAAGUGUCUUUAAGUUGAUCAACGGUAGAUAAAAGUUAGAGUAUGGAGAUUACAGAAUCACAUAAAAAUAAAGAAUAUAUCAUACUAAAAGCAUCUUCUUUCGAGUUCAAUUUUCUUUUGGGGUAAUCUAAAAACCGGUUCAUGCAAAAAUGGAAUUCAGAUAAGGCCGGUUAUAUCCUACAUAUAUCCUCUUAGACUGUAGCAUACAAUUUUAAGUUGUCUAACUCUAAUGUCUAUGCUUAAAUAUGAAGAAAAUAUAGCUCAUAUUCACUGGUAUUUUCGAGAACUGCCGUUUAAAAUAUGGAAAUUUGUAACAUUCGACUGAAUCGAUUUGGAAUGUUUCCAUAAAUAAAUAAAAUGAUUAGGAAAUCACAUUGUUAUAGUAGUUAAGAACACCCUGCCUUAUUCUUCUAGUUGCUUCUAGACGGAGUUUUAAAGUCAAAGCGUCAAAGGCAGAUUCAAGACUUUUCAGACCCUAACCAAUCCAGACUUGUUCGUCAAGUAAAACUCAUAGAACUCCAAUUUCAAAAACCCCUCUGAACCCUUUUCCAUAAUUUCUAUAUAUAUAAGGGAACACGAGAAACAUUAAUAUUCGUUAAGUAAGUUGUUUGAGUUGUCGAUAAAAAAUCCAAUGUCGGGUCUUCUUCAGUUCAAUUUUUUCCCAACCGAUUUCUAUUAUCCGAAGCCAAGUCGAGUAGAAAGUGUCGACAAGGCCAAAAGUUGUGUUCAAUCAGUGUCGACACACGGAUUCAAGAAAGAGAAGGCGAUUGUUGUUAGAGAAAAUAACCAAAGUGGUUUGAUUCUUUAUGUCAACGGCGAAACAAAACGGUUCUGUGCUGCUUCUACGUUCCUUGAGUAUUCUUCUAAGAAUUGUGACUCUACCACCAAUUAGGCCUUUUCCUUUUAGUUUUGACUGUUUUGGAUGUUAUGCUGUUUGGAUUUCUAUAUAAAAUAGUUUUUUUCUUUAUUCUGUUUUUAGUUUGUGAUUAUCAUACACCAUUGCUAAUGAAUUCUAUACUCUUUGUUCGCGCAUGAUUUUGUCAUCAAUUUUUUUUUCUAGAGUUUAUGACGGCUUAAACAUUAUUAUGCCUUUGCUAGAAGUUCGACUCGACUAGAUAUAGCAAAAAAACUUCGUUCAUCUUAACAAUGUAUAAACCUCUUCACAGUAAUAUUAAUUUGUAUAUAACCUUCUUUGAUUACUUCGUUUAUUGAUUGGUUGCAUUUAUCAGUUUGUUCCCUCUGAUAUCAGUUGGUUGUUCUCCACGAUUAACACCAUUAUCUAACAGCAUCAAUGGAACCAACCCAUGUGGCCAUGUGGGUUUGGUUUGCAGACAAUGUGGUCAGUGGAAAUUUCCACGCGAAACGAAUCUACUUUUUUUUUCAAUGAUAAUCUCAAAUUAAAUCUAAUACCAGUCUAUAAACUGUUCUCAAUAAAAGCAUUGAGAUAUGAUUAUCUGAAUUAUUUGAACACACAUUCACCACCAAUUUUUACAAAUCCCAUUAAUCAAAUCCAAACGAGCCAGAACGUCGAUAGACAAAUAGGUUAUUUAUGAACCGAAGAACAUAAAACAUAAACGAAAGAGAAUAGACAAGAGAUCCUCUGCAAUCCAUUUUUUUCAAUGCCCACAACAAAUCAAUUUUAAAUUUCUAGUGUUGCCAAACGCUCCCUCUUGCAAUUAAAUCAGCAGCUCUGAGCAGAUACUUCAAUCAGAAGCAAGCAUCCAAGAGACAGCAACAACAGAGAGCAGCAAGACUGCAAAACAAAAACAUCGUUCACAUUCUUAGCCGAUACCAAAAACUUGUACAAGUGUAGAUUCAACACUUUAUAACACUCUCAAGGCAGGAACACAAUCACAAAUCCAAUUCGUAUGGAUAUGCAAUGUAGCAACCAGUAGUAGUAGUUCAAUUGUUAUGAUGCGAAUCCACUAGAUGCAAGCAUGUUCAUUCUAAAAAGAUGCAAAUCCACAUUCUUUAGUAAGGCAAUGACAGAACAAAAACCAAUCAUUAAGUAUUUCACAGUCAAUAAGGUAUAAUCAUCAAAGAGAGAUCAGAAAAAAGGAUGAAAAGUCAAGCCCUAUAGAGGAAUAUUCUAGCUGUAGCACAUGACUUUUCAAAGUAUCUGUAAUUGAAUAUUCAAACACCGGAAAAUAGUCAAAUUAAGUCUAACAUUAGAUCCACACGAAACUCACAGGAUAACAAAAUUUUAUGAAAUCGAGUCUAUCGACUGACUUACCAUCCUUCUAGAAACCCAGGGCUGUUCUGUUGUUGCUGAUGCUGCGGUGGCGGAGGAUAUUGCGGCGCAUACGGCGGAGGAUAUCCUUGCUGAGGAUAACCCUGCGGUGGGUAGCCUUGCUGCGGAUAUCCCGGAGGAGGAUAUCCUUGCGGUGGAUAAGCAUCCUUUGGAUAUCCCUCCGGCGGAUAACCUUUAAUUUCCGAUCAUAUAACAUGCAAUGAUUCAGAUCAACCGCAAAAUUCAGCACAUAGCUAACCAGAUCUAAGAAAUACGAAUCGAAACUCGGAGAUUCAAAAUUGCGAGAAAACUAACCUUGAGGAGGAGGAACACCGACGGGAGGUUGAUUGUACUGACUCAUUGCUGUUUGUUUUUGGGAUCUCCUGCGAAACGUGAAACUCGAGAAGAGAACGACGAAGACGAAAGGAGAUCACGCAGAGUGCAAAACUUAGAUCCAGAAACUGAUAUAUCGAAGUUAUAGCGAUAGAGAUGGGUAGAGAAAGAAAAGGAAAAGAGGAGAGUGUUUUAAGUAAAACGCGUUUUUGCAGUUAUUAUUUAUGUAUCUUUUUUAGCUUUUAUUAUCCAAAACUCAUCGUUCAAUACGAUGAAACCACCAGAAAAAAAAAAAGUAUAUAUAUUUAACUAACAAAACAAGAUUCACGCGGAUUUCUGCCCUUUGCAGAUAUAUAUUCUGUUUGUUUUUAAUUCCAUAUAAAAAAAACAAUUUUUUUUUUCAUUGGUUGUUUAUCUUAUUAAGUUGAUCUACAACACCUUAUUAUCUUGUUUACAAAAAUUAGAACACUACUGAGAUGAUUUUUUUUGUUUGGCGUGUUAGUUAACUAAAUGUAAACACUAAUCAGUAUGAUAAUAAAUAGAACAAUGGUCUAUAUAUAUUAUAUACUCUCACUUCAUAAUAGAGUAAAUCUAAUUAAUAUUAAUGGAGUUGACUCAUUUAUUAGAACUCUAUCAUUUCAAGGUAUUUUUGACACACAGUUUAAGAAAAAAAUUGUAUAGAAUACCACACUAUUUAGUAUUUAGCCAAGCAAAUUGUAUAGCUCGUAUUUAUACAAAUCCAACUCAAAGUUUAAUUGAUAGAGAAAAUUAACACCGCCAAAACCAAUUGGAAAAGUCCAUUUGAGCACCCUAUGGAUAUGUCAUAAUAGAGAUCAAAAACAAAACCAGAACACAUUUAGUCUCCUUGAAACUGAACCACACAUUGUGAAGCUAGCAUUGUCCCGGAGUCAGCCCGUCAACGACUUUGUUGUUAUCCUUGAGCAACUUCAUAUACUAGCUUUGAGCUACUCCUAAUCAGAAAACUGAUACCAAAAUAAAGAAAAAUAAAUCAACAGAUUCAAUUCAGUUCUACUAUAUCAACAAAGAUAUAUAAUUAUUUUGAUAAUCCUAGUUGUUUUAGACCUUAGCGACCUUUCCCGACCCUUGUCAAGGUCAUAAGAUUUGGUUCUCCAUUUGGUCACAGAUUUGAUUAGUUAGUCACAAGAUAUCUUACAAAAAAGGCAUAUUUUAGACAUUAAGACGAAGAUAAAUGGUAAAAUCUACUUUUAAUAAGUGUUUGGCAAAAAAAAAAAUUUCGCCCGCUGAUAUACGAAUUUUUGAACUAUAAUACUAAUACAAGUAGUAGAAGUUUACUACCUGUAAUCCUAGAUCUAGAUGCAACUAGCAAAUGCUAACAAACUCACAUUUGUGAGUUCAAUCUUAAAAACAAUGAUAAAAAAGGAAGAACUUUCUCCAGUUCAGAUCAUCAAGAUAAAUCCCUGUAUAAUAAGAUGAAAGUUGAAAGAUUUCAUUAAAAUAUGUAGGAAACUCAUUUUCACCUAUUGACACACUCACAAAACAUGGCAGAUCCCACACUAAUCAGAUCAAGCUACAUCCCACGAUAACAUAAUUAUUGAAUGUUACAACUUACUAGUGAUUCGUCCAAUUGUUACUAGUGAUCUUAAGACCCCACCUACAUGCAUUUACUGUUCUCUUAUGUAAUCUCCUCUUGGUUUAAUAUUUUUGUUCUGGCAUCUUUUAUCUAUCACAAAACUGGAUUGAGAAUUUGAUUGUUGAUCGUUUUAAGCAGUGAGGUUCACAGUAUCUGGAGAAGAUUAACUAAAUCACAAAUAUGAACAGAUUGAUGCUAAAGAUAAAAACACAAACAAUCAUGUAUCAUGGGCGGUUUCUGGCCUAUUUGUAAAUAAUGGGCCUAAAUAUAUUGGAUUAGUUUCCUACCUUAUCCUCUUCGACCGGAUUUAAGAUAUAUAUAUUUUUAAAAGAGAAUAAUAAUUUACUUGGUACGAGUCGCCAACGGAUUGGAACGGAAGGAAAGUCAAAUAAAGCCAACAGUAACGCGUCUACACGUGGACGGCGGAUUACUCAAAACCAUGUUAGGUGCGGGUCCAGACCUACCCACUUGUUUCUCACAUAUUUGAUUUAACGAACCUGAGGUUCGUCUCCGAGCCUUACUUUAUAUAAUUACUACUCUUCCCCUCAUCUUUCUCGCAUCGUGUUUGAUCCUAAUCCGUUUUCGCUUUUGUCAAAGAGAAGAAGAAGAAAAAUAUCAAACUUUGAGCGAGAGUUGCAGGUAUUUUCUCGGCCAAGGUAAAAAGAUCUGCUGCUAUCUUUGUCUUCUUGUACUCGAUCGAAAUUUCUCAAGGCGAUUAUCCGAUGGUUUUGUUUAUCUUCAUAGUUCGGCGAUUUUGAUGGUUCCGUAUUGUUUCCUGGAAAGUUUUUUUUUAAAAGUAUGAAGAAAUCAAGUGAUUAUACUAUCUUCAGAUUUGUGAUCUGUGUGGUGAUCUUCGAUCUAGCUAAUAGUUGUUCGGAUUUCACUUCUUUUGACCUCCGUAGUAAGUGCGAUACUAAGUCUUCAAAUUGUUAAAUUUUCAGAUCAGCUUCACCUGAUUUAUAUCGUGCCGAUCGAAAAAUUGUAGUUACUUAGCUAAAUAACUUUGAUCGUAGUAUUGGGCGGUUUUGAUUGAUUGAUUGCUUCGUUUUCAGAUCUGAAACUGAAUAAUCAUCUGGAAAAUAUGCGUGCAAAGAUGUCAACUUUUUGAUCUGAUCUCAUCAUCUCACUGAUAUCCACUUUUUGUUUGUCAUCCUGUUUGUGUGCGCAGAGUUAAAGAAAUGGCGAUGGUUUCAGGAAGACGUUCUACUCUAAACCCUGAUGCACCCCUUUUUGUUCCGGCAGCUGUUAGACAGGUGGAAGAUUUCUCGCCGGAAUGGUGGCAAUUGGUGACAACCUCGACUUGGUACCAUGACUACUGGAUCAGCCAGCACCAAGGCCCUGACGGUUUCUACGACAACGGAGAGAACGAGAAUCGUGGUGGCGAGGUUGAUGUAGCUGAUCUUCUUCCAGAGUCAUUUGAUUUCGAUGACAUGGAAGAUUUCUUCGACAUUGAUGCUGCUGAGUUUGAUCAUGGAUACGGUGGACAAAUCUACCACGCACCUUCCGACUUUGGUUAGUCGGUUUGAUUCUCCAUAAGACAAAACAAAUCCAGUUAGGAUUAAACAGAGCUGGAGAGUAAUUAAGUUCUUGAUUUGUCGUUGUGAUCAUCAGGUUUAGGGAAGAAUGGUGAGAUGGUUAGGAUAAAAAGUGGAAACAGGAGCCCUAAAACAGUUGCAGAUCCAGCAAAGUAUGCAGAAAAGCCAGCGAAAUGGGGAAACCAGAGGGUUGCUCCUAGAAACAUCCACCAGCCUCGUUGAAGAAGAGAUGGGUGUUAACUAGUCAGAGUCGUUGUUUCUUUAGCCACUGUACCUUUUGUAAUUUUUAGUUAUUUGCUUCCACAAGAACCUGUAACUUUGUACCUUAUGAUUUUCUCAACUUGUUAAUCACAAAAAUGUAAAAACAUAAAAAAUGUAAAAUUUGAAGAGAUAUGAGAUGAGAAUCUUUUCAUUAAUGCUUCUUCUUGCUUAUUAGCUAGAACAGAUGGUUAAACUGCAUCGGCGAUGGCUACAAGAAGCAGUUGCAUCAAUGUUGCUUUGGCUUGAAGUCGCAGAGAAAGCGAAACUCAAAUGUAGAUGCUUUUCACGUCUCAGCUACUUUUUAGUUGCCCAGAUCAGAUGUUUCUGUUCUUUACAGUUGGUGGCUACGAAAAGGAUGUCGAUUACAUCAUAUUCAUCUCAUUUAGAUUCAAUCUUAUCGACGUUAGGUACAGAUGCAAAAAGGUCAGGAGACUUGUCAUAUGCAGACAAUGUCAUCCACACCAAGCUCAUCUUCAGAUUCGGUUCUGAGAUACCCUCCAACAAGAACAUUUUCGGAAUUUUAACCUUAAAUUAGUAAACUGCCAGAGAAAAAGUGAGACUUUCUUCGGUCUUGGGUUUAUAUCGGUUGAUGCGAAAGCUCUCGUCUUGAAGCUUCGGUUUUUACCCCCACAAGUCUCGUCUUGGAGCCAUGACAUUUAGGAUUUGUGAUGAAUAUAAUUCUCAGACAACAAACUGGGUUCUAGAUUUGUUUAUGCUAGCUUUUCCCUUGUUUUGGUGCUUUGGCUCUGUUCUCAUUUCUCAUCUCCCUCUGUUUCUAUCAGUUUCUGGUCUCUCCCUUUCUCCCUCUCUCUUCUUUAAAACUUUAAAUUGGUUCUUGCUUCCUUAGAAAAUCCUUUGACAAACGAAAGAAAAUGACGAGAAAAUGAAGCGCCUAAACCCGGAAUUUUUUCGAAGAAGAGCCCUAUAUAUUAAUAACGUAAAUGCCCUUCGAUAAACGUAUUUAUUUAUAGUCUCGAAUGUUGUUUCAUUUCGUCCUAUAUUUACUGUUGUCCUGAAAAGUUUUGUUUUCUUAAAAUCCCGCUCUAAAAUUAUCAUGGCGCCAAAGAGAGCACCGCCGAUUCAAUCUACUCUCUACUCUAUCGGUAAGAAUCCGGAAGACUCGAUUUUUCCGAUACUCUGCUCCAAUUGAAUGAGUCUUCGAUGUUCUGAUUAAAUUCUCCAGGUGAUUACGAGGUCGCUGUGGAUGGUAAGAAGUUUACAUGUGAAUCCGGACCUAAAAGCAUUCAGAUCAACUUUUCCAGAAACAACAGAGUGAAAAUCUCAGGUUUGUAGCAUUUGGGUUCUUGCGCCUUAGUAUUUGUGGUGGUAAUGUUGUUUAACUACGAAUUUCUGAAUCUGGAAACAAUCUCUUCAAAAUGGUUCUCUUUUCUUGUGCAGAGAAGGAUAGAAUCGUUUCUGCUUAUCCGAAAGAACACAUGUUUCUUCUUCUUAAUCCUCGAGAUGAAGAUGAUUUUACCAAAUCUCAUCUUCAGGUAAGUAGACUCUGACCAAAUCACUCGAAAGUUGAUUUUUUUGUUUUUUUCAUCGCUCAUAAGGAUUUGUAAUUUGAUCAAUUCAGGAAGUGCUCAAGUUAUAUAGUAAAGAGCUACCUGACAUGAAAUACGCUUCAAACACUGGGAAGCAAUCUGCAUUCCUUGAGACAUGCGUCUCCAAAGGGUAAUUAUUCUGCACUUAAAGAGUCUCUCUUUUAUCAUAGAAAGUCUUUACUUGUUCUAUCAUGAAAACUUCCUUUGGCCCAUUUUAAUGCUUUAUUUGAAAUAUUGUCCAAUCUUGCAGCAAGUAUUGUUCGUUGGUUUUGAAGUCCACGCUUAGCGGAGUCUCAGAUGAGGUAAACAAGGUUUAGUUAUAUGCUCUGACCUUUGAUCAAAAGCAGCCUAGACCCUGGAUGAAUUUUGAAUAUUUAUGUACAUGAAGGCUAUAUUUUUUUGAUUGAAGUUUUAUAUUCACUAACAGAUGAUGCUUGUAGUUUGUCUGCUUUACUGCAACUGUAAUACUGAUUAUUGGUAUGUGCUUUUUUGUAGAUCUUAGCUGCAAUCACCUAUCAAAUAGUCCCUGCUGAUACACAGUAUGCUGAGAUACCUCUUGCUGCUGUAACAUAUACACACCAGAAAAAGGUUCGUUUUGUCUCUGACUCAUUGACACUUACUCUUGUAGGGUCGUCAUUGAAACUCCUACUGUCUUACACUUUUCUCCUUUCUGCAACUGGUUUGACUAAAGAUAGAUUGCUAGGAACUUCAUCAAAAACUAAAUAGUUUGGUCUUUAUGAAUACAUUAUUUUCAGGGUUUUGGUAAACUCGUCUAUGAAGAACUAAUGAAGAGGCUUCAUAGUGUUGGCAUUCGAACUAUAUACUGUUGGGCAGACAAAGAAUCUGAAGGAUUCUGGCUUAAACAGGUGAGUAUGAUUUAUUGUUCUUGGAGUUUUUAUCUAUAUAGUUUGUUGGAUUCUAACUAAACUACAUUUGAAGUAGCUAGCCUGAUCGGUUUCUUGCGACUCUUUACGAAUACUUCAGGGAUUUAUAACACUAGCAGAGGUAGACCAGAAAGGCAAAGCAAGGAGGUUACACAUAAAGUCUAAUAUUCGAAAAGCAUUGUGUUUUCCCGGCGGUUCAACUCUCAUGGUCUCUCAUCUGAAUAAGGAAUCUUCUCUGAAUCUUGCAAACCUAGAGAUUGCUUCUUCACGGAAAUACCAGUGUCAGGGAUCUCCACUCUCAGCCACAAAUAAUUGCUCAGGUCCUGUGGCUGGAGAUUCAGCUAAACUUGGUGAGAGUUUUAGUGAAAGCGUAUAUGUUGACUGUAAGUCCCUUUAAAUAUUCUCAGAGUCAAGAUACUUAUUUUCUUUCCAAUUGUUUUCAUCAAGCACUCGAAGAGAAUUUGGCUAUAAAUAAAUGAAGUAAUUUGCGUAUGUUUCUUUUGUGUAGUGCCACAUCACAAAGCAUUUUCACUUAUUUAAGAAUAAUCAUACAUUUCUGUUACCAUGUGCCAUACACAGGUCUCUCUGGUAGCAGAAGUCUAAUGGAGUCGAUAACAGGAAAGGAACAAAAUAACGUGAUCUCUGAUCAAGCUACCACAGCUGACAGUGAGACCAAAUGCUCCACACCGGGCUUGAAGAGAUCUUGGGAAGCUUCACUGUCUUCUCUACAAUCCAAAAGGGUUAGGGCAAACCGCAAUAAUGAGACUGAGAUAGCUAAAAAUGAUUUGGCCAUAAACUCUGCAAGAGAGCAGAAGCAAUCGAAAGACGGUUCUUCCUCACAAGUGGAUUUAACCAAGAAUCCUCUGCCCAAAAGAAACAAUGGUGAAGAAUACAGAACGGUGACUGGGAUGUCUGACUCUCUGAUCAACAUGGAAGCUCCUCCAAAUGGACAAAACUAUAGAAUCUUGUUGAUGGACAUUGGGGAUGAAAACAAGAGAGCCUGGUUAACAGAGGUAUAUGUUUAUUUCUAAGUCAUGUGUAUCACAGAUGUGUUUUCUAUUCACCUUAUGUUGUCUUGUGGUUUCUAUUGUAGGUAAUAAGAAAACUAGGUGGGGAUGUGACCUUGGAUGGCAACAUGAGCACACAUAUUGUCACCGGAAAAGUCAGGAAAACGCUUAAUUUCUGCACUGCUCUUUGCUCUGGGUUAGUCUCAAAUUUAUGGGCAUCAUGUUGACUGUUGCGAAAUUAUGUGCUAAUCUUAAGUAUAAACCAUUUUAUGUUGCAUCAUACUUGCUUGCAGGGCUUGGAUCGUAUCACCAAGUUGGUUAAAAGAAAGCUUUCGACAAGGCAGAUUUGCUAGUAAGAUGAGAAAAAAAAACAUCCCAUGAAUUUAUAUAUCUAUCUGAUGUUAAUUGUUACUCUCAAGCUCUCUGAAUUCUAUUGCUGACACUAUCUUCCUUUUUUUUUGAAACCGAAUUAAUAGAUGAAGCUUCGCACAUAUUGCACGAUGAAGAAUACCAGUUGAAAUAUGAAACCGAUCUGAAGAGCACAGUUCUUAGAGCAAAAGCUAGACCAAACUCGUUGCUUCAAGGAUAUGACAUAUGCGUUGGACCUCACGUUCAGUUGCCUAUUAAAACUUCAUCCGCUAUCAUAAAAUCUGCUGGUGGAAAUGUAAGUGCUAAAUUACAGAAUUUACAGGUUACUUCACCACAAGCUUAUACAUUUGAAUCCAAAACAUGUACUUUUUGCGGGGAAUUUUUCAGGUGAUUAGAGGAGUGGAUAAGGUAAAGGAGACAUCAAAAGCGAUAUACAUAGGGUGCGAAGAAGACACAGUGGAGGCUUUACGUGCAGCAAAGAAAAGGGUUUGGACAUUCAGUAGCGAAUGGUUAAUGAACUGUGUCAUGAAGCAACAACUUGACCUUCAAGUUUCUCAGUUUGUUGAGUCCUUGUGAUUCGAACUCGAGACCUCUCUCUUUUUAGCCUGAAAAUUUUCACUACCUAUCUUUUGCUCUUUUGUCUUUGGGUUUACAUGGAAAUCCACAGACUUUUGUCGAACCUGAGUGGCUAGCUAGGCUACUAAGCUCAAGUCGCCAAUCUAUUUAUGUAUAAAAAUAAAAUUCCGUGUUAUUUUUUUUCCCACAUUAAUUCUGUGUUCGUGCGUAUAUAGGUUUUUAAUACAUUUUCCUCUUCUACUAUUCUCCUAAUUUUGGUCUUUAACAUGCUAUUGAGCUAAUUUGAUAGCAAUUUAAGAUGCUAUCGAGCCUUCGAUUGGUAGAAGAAAUUAGCUUCCAGGAAACCUUUUCGAAUUUUACUUUUAGCUUUGGUAACUUACUCAUGAUACCACGUGGCUUUUAUUGAUUAGCCUAAAGAUGAUAAGUUUAGCAUUAAUUUUGCCCCCUUAAGUCAAACUCAUACUUAGAGAAGAAAUUGUGGAAACAGUAGAAAAACUUUAUAAUGGGCGUUACCACUUCUUCAGUUUUGGACUCAAACUAAAUGCCAUUUUCCUCGUUACUCUUUUCGGCAAUGUAUUAAAACAAAAACUAUCAGAAAGAGUUAUUCAAGGUCAAAACUCCUAAUUAAUAAAUUGCUACCAAAAUUUUCCCACCUCUCAUUUAAGUAUUUACUAAACCAACAUAUAUAUUGACUUUUCUUUGCUCUUAAAACCCAUAAAGUAACUUUCCGUUAUUUAACUAACGAACCUGAAGAUUCAAGAAAUAACAAGAAUGGCCAACUGACAAAAACGGCUCCAACUUUUCAUUUCAAAAACUCGUUUCAGUUUCAGCUUUCAAGUAUCGUCGUCUCCCUCACAACACCACACCUCUAUCUACGCGCCUGACGUUUCCUGUUGCAUUCUCACAUGGCGGUUCUCUACUCGUCGAAACCAACUUCGUCAUCAUCUUCCUCUGCCUCGCGGCUUUUCUUGCUAGUGACCCUUCUUCCUCUCUCCUUAGCCUGCUUCGCCUUCCUCCUCCAAUGGCGAGGCGAAAUCAACGACUCGGUUACGCAAUGGUUUACUGAUAACCAUCGAUUCCCCGGAAUGGCCACAUUCCCCGAGAAACGGUCUGAUUCGGGCUGCGUUUCUCUUCUGGGUCAGAGCCGUGCUCCAUCGUUUCCUUAUCUCCGGGAUUUGAAGCUUGAUUACAAGCCUGAUCUGAAACCAAGAGUUAGAGACUCUUGAUCCUGUUUUUUUGUCGCGUUUUUGAUUCUAAUCUGAUAUAUGAUAAAUAAAAAUCGGAUUUUUUUGUGUGUAGAUAUGUAUAACGACGAGCACAUCAGCAGGAUUAGAGCAGACACUGCCAUGGAUUUUCUAUCACAAGGUCAUUGGAGUUUCAACCUUUUAUCUUUUCGUUGAAGGCACUGCUGCUUCCCCUAAUGUGUCUCGAGUUUUGGAGUCCAUCCCUGUAAGCCUUUUUCUCCUGUUACAUCAUCGACUUCUUUUGAAUCCUUAUUUAUUAGUCUUCUUGUUUUUGUCAUUAUGUUCUAAUUUUUAUUUGCAGGGUGUAAACGUUAUAUACAGGACAAGAGAAUUAGAAGAAGAGCAAGCUAAAAGGUAUUCAUUCUUGUGUUUUGUGUUUGUUCAUUAAGUUACGGUUUUAGACCCAUGUAUAGCUAAAUAAAAAUGGUGGAUUUGAAGGAACCAACUCUGGUUAUUUAGACAUAUUGGGUUAACUGAUUUGUGUGCUCUUUUGUUUUCCUUGUCUACAUCUUGAUUUACCAAAAGUGGCCACCUUUAAAAUGGUUGUUAUUUCAGAAUCAUCACAAUUUUUUUUCUAAUUUCAGCCGGAUUUGGAAUGAGACUUGGUUGGAGAAAUUCUUCUACCAACCGUGUAAUUACGAGUUAUUCGUAAAACAAAACUUGAAUAUGGAAAUGGCUAUCAUCAUGGCUAGGGUACUUGUUACAUUCCCCUGUUUUUUGGCUGACACUUACAUUUAGUCAUAUUCACUAGUAAAAUAAAGUUACAUUUCCCAACAUUUUAUCUCUUCACAUUCUCUCAAUGUGCUUGGUAUAUAUAUAUUAGGAUGCAGGAAUGGAUUGGAUACUGCAUCUCGACACCGAUGAGCUUGUGCAUCCUUCUGGAGCACGUGACUAUUCGUUAAGAAAUUUGUUCAGAGAUGUUCCUGCUGAUGUGGACGCAGUUAUCUUUGCAAAUUACGUGAGCUCAACGAUUCUUAUAACACAUUUGAAUUGUUUUUUUCUUUCUUCUUUCUUCGGUUUCUUGUUGUGGAUAACUCGUGAAUAUUGUUCUUGUUUUUAGGAGAGCAGCGUUGAGCGAGAUGAUAUCAAAGAACCUUUCAGUGAGGUGUACAUAGCAUUAUCAUCUAGAACAAACUUGUCUUUGGUUUUUAACAUAUCCAAAAGUGUUUUUUUUUUCUUCUUCUUUUAACUUUUAGGUGUCAAUGUUCAAGAAGAAUUAUGAACAUCUUCCUAGAGAUGUUUACUUUGGAAGCUAUCACGAGGCGACUCGUGGCAAUCCAAACUAUUUUCUUACCUAUGCAAAUGGGAAAUCCGCUGCUCGGAUUCAAGACCAUCUUCGGCCUAAUGGUGCUCAUCGAUGGUAUAACUACGAGAAGAUCCCAAAGUAUGUUCUUGUUCUCACUUUGGCUUAGACAUAGACAUUCAUUCUCUUGCUUUUGGAAUAUGACAUUGAUCCUAUAUCUUUGUUGUGACAGUGCCAUUAAACUAGACGAAGCUGCGAUUCUGCACUACACUUACCCAAGAUUCUCAGAUCUUACUUCAAGACGUGAUCGAUGUGGCUGCAAACCAACUAGAAAGGAUGUCAAGAGAUGUUUCAUGCUAGAAUUUGACAGAGAGGUGAGUUUUGAUUUGGUUUUAUUUCUUCAAAUUGUAUAGCUUUUAUUCAUCACAUUUGUUUUCAUUUCUUGGCAGGCAUUCAUCAUUGCUUCAACUUCAACUUCAGAGGAAAUGCUUCAAUGGUAUAGAGAACGAGUUGUAUGGACUGACAAGAAAUUGAUCCUCAAACUUCUUAAAAAGGGAAUUCUGACUCGCAUCUAUGCACCAAUGGUCAGUUCAUAAUUCAAUAUUUUUUACACUUUCUAAGUGCUUUUGAUUUCACAAAGAUAUAAUCUUUCUCAGGUUAUAAUCCAAGAGCUAAGAGAAGCAGGUGUUUUCAGCUCAGUGGUAACCUCAGCUCACAUGUCUUUCUCAAAGAACAGAGACAACUCUUCAGCCUCAAGCAAUACUAGAGAGUCAUCUCAAGCAACUGUUAGGAGGAAAGUUUUGGAGUUUAACCUUGAUCAUGAUCUUGAUGGUGAAUCUCAAGCAGCAUCAGCGGCACCACCGCAAUCUCCUCCACGCUUGAAAUCAACCCCAAGUGUUUACUUUUGAAUUUUCUUUGAGGAUGAUUCUAAAGUUUUCAGAGAGAUAAAAACCGAGUCUUGAUGUACAUUUUUCGCUUAGAUUUUAUACAAGAGAAAUAUUAGAGCAAGAAUUGUGGAUCUCCUUGGUCCCUUAAUUAAAUAAACUCUAUGUAGAAAUAACGCUUUGGAUUAAUCUGAUUCUAUUACUUAACAUCCGAGUUCAUGAUCCAACAGUUUUAUAUAUUUUUUUUUGGUUUUUUGGUUUUUUGGUUUGGAUAUGAAAAUGAGCCACUCCUGUAAGUGAACAAAGAAAAACGGCGCGUGCCUAAACGCGCAGAGAUGAGCGAGCGAAAUUGGAAAUCGCGUUUUAAGACGCUAUUUUUUGGCGGUUCUUUCUCGUCCCUUCGUCUAGCUUAUGUGCACUUAUUCGAUGAACAAGGUUCUUCAGUUCGGUCUCCAAAGCUCCGUUAUCAGUGUCGCCAAGUACGUUUCUGUCCAAAACUGUCAAAUAAAUGCUUCGAAUUGUCUGCUGUAUUAUCGCCUUUUUGUUCUUCUUCUGACUCGUUUCCUUACAUUCGGACAAAUCAAACCCACUGGUUGAUUUCGGAUAUUGGGGUUCUGUUUCAUUUAGCUGAUAUAUGAAUCCAAAGCCUUGACCUUUAUUCAUUUUAUUUUUUACUUUUUUUUCCAAAAUUCUAAAUUUCGUGACUGAUGAUGAUUCUAGGUUUCUGGCGGUGCCUCUUAGGAGCUUAAGAAUUGGAACAACAAUUUUCAACAAGAGACUUAUGUCAAAUGCUACGGCUAAAUCCGUACCUUUCUCAAUCAACAACAGCAAGGGAAAGGAACUCAAGAUAGUAGGGGCAGCUACUGAUCAGAAUUGUCAUCAAAUGGUUGGUGCUAAGGUUGUGAUUGUUCGUUCUGGUUCCUAAGGAGUCUUAGUUAUUUUGUUUAAUUGUUGGUUUUGAUGUAUAGGGAAGUGAUAGUGAUAGAGAUGAAAUGAGAAUUGUUCACGAUGAUCAAAAGGAAAUCGAGACAAUGACUGUUCAAGAACUUAGAGCUACAUUGAGGCAAGCCUAUGCUCCUUUUAAUCUUCCCUUCUUGCUGCUUUGUCAGUGUUUCUGUGGACAUCCAAAUUCCUGACUUUUGUUUGAACUUGUGGAACAUUUGUGUAUUCGCGGUUUUGAAUAUAGGAAACUUGAGCUACCUGUGAAAGGACGCAAGCAAGAACUUAUCUCAGUGUUACGACUUCAUAUGGGGAAAAAGUUACCAGGUAUGUCACUGCACACCAAAAACACACCCUCGAUUUGGAAUGGAAUGGAAAAACGAAUGUGGAAUGGAAAAACGAAUGUGGACUUGUUUGCAAUUGCUAUAGCUUCUGAUUUCUUGGUGAAGGCAGUAAAGAACUUUGGUUCGGACCUGUGUCUAUUCUACAUUUUUUCUUUAGUAAAGACCAAUUCAUUGCGUGUUUAUCUGUUACAGAUGAAAGUUCUGGUGUAGACAAAAAGGAAACUACUUCGUCCACCCGUUCAGGAAGUGUCACUACCAAAAGAAAAAUCAGAAAUAAGGAAGAGUCUACUGAAGAUGACUGCAUUAGCUCUGAAGUUUAUGGGAAUGACCAUGGAGAGAGAAGAGUAAAACAGACUACUGAGAAAAACUUGAAAGCUAAAGUUUCCUCAAAAGCUAUCUCAAACGAACGGAAGUCAAUGACGAAAACAGGUUUGUCAUGUGUUAAACAAAGCGAACACUGUGUACUAUAUACUGGCAUCUCAAUAGAAUAUUAUGAAUUUAUUUGUGUUUGCUUAAUCCUACUAGGUAAGCAGACAUCUCGGUUAAAAGAGGAAGAAGCAUCAUUGACCUUUUCUAGCGAAGUCAUUAAAACGGAAGAAAUCGUCUCAUCCUCAAAUCAAACUGAACCAUGGACGGUACUUGUCCAUAAGAACCCUGAGAAAGACUGGAAACCUUAUAACCCAAAGACAAUGAGACCUCCACCUCUACCAAAGGGUACCAAGUCUGUGAAGGUUAUGACUUGGAAUGUUAAUGGAUUGAGAGCAUUGUUGAAGUUAGAGAGCUUCUCUGCUCUGCAGCUUGCCCAAAGAGAAGACUUUGAUGUGUUGUGCUUGCAGGAGACUAAAAUCCAGGUCAUUACAGAACAUUAGCCCGUCUUAAGUAUUUUCUGCUCUAUAUUUGAAUGAAAGCCAGAUCUUAAAACUGUUUACUGAAUACAUUUAUUACACUUAUUGGCAGGUGAAGGAUGUUGAGGAAAUUAAGAAAACUCUUAUUGAGGGCUAUGAUCAUAGUUUCUGGUCCUGCAGCGUCUCAAAACUUGGUUACUCUGGAACUGCGAUCAUUUCACGGGUAACACGAGAAUGUGCUUAUUUGUUAUUUCAUAUCCAUUCCAUCUUAUAUGUGAAAUUGAAAAGUGAAUGAUCUAAUCAAGUUGGUCUUUUUGUGACAGAUAAAACCGCUCUCGGUUAGAUAUGGUACUGGCCUAUCCGGAUCAGAUCAUGACAUGGAAGGACGCAUUGUGACUGCUGAAUUCGACUCAUUCUACUUGAUAAGCACCUAUGUCCCUAAUUCCGGAGAUGGCUUAAAAAGACUGGUACUCCUCAAAUUUUACGGCAUCUAGUUUCUACAGCUGACAUAUUCUAUAUUUCUUUAGUUUAACAAAAUGUUUCGGUUUUCAAGUCAUACAGGAUUGAAGAAUGGGAUCGAACCCUCAGCGAUUACAUCAAAGUAUGAAAUUUUUCUUCUUUGUUUCUUUAUUUAUUGUAUAUGUUCUUCUUACACAGACCUCAAUGGCUUUGUUGCAUUUGCAGGAGCUGGAGAAGUCUAAACCAGUGGUCUUGACUGGUGAUCUAAAUUGUGCUCAUGAAGAAAUCGACAUCCACAAUCCCGCGGUAACUAAAAUCAGAUUCUUCUUUUUAUGUUCAUUCCAUUAGUUGAAAACAAUAAUCACCUCUUGGUUUGUUUCGUUCUUGUUUCACCUAAUCGUGUAAUUAGGGGAACAAAAGAAGUGCUGGUUUCACAAUAGAAGAAAGACAAUCCUUUGGAGCAAACUUCUUAGACAAGGGCUUGGUGGAUACCUUUAGAAAGCAACAUCCUGGUGUUGUAGGUUACACUUAUUGGGGUUAUCGCCAUGGUGCCCGUAAAACCAACAGAGGUAAUUAAGUAUGCAUAAAAAAAAUGUUGGUAGUUGUUUGAUACAUAUUCAGAUUCAUAUUUUGGAUAGUUAAACUGGUGAAUUGGUGUGUGAAACAGGAUGGAGACUGGACUACUUCUUGGUAUCUGAAUCGAUCGCAGCCAAUGUCCAUGAUUCUUACAUUCUCCCUGAUAUCAACGGCAGUGAUCAUUGCCCCAUUGGCCUUAUUCUCAAGCUCUGACUUAUUCAAAGCUUCACAGUUCCUCCUAGUUUUUGUUGGUGUUUUGACUAAAGUUCUAAAUGGCUUUCAGCGAUAGAUUCACAAGUUUUUGCUUCUACAGAGAGCCGUGCUUAUGUGAACUAUAUGAAUUAUAUAUCUCUAUUUGUAAUGAUACCCCCAAACAGAACAGUAAGUUCCUAGUCUUGGCCAAUCUAUGCUUAUGAUUUAGUUUCAUUGCGCCUCUUGGUUUACUAAUUCACUUGCAAAUAACUGAAUAUAAUAGUUUUAGUCAAAUACUUGUUAGAUAAAAAAAGAAAAAUGUGAAUAUUAGUAUUGUCUUGUUGCAUAUAUAUAUAUAUAUUUUUUGACAAAAGGAUCUCAACAAAUUGCAAAUUUGCAUGCUAUUUUUUAUUUUGUUAAAGAAAAUGAUCACAUCAUCACGGCAUUAACAAUUUCACAUUGUACAUGUUUUUCUCUCACAAAUACAAAACAACACAAUACUAGUGUAACACAUCAUUCACAGAUAAUCAACUCUCUUUGUUUAUAUAAUAAAAUCUUACAUAGCAGCUGCGAGGGCGGAGGCAAUGAUGGGUUGAUGAUCAGAAGACUUGUCAAAGCCAAUGCCAUUGCAGACGUUAAAGCCAUACCAAACGGAGUUAGGCAAGAAGAGGUUAUAGUAGAAAGUGACUGAUCUGAUGGAUGAGCCGUAGAUCUUCACGUUCUCCGGUUUCCAGCCGUCGGAUCCUUGCCUGAGGAGGUAUUGAUAACACACGUCGCGCAUACACGGUCCCGUUAUCUUGUAUGUGUCUGAAGAACACUUUUCAAAUGUCCUCGACUUUGGAUCGUCUAGUCUCUUCACGUAUACCUUGAUCACCAAAUAAAUAAAUAAAAGGAUUAACAAAAAUAAAAAGAUAAAUAUACACACACGUAUAUAUAUAUAUAUUCACUGCUUUUUCCCUAAUUUUAUUACACAAAUUAAGGAUCGAGAGAAUAUAACCACAUAUGUGACGACAUUUCAAGAAUAAAACCUUUUAAGUAUGCAUCAUUGUAAUUACUAAAAACGCAUGUUAAUGGUUAAUACUACUAUACUUUUUGCUUUAUGGGUCGGGGGGAAAAAACAAUAAACAAGAAAGAAGAAAGAAACUAUGUAUGUUAGUUGACAAAGAAAAUCGCAUUUUUAGAUCUGAAUUUUCACAAAUUUUCCCUUUAUCUCGAUUAGGAAUCAUAAAAAUCGACUGACUAAGCUGGGAUUGGUUAAACCUAGGCCAAGUUCGUUGGAUCAUAAAAUCCAGACGCUAUCCGGCAGAACCAAAAAAAACUUCAAUAAUUCUGAAAGCAUUGUCAAGGAGAAAUAAAAGGGGAAAAAAUUCUAACUCAAAUUCUAAACUUAAUUGAUUACGGAAUCAUUUUCCAUUGAAGCAAAAAUCGAUUUAUGGAUAUUUUGUAGAUGUAAAACCAAGAAAUGAAUAAAAAUAUACACACCUCGUUGCCAUACACAUCACCAAACGCAAUACUGAUCUUAUCUCUUGUGUAAGACACCGAGGAACAGCUUGUCUUAAUGAUCACCGUGUAAGAACACACACCCGCAUUCUGAAAUUUUCAGCCCAAAAUAUAUAUUAAAAACAAAAAGAAAUCAAUAAGAUGUAUCCGUAAUUCUUGGGAUAGUGAAUCGAGAUUGACAUUACCUCUAGCUUGGGUUUAGGGAGAAAUGAAUCAAUCGGCCGAGGUUUUGAUUGAAAGAAUGAUCUCGCAGAGGAAGACGAUGUGAAAGAGCAUAAUGCAAAGAGGAACAAAGAAAUCGCUAAUCUAAGCAUUUUCAGUUUUAAUCUGUCGUUGAAAAGAUGUGGAGAUGAACAAGGUCAGAUCUUAGCAUGUUGUUUGGUGGACCAAGCCAAUUAUCUAUAGAAUAUAGUCUAUAGACCGACACGAAAAUCACGUUCAUACUAAUAAAUGGGAGAAGUUGAUAUGUUUUGUUUUUUUCUGUCAGAAUUCUAUAGGUGUUUCUGUUGCCAACUAUUAUUUCACUGUCUUUUAAUGUUUUUUUUAUCUUUAUGCUUACUUUUGCUCAAUCACUACAAAUAGAAAAAUACAUUAAUAUAGGGAUUCUUGUAAAAUAACCUUGUAUCUCAAUAAGAAAAUGUAAACUAUUUUUCUAAACUGAAAUUUCAUUCCUUAUCUACAGAUUUUUAACCAAUCAAUUUUUUCCUAUAUUAUUUUCUAUUGAGAAACUAAUUUUUAAUAUCUUCAUCACAAUAUAAUAUCUCGAACUUGGGACGUUACAUAAGCCAACAAGGGACUCCUUGAACCACAAGAGGCAAGAGCUAAUACAUAUAAAUUUUUUUUGCCCUCAAAACGAAUUUAAUUCACCUUGGAACAAACUUUCCUAACCUCACCAUUGACGUCUGUCUUUACAUCAAUGGAACUCAUCUUAACCAUAGCUUUACCAAACUCAUUAUCAAACCUAAACCCUAACAAACCCCUAAUAGUACUCGCAUACUUCUUCACCACGUCUUUUGUCUCGGCGUCCGACCAAAGCCGUUGGUCCGACUCCAAAAUGGCGUUACCAUCUCGUAGGUUCUUGAAGAAGCUAACAUCAAAUUUCGAGGGACUGCCAAUGUCAAGAGCAACACGUUUUGAACCGUCUCCAUUGGGAGGACAAAGAGUCUUGAGCUGCGUAAGAAACGAUGGGCUUAUGGUUGGGUCGGAGUUUCCGGUCACCGUGAAGUUGUAUAGACGGUAACGGAAGAAUUGACAGUCCGUUUGUCCUAUUGUAUGUGCACCUGCAUAUAUAAUGUGUUAUUAUUUUGGAGAGAAAAGAUAAAUGGCACAUGCAUGUUCAUUAGAGACAAGAGAAGCAGGUGUAAAUUUUAGAAAGAAAAAAAAUAUGAAGAAGAAGAUCAAGAUGGGCUAAUAGCAAGUGUCUCAGUUUACUUUUAUUUCUAAACUUCAGCAGCUACUACGUACCAGCGUUUUUUGAAGUAAAAAUUUCAACCAGAUAAUUAAUCAUUUUAGAUAUUUCAAAACAUUCAUUUUUAUGUUCUUUUCAACUAAAAAAAAUACAAUUACUGAAUAAAAAGCUAACUUUUUAAAACAAAGCAUCUAUAGUUGCGGAUCAUUAGGACUUUAUGACGUACCCUCGUCAGGAUCAAAUACGAUCGAUCUAACAUACGUCAAAGAAAAGAUGACUUUAAUCUUCCGAGUUAAUAAUUUUCUUGAUCGAUUUUGUGAAAGACGGUGGCUAAGGUGUUUUUCAAUUUCAAAUCUUCCUCCUCAAAUCAACGAUUAAUUGUGUAAUGAUCCUUUGCUUAAAAUCCAAGAAAAAAGUAUAAAAUGAAACAAGGCAUACUACAACUUUUAGGCACUUAAACUUUUUUCCAUGUUGGCGUUUUUUGUGCAUAAAUUUGUUUUCAAAUUUCGAACUUUAUGUUUCUUUUAAACAUAUAUCUGUAUAUAGUAGGAUUUAGCAUAACAGGCUAUUAACAGCUAUGAACUACUUACUCAUGAAUCAUAUUUUUCAAUGUAGUGGUUUAACUAAUGGAUAGCGCGUUCUGCAUCCGGAUUUAGUUAAAGUCCUAAUGAUCCGCAACUAUGGAUAAAAAUACCGAUGAACAAAACAAUUACUCAUAAAAAUAUAAAAAGUUAAAUGAUCGAAAAAUGAAAAUAUGAUUCUUAAACGAAAAAUUAGAUAGACUCUUCUCUUGCGGGAAAUUAGUAGAAUAUAAAUUAUGGAUGUCAAAGCAAGAAGUUAGAUUUUCUAAAAAGAAAGAAAAAAGACAGAGAGAUGAAAAACAAACCGAGUAGAGUGACGAGAUCAUGAGUAUCCAAUCCUUUGUUUUGAAACUUUUGCUUUUGAACAGCAACAGAGUCAAGUGGCGAAGGUAGAUUCGAUGCCUCCGACGCUAACGAGAUUCUCCCGUCUUUACGACCCGUUGGAACUCGCCAGCUUGGCCCUGAACUCUGUUUUCCAUACGUAAUUAAUAAAUAAUCUUCCAAAGAAUUUAAGUAAACCCUAAUUAGGUUUAGUAAACUUGCGUACCAAGUCAACAGCGUCACGAGCAGCAAGUGCAAGUAUAUCUGCACAUGACACCACUCCUGGACACUCUGACUCUAGCCGGGCUUUCGCAUCAUCUAUCACCUCAAAACCUCUAAGACCGCCAUUAGCGAGAGCUGCUUGCUCGGCAGAUUUCCCUUUGAUUAAGACCGAUCCAUCACAACCCUAAUAAUAGGUCAAAUUCAACAUUCAGUUAACUUGUAUAAUUGCUUAGAGAAGAAUGAGAUUAAAGAAGAUUUGGAACCUGAACAAAACAGUCAUGGAAAUGAAGCCUAAGCAGGCCAGGAGAAAUAGUGGGAUCAGAAUCAAAGUGAGAUUCAACGGUGGAUCUUACUAUUGACUCAGCUUUGGGACAUGAAGUUGAAUAAUAACCAUUACUUAACGACUGACUUAUCACUUCUUUUCCCAACACCAAUACUAUUAUAAUUACAUAACAGUAGUUGCCUAAGUACACUCCCAUUUUUCUAACUCUUGUUUUUUUUUGUGUGUGUUAUCACUUAUCAGUUUACAUAUAAUCAUGAAGUUCAAGAACCAACUGAGAUUUAUAUAUAGUCACACACAUACAUAAGCCUUUGUCUCAAUGGAACCGUGUGGGGACAGAUAGUGCCUACUUUUUCAUUUUGUUUUAAGUUUAUUUUAUAUAUAUUUGUUGGUAUAUACACUUGGUAGCCACUAUGGGAAAUCAUGGGGUUUGAUUAUAUUAGUUUUCAUAUACUUUUAUUUCUAAACUUAUCAUGUCUACGAGUUUUGUGCUAACGUACGUUUCAAAAUCAGCUUUUUCUUUUUAUUUAUAGACGUCCUUUCAGAAUAUUUAUGAUUCGUUUGCUUUACCUAAAGUUUCUUGGAUCACUCCUAAAACAUUAGCAAUCCAUGAAAUAUACAAACGUGUUCACAACUAAACUCUGAAAUAAGUCGUCACUAUUUUUUCCCGUUCACAUCUCCCCUUCUUUUGCAGUUUUAUCUUGAUCCUAAUCUUUGUGAAUUUUUUUUUUUUGUUGCUACAAAAAAAGAAUCGAAAAUCCGAGAUCGAUCUAAUGUAAAAGAACGACGAAAUACUCUGGAUACCGAAAGUGAAAAGCAUAAAAUCAUAACCAUCGCUUCUAAAAACUCAUUUUGUUUACUAUUAUACAUACCUCCAUGAUUUACAUAAAGUGCAUGCGUUAUUACUUGAUUGAAUUGUGUCCAUAGUGUUAUUUUUUUUUUUUUCAAUUCAGAAGACAUUCAUUUGAUGGUGUUAACGUCCGUUAAAUAUUUUUAGUUUCUUUUUGGUUGUCGUAAAUAUGUAAAUAUGGAAGACCAUGCAUGUAAGAUUUUUGUUUGUUUGCCACAAACAUGUAAAAUUAAUAUUAAAAACUUGCUUAUUAGAGCAUAGUUCUAGAUUGUGGACUAGAUUAUACUCUUUGAUCAACAUUUUUAUUUUUAUUUUGGAUAAAAUCUUUGAUCAAGAUGAUUUAGGUUGGACUUAUCACUUAGAUUAGGUCGUGCAACCCAAUUCAAUAUAGUAGAGAAAACUCAAAGCACAAUUCAUCAAGCAGAGUAAAUUUAUACUUCCACAACAAACUUCAAACAUAUUUUUAGCUACGGAAAUAGAGAAUCAUUUGAUUUUUUUAAGCAAGUCCGACAAAGAUUUUUUUAUUUGAUUUUUAAGGUUGAUUUUAUGUGUAUGUAAUUAACCUAUAUCUAACAAAAAUUUUGAGUUGACUGAUUCAUAUAAUUUUAAAAACUUAAAAAUCCUAUUGGGAUGACACGGUGUCGUCUUGCUGCGAAGUGGCAAAGCUCUAUUGGUCUCUGUGACGCCUAAAGAGACUUUGCUCUCGAUAAACCGGUUUGGAAGCUGAAUCCAGAGGCGGGGAAUCGAAAUUCAAGCGAACGGAUCCGCCAUGGCAGCUCGUAAGAGAGCUUCUUCGACGUCAGCUUCGAAUAAACCGGAUGAAUCAGCUCCAAAUUCAGCGCCAUCGGAGCAGAAGAUGACCCGGAAUGCUUCCGGUGAGGAAUUCCGUCUCGCGCCGCCGAAACUAGGAGUGAUCUUCGUGAUCUCUACUCUUCUUUGCUCGCUUUAUCUCUACCUUCUCUGUUUUCACUACAAGGUUGAAAACGAGCUCAGGCGCUCGAUUCUCAUCAACGCUGGGCUUAGCUUGAUUGGGUUCUUUGUCACACUCAAGAUGAUUCCUGUCGCUGCCAGAUACGUUCUGAGACGUAACAUGUUUGGUUUUGAUAUCAACAAAAGGGGAACGCCUCAAGGAGAAAUUAAAGUGUAAGUUUUGAUCCAUCGGUGUGAUCAGCUUACAACUAUGAUCGAAAUUUGCUUCAUUUCCUCUUGUUCGCUUUCAGGCCUGAAUCGUUGGGUAUCGUUGUUGGUAUUGUCUUCUUGAUCGUGGCGAUCAUAUUUCAGUAUUUCAAUUUCACUGAAGAUUCGAAUGUAAGUCUUCUCAGAUCGAUCAUGCCACUAAUUAACACCUGGAUCCUCAAUUUGGGUAAUGAUUCUUUGUGCAGUGGCUUGUGGAGUAUAAUGCAGCACUGGCAUCUAUUUGCUUCAUGAUUUUGCUUGGAUUUGUAGAUGAUGUCCUUGAUGUGCCUUGGAGAGUGUAAGUUUAAAUUUUUAUCUUUUGAUUCUGAUGAAAUUCAUAAACGAUUGUUGUUUACAUCUUCUCGCUUGUUAAUUUUUUUAUAAGAAACAGGAAACUUGUCCUGCCAUCUUUCGCUACUCUUCCACUGUUGAUGGCUUAUGCUGGUCAUACAACUAUUGUCAUACCGAAACCUCUAGUUGCUUAUGUUGGCCUGGAAGUGCUUGAUCUAGGUACUGAUUCUUGUACAUGUUUACCAUGUUGACUUCCAUAACUGUAUUUUUGGGGAAUGUUCAUGGUUAGUUCAAUGGAUGUUUCAAUGUUGCAGGACGGAUAUAUAAGUUAUAUAUGGGGUUACUUGCCGUCUUCUGCACAAACUCUAUAAACAUUCACGCUGGUUUGAAUGGCCUUGAAAUUGGUCAAACAGUUGUUACCACCGCUGCUGUAAGUCACUGGUCAUACAUAAUGUUUUAGGCUUCUUCUCUAUCUGUUUUUUUUUUUUUUUUGGGUUGAGAUAUGAUGCAUCCCAGUUACUUGUAGAUCCUGAUACACAACAUUAUGCAAAUCGGAUCAUCUACUGAUCCCGAGUAUCACCAAGCUCACGCCUUUUCGAUAUUUCUUACUCAACCACUGAUGGCAACAUCCUUACCAUUGCUUGCUUACAAUUGGUAAAAUCUUUCACAACUUUUUCACUUUUAAAAAACCUUUUUUUUCUUCUUUUAGUUCAAGUAAUGCCUUUUCUGACCAGUUCUUGCCAUCUUCUGCUGUUAGGUAUCCGUCCUCAGUUUUUGUUGGAGACACUUAUACAGUCUUUGCCGGAAUGACUAUGGCAGUUGUUGGUAUUCUGGGUCACUUCAGGUAUACUUCCAAAUCCUCCUUAAAUAUUAUGACCUCUAAAGCCUUUUUAUAAACAUAUCGUAGUUCUUCUUUCCCUUAUAGUUUCUUAUACUUUAUGCUCAGAAUCUUCGUUUGCAUCAUAUAUCCAGCUAGUGUUACACACUGCAACUGAUUCCAAUGCCAUCUUUCUCUUCUGAAAUUUUGAUUUUGCAGUGAAACCCUCCUCAUCUUCUUUCUUCCUCAGGUUUUGAAUUUUCUAUUGUCGCUUCCUCAGGUUCAUAUCUAAUGAAACUCUUCUCCGGCUUGCUUAUACUCUUGUGAACCCAUGUUUCAACUAUCUAACAUUCUAUAUUUAACUCCUCAGCUUGCUGGCAUUGUGAAAUGUCCACGCCAUCGUCUCCCGAGGUAAACAUCUUUGUGUUCUUACCUUUUGUAGAUUGAUUAAAGAACAUACGCAUCACUCAUAUUGUCUUUUGGAAUAUCCCAGGUUUGAUACUGCAACCGGAUUAUUGACCGGAACAAAAGAUGGGACACUCGUUAACGUUUACUUGAGGUUAUUUGGUCCUAAAUCAGAAAAGUCUCUUUGCAUCCAUCUUCUCGUUUUCCAGGUAGUUCUUAAUUAUAUGUUCAUCACCAUUUCUAUAUUAUCAAAAUAAUCGUUAUUGGUUUUGUAGUGAUACUAUAUUUUGUUUCUACUGCAGACUCUGGCGUGCGCCUUCUGUUUCAUACUUCGGUACUUUCUUGCUGGUUGGUACAAAUAAUCUGCAACCAGAAGAAUAUCUUCAGACAAGUCACAAAUACUUAACAUUAUUUAGACUUCCUUGUACAAUCUUAUAUAGCAACGUAAUUUUGGUUAACAUGGUAUUGGAAACAAAGUUCAGUUAUUUAAUUUUGUUAGACGUAGUGGCAAAAAAUUCUAAAGACGAUGUAUCAUCUUCUUGAGUGUGUUAUAACCCCCCAAAAGAUUACAAUCAAUCCAUCUUAAAGAUUCUCUCUAACAAAAGCGAAUCUCUGAAUCCCUCGAUUCUAAUAUUUUGCUCGCACAAAUAUGAAAAAAGAAGCUAGAGAUCUAUGUCCAUUGUGUCUCCGCCUUGGUCUUCUUGGUCUUCUUCGCUGGUACUGCUUGUCCAAAGCUUGAUGGUGCGGUCAUGUGAUACAGUAGCGAUACAGGAGCUAUCUGCAGCGAUAUCUAGAGAGGCGACUUUUGACUCGUGUCCUGCUAAGCUUUUAACAAGUGAGAAAUCUCUGCCUGACCAUAUCUGUUAUAGACAAAAUGUUAGAAAUAGUGGAAACAGACAAUUAAGUAAAAAAAAUUGAAAUAAUACUUAGGGCAAGGGAUUACAGAAGUAUUUACAUUGACUUUCAUGUCGUAUGAGGCAGUGGCUAGGAAGUAGCCUUCUUGUGGUUCAUACUUCACUUGAGACACAAGGUUAGCAUGAGCUGGUAUAAUGUACAAUGACUUUCUCAUUCUUAGAUCCCAAAUACGGCAUUGAUUAUCCUCACCACCCGAUGCCAAGUGAUAACCAUUAGGAGAGAAAUUCACUGAGAGAACCUAUACAACAGAGAAGAUUAAAAUAAGGGUUAAUGAAUGAUCAAUUUUGCCUGAGGAAGAGGACCAAGAAAACGAAACUUGAGUCUUACCGGUUUAAUGUGUCCUUGGAAGACGAGAAUACUCCUACCAGUGCGGAGAUCCCAAACCCGUGCGAGUGAAUCAAGCCCAGAAGAAGCUGCUAAUGCUCCAUCUUGUUGAAAUGCAAUUCCAUAGACACUACGACUAUGACCUUCUUGCAAAAGCAGCUCUGCUCCAGUGUUUACAUCCCACAGUCUCCAUGUUUUGUCAAAGCUUGUUGUUCCGAGGUACUUCCCUGAUGGGUGGAAGGCAACGCGUGCAAGACGAUCCAGAUGACCUUCAAAAGUUUGUAGGAGUGUUCCAUCAGUUUUCCACAACUUUGCAGUUCGAUCAGCAGAAGCAGUUGCCAGACAAUCAUCCACAGGGGAGAACACUACAUCAGUUGCACGUUCUUUGUGAUCCUUCAGGACAGCAAUCUUGUUUGUAACUUGAGGCAUUUCCCACAAUUUUGUAACUCCACUCAGAGAACUAGACAAAGAAAAACCAUGAAUUACUAGACAGUAGAGGAAUUAUGUGAAUCAUAUAAGUCAUGAACCUAGAGAACGUGUAAUGCAUUUAGAAGGGACAAAUGCAAUAGACAUGGAGUAUGCUAGUUAUAAGAUAAACUACAGCCCUAUAACUAACUUCAUGGUCUGAUAAAGGUGUAAGGAAUUGAAACUGAGGAAAAUCAGCAGGUUCAGUGUUUAUUAGGAUACGUAUCUACUGAUAUAUCAAUGUAAACGAAUAUGCAGGUAGAAUGCAAUAUAUUCCAUGAAACUCUAAUCAAUAAAUAGAGAUGAGCAAAAGUAGAUCGAAGCCUAAGAAACUGGAUGUGAAAAAUAUGUAAAUUUGUGCUUGAGAGUGAGAAAGAUAGAGAUGAGAGAUGUACCAUGUGGCAAGUAUUUUCCCAUCGCGUGAGAAGGAGCAGCCGGUAAGAGGACGAUCAUCCCCAAAAUUACUGCAAUCAAGGACCAUGCCUUUAGCAUGAUUCAAAGCCCACUUAGUCUCUGCAUCCAUAUCUUCAUCUGGAUCAUCUCUUCGCCGCUUUGCACGCUGAAUCCUGACAGCAGCUCUCUUGAUAGAAAAUUUGGCAAUUUCAAUUCUAGCCUCUCUAAGUUCCUUUGGACCCUCAGUAAAAAAUGGGUAUUCAAGUACUUCAUCAUCCACUUCCUCUUUUGGAGCGGCAUCUUCUUCGUGAGCUCUAAAAAGUUUAUCCAACUGGCCAUCGAUACUAAGCCUAGCCAUAAGCUGAGACAACCUAGCUCUUCGCUCCAUUUCCUGUUCUCCAAAUAGAGUAAUGGGCUGUCCAAGUCGUCUGAGGCGAUCUCUAACAGCUUUGUCAUUCGUUGGAACUGCGAUAGCAGCAGCAUGACGUUUUAUCUGCAUGUCUUUCAGUGCCUUUUCUCGUCUUUCUCUGACCUGCCUACUCUCUUCAGAUAUCUCAUAAUGUUCAUCCUCUGAAUCUGAAUCCGAGUCACUGGAUUUUUCUCCACCAUUUUGUGAAAUAGGUGGCCUAAAAGUAGGUGGACGGGCAGCUGGAGGUGGAGCCAUUGGUAUCGGAGCCAUUGGUGGAGGAAAAGAAGGAGGAACCACAUGUGGUAUGGCGGCGACGCCUGCAGUAACAGUAAAGGAGAAACACUUAGAGUUAAUGAUCACAAAGUAAAGUCUUAGAUGUAACAAUUACUUGAGUGCUAAUGAAUUACCUAGCUGAGAUGAGGCAUCUUGUAGAAUUGGAGCUGCUGUGAUUUGAGCUAUAGGAACUGAAGCUGUUGGUGCCAAUGAAACAUUAUCGUCCUUGUUGAGUUCCAUGCUUCUUUAUUUCCCAAAAAUAACACCACCGGAGCAAGCAGCAAUGUAGAGAAAACUCUGGAACAAAGAAAAUCCCAGGUCAGCUCUCUAUGCCUUAUAUACACGAUGCAUUAUCAAUCAAAAAAGAGUUACUACGAGAUAAAACGGGUAGCUUUAUUCUAAAAUCAAAGACAGUGCUCUCUUGGGAAUUUAAUCAAACAGCUAACAGUCAAAGUAUUAAGCUUCAUAAGGGCGUACACUUGAAACUUUAGGACAAAGAAUCAUAGGAAAAAUCAACAACUUUAAGGAGAAAUAUGGAAGCUGGGAGCUUAAUUUUACCAGAAAUUGAUGAAACCCACGAAUCUCGCUACCCUCUUCGCGACCUCCACACAAGAAGUAGACUUGUCAGUUGCUCAAGCUCCGUCUUUCCUAAGAGAAAACCCAUAACCUAAUCAACAACCCAAUGAUUAAAAAAUCCGUAUUCCUGAGAAACAAAUAUUCAGAGAUUUUCCAAGGAAAGUUCUUACCUUUGUAGAGGCAAUAGCAAAACGGAAAAGAAGCGAGACGCCGGGAAAAAAAAAAAAAAAAAACUUAUGUUUUCGUUCAGAACUUUUUUUUAGUAUUAUUAAUAAACUUUCGCGUUUUAACCAAUUUUCUGAAACGGGUCGGUCCAUAUUGGGCCUUCUUUUAUAAUGGGCUUUAUUUUUUCGAGGUUUAAAAUCUGAGCCCAACAUUGAGAAACCUAACCAAAAUCAGAUGGCGGUUAAAAGAAAGCUGCAGCAAUUUCAUACAUACCCCGAGCGCGCUCACCACGCUCCGAUCAAUCUCGGAUUUUUCGAUCAACAAUAGUCUUGCUGAUGUAUACUUUACAUUUUCUUGUUAUGUAGAUGUUUUGACCUCAUGAAUAGGAAUUUUAUUAUUAAGAAUAUGUAUUUGGCUUAUUACUUUUAUCAUCUGAAGCCUAAACCCAUGAUUCAUGUAUAUUGUAGCUUCACAUUGCUUAUCCUCUCUGUAGUCAACUAAGUAGAUAACAUUCGAAAACUUGUUAGUCCUUCAUAUCAUUGAUCUUGCAAUUUUUUUUUGUUUACUUUCGGGCGCUUAGACUUCAACUGAUUAAUGUUGUACUAAUCUAACGUUUUUUUUUUGUUAGACCGUUUCAGAAAAUUCGAGUUGUUUUCAAGUAGACUUGUGAUUCUCCUACAUGCAUGACUUGAACAAGACAUAUUUAGCCUCUCUACCAUGUUUCAGUAGAGUAGCUAAUUCGGGCAAUAUUAGUAAUCCCAACAGAGAUCUGAAACGUGACGUACAAAAAGUCACAAUUUCAGGCUUUAGAAACCUUGUGACCCCUUACUGCUCCUCUUUUACUUUCUUUCUUCUUUUAUUUUCUACAGUGGUAGUUUCUUCUGAUGUCUCAAAAGUUGGCCAACCCCACAAUCUUUUUCUCAUACAUUAUAGUUAGUUUUUUGGUGAGUGGUAUCUAUCAGUCAGAUGAGUCAGUCUGAGAUUCAAGAUAGUGAUCCUACCAUAUCAUAUUAAGAUCCACGUGGCGCAAGCCGAGACAUGGCUUAGAGGAGGGGUCCCCUUUCACUGCAUAUGGCUCGUGACUUGGUUUUCUCCCUAAAGUGGUUCCACUUUGUUUGAAACUUUCAAGCUCAGCCAUUAAGAUAGACUUGAUGCUUCCCCUUCUUCUUCUUCUUGUUCCACGACUUACUUUUGUCUUCUCAGUUCCAAGUCUUUUAGAUGUCUUUUCGCGUUAUCUCAAGUCCUUUUCUUACUCAUGUUAGUUACUUACUUUCUAUCUAGUGCAGUGGGUGUGGAAUUGGCUCCACUUACCACGUGAAGAUAGUUUGAAGAUAACCUUUUUUUUUCUAUGUUCUAUAACACUUGGUAUUAGACAACAACUCACUUGUCGCUAUCGUUUGAAAUACUUGGGACUCGAUGCUUCAUCAGUCAUUGUUUUGAAAGAUUUACGUUCAUUCUUAUAUUAGAUUUCAAAGAUUUACUAGCUAGUUCAUUGAACUUAAUAGCACAAAGGCAAUAUACUCUGAAUCUUGUUAAUCAAAUUUGCCUCAUUAAUUUAUUUUUUAGGUUCAGAAAAUCACUCGAAACAUUUCUUCUAAUGUGUCCCUACUCCAUCAGAAAUUGUUCUACGAGGUAAUUAUUAUUCCCAUUUAUAUUAUUUCCUCAUUUUUACUGUUAUAGUUUGUGCCCACUAACACACAAACUUAGCUUUAAAUUAUUCGUUCAAAUAUCACCAUGGUUUAUAUUAUAUCUUUUAAGUCUAAUCUAAUAGUUUCUUGACCUUGAUUAUAGAAAAAAAAACUUGUUAUAUGGGGUGUAACAUUAUGCCUCUGAAAUGAUUGUGCUACAAACUUUAUGCAAAUUAAAUGCUUAUCUUUCUCCAUAUUAUUCAAUCGGGGUCCAGAGAAGACUGAUUUGUCACAAACUGAUUUAUAACUCCCUAAGACAUUGAAAAACAGUUCCUGAGUUGAUGUUGCAGGAGACUCUCUAAUGGUGUUUCUCUGUAGAGAUGUAGCUUUCUUUGUGAUGUACGAAUUUCUUUAAUUCUUGAAGCUGCGCGUGCCGAAGAUGGUCAUUGUCAUAAACUUAAGGGAUCAUUUGGCCUUAGGCUUCAUUUCCUUAUCAGACCUUUUUUGCCCUUUGCAUCAAAAAUUCAAACUUAUGAAAGGGAAAGUGUCUGCCACAUGAACUCAACUGUUGUUUUCAUAUACCCCUUCAAGAUCAAAUGUCAAAGUUUGCUCUUUAUUAAUAAUAAUCGAUUUUUUUUUUUUUUGGGGGGGGGGGGUUAAAAUCUAAAGUAGUUUUGAAAUUUUAAUGUCAAUAAUGUAGUAGACAAAAUAAAAAUAGGUUUAUAUAUCUAUUGAGUUUUGGUAGUGUGAUUAAACCCAACAGAGCAAUUUGUCUAUGAACGGUGAAGUUGUAGCAUUAAGAUACUAAAUUAAAUUUGUUAUUCUUUUCCCACAAGUCUAACCAACCACUGUAAUCUUCAAGAUGGAGCCCAUAACGUUUGCAAUCCCGACCACAUAAUAUGAUUUAGGAAGGAAUUAUGCCAAUUUAUAAUUGAAAUUUAGUCUCUUAGGAUCCAAAUACAGCUCCCAAAGGAAAGUGAAGCAUGAAGUUUGUUUGUCUCAUCAUGCUUUUGACAAACCGACGAUCUAAGUUUUUUUAGCACUCUUCGAUGUUUAGAAAAGAAACAUACGGAUUUGUAUAUGCAUAAAGGCAAUUGUACUGUAAAUUACUUUGUAGAGAUUUUAAGCAAAGUACUUUAAAAACAUUGAUCUCUUCCUUAUGAAAUAUUACACACAAAAAGCCUUUAACUAAUGAUUGAGCAUGCAUGUUUUGGAUUGGUUAUGUAUGUUUUGGAUUUGAUCAUGCAUUUAACUAUUUGCUAGAUGUGUAUAAUAACGAUUAAAAUUUCCACUAAUGAAUUCUUUAUUUCUAAUUAAAAGAAAUCUUCUAACUAAUAAGUAUUUAGUUUAACAGUAAUAAUAAUGAAGAGUAUCUUUGUAUAUUAGAUAAACGUCCCUUGUGUUUAAGUAGUAAUAAUAAUGAAGAGUUAUUAUAAUUUUAUGUUUAUGUCUCGGUUGUGUCCUGAGUUUCUAGCUCGAUUACGCGUGGAGUUAUUUCAUGAUAUCGCAAAAAAAAAAAAAUGAAAUUAUGUUUUCUUAUAUAAGAUUUGAAUACAAAACACUAUUCAAUAAACAUUCGUACAUAUAUGUUGUAGUAUAGUGGUUUUCUAACAUAUAUUUUUACCUGUGUUGCCAUAAACUCCUCAACCACUAUUAUUAUUUUUUUAAUUUGCGCUCGAAAAAAUCUUGCAAACGUUAGACCGUGAAUUGUAUAGUCUAUAGAUGAACGUGCCAUAGUCUCCUUAAUAUGUUGUUUCGUAUAAACAUUAUACAAGAGCUAAUCAUCCUCAAGACGGCUAAAUGCAUAAUAUAUAUGGUGCUUUGCGCAUAAACCACAUAAUUUAUUAUUAAUAUAUAAAGCUUUCUUGUUCACGAAUUAUAAUUGGUCUUCUUUUGGUUUCCUGAUCCUCCAACAAAACCAUCAAAUGCUAUAGAUUUUUGUUGUUUUUGUUUUUUUGCCUUGAAUAUCUUAUUAAGAAGGCAAGAAAAGUGCUAUCUUUAUAAAAAAAAAUUAAAUAAAUGAUCGUUAGCAAAUCUUAAUGAAUGGUUCUCGCGCUCAGAAAAAAGGUUAUGUGCAGUAUAGUUGUCGUUGAUUACUCCUAUGGGGCUAAGGUUAAACAGUGAUGAUAGCAUUAAAAACGAAUCAUACCUAUAACCUAUAUAUAUAUAUAAUGUUACAUAAAACACCUACUCACUCACAAAUUAAAAUGUGGAUCAAUAAAGUUGGUUGGCUUGGUUGAAAGAAGUUCAUGACAAAAUAGAGGUUCAAUUAUUUCAAUACGCAUAUUUCUGUUUACGUUUUACACUUUGGAAAAAUAUCUUAUGAAAACUGAAAAUGUUUUUAUAUUUGAUUAAUAUACACUUUUUUUGAAGUUUUGUUGCAAAAGUAAGCAAUUAAGGUUUGGCCAAUGAGACUCAUUCCUUAAGAUUUUUCUUUGAUAUUUAAGUCAAAUUAUAAGUUUACAUAUAUUGUAUAGUGAAUGUUAUGAACAUUUUGAGAUAAAUUCUAACAGACAAACUAAUUUGUUCUUUACCCCUAAAUAGACACCUAAUUUGUUUUCUUACCCUAAAUAGUAAAUCGACAACUUUAAAUAAGUAGAAAGCAUAUGUUGAAGAUUUGCUUGGAGGAUUUCUUUGUAUUAACUAACCAAAACCAAAUAAAAUUAUAAAUAAAAUACUAUAUUUAUUUGGUGGAUGAUGAAAUGGAAUUCAUAGGGUCUACAAUACAAGCAAUAUAAUAGGCAAUAAUGUAAAAAUUAAAACUUUAAAAAGAGAAAAAGAGAAUUGGAGGAGAAAGAAGAAGACAUAGUUUUCUGAAACGAAAGAAAGAAAAUAACCCAUCACUGCAGAAAAAAGGUAUCUCUAUAUAAUUGAAGACAAUAUGAACCUAAUUGUCAACGAACUAGCCAAUGAGCCCAACUCCCCAAUCACCACCUCGACAUUCUAUCUUGGGGACCAUUUCUCCCUCUCUCUCUCUCGAAUAUCUUUAACUUGAAAUUGAGAUUAUCUAUCAUGGUGUAAAUAUCCGGUUUAUGCAAAAAUUGACAAAAAAAAAGAGAAGAAGUUGGAAAAUAGAGAUUCAUGUAUCACAUAUAUAGAGUAAUGAUUAAAUAUGUUUGUGGUGUCUAACCUUAUUUUUGCGGCAAUGGUGGUGGUUUAAUAUCAUAUUGUGCGCGCAUCAUGAUGCCAUUUAAACAGUUUUAAUGCCCAACUAUCUUCUUAUUGCAAUCUUCACGGCGAUUUACCUGUGAAAUUUAUAUUAGAAAAGAAUAUAUAAAAUGAAACUUUUGAGUGGAAAGUGACACUACAUUGAGACCUGCAAAAACUCGACAAGGCUGAAAUAAACAACUAAAAAGAAUUCACCCACAGAACAAAAAACCUUUACAAAGAAAAAAACCAAACAAUUUAGUGCCACUAAAAUUGAUAGAAUGUCAAUAAUGUUGCUGUACGGAAAGGGACUCACUUGGGGUCUACUGAAAUUCAUGCUCUUCUUUAUAAUUAGUGCAUUGAUCCUCUAGAACAAGAAAUGGGAGAUACUGAUCGGUUAAGUGUAGCCAUGAAGAGAUGGAAUUUUUUUUUUUUUUUGUGUCACUAGACUGAAAUGCACUGUCAUGCAUGUCUAUAUAGAGAAGAAAGAGUAUCUUAUAAGGGGCAGCAAAAAAGGUUACUUCUGUGUAUUUUGUCCACUACAGCGACCAAGGCAUCGUGAGCUACGAUUGCAAAAACAAAGGUGAAUUAGCCAAUGCCCCCAAUAAUUGGGACAAUGUAAUCAUGAAAUUAAUAUCAAAAAUAAGAAUAAAGCAAAAUAGAAUGUAACACUGCAUUAUGAAAAAAAGGAGAAGCAGAAAAAGGUGUAAUAAUGCUUAGACCACUGGUUUUCAUUGCACACAAAGGUCACAUAAGACAGAUACACGACGAAGGGUAGUUAUUCAUUGCAAAUCUACUGACAUAAUUGGUCACUGUAAACUUUUUGCUUCAUAGACUCGUUGAGUCAUUAUAUCCUACGACUAUAUUUGUUGGCUGCCACUUGAUAUUACUAAUAAGAAAGUAAAAAACACAAAGAGAAAAAAAGAAAAAGAAAAAGAUGAGCGAUAUCAGUCUAGAAAUUCAACACUCCUAUUCAAAUGAGCAAAAUCAUAACCUUUUUAUUUAUAGGCCAUUUAUUCGCGGUGCCUCCUUUGUUCAGACUGUCACUCGACUGCCCACAUUACAAUCUUCUUCAGCCUUUGCCCUCAUAUUUCCCGACUGUGUAAAGAAGGCCCCUACAUCUUUCAAUCACAUAACAAAAAGAACUUGGUGUUAUUGGAAGACACAACAUAUACAUACAUUAUCUUUAUUGCAAGUACCAACAGUUAUCUUUAUUGCAAGUACCAACAGUAGUAUUGAUAUUACUAUUUAUCUCCCUUUGAACUGUCCUUUUUUUUAUUUAUUAUUUUUAUGAUAAUUUUGAGCAAAGAGCACAUAUCACCCUCCAACUAAGGUCAAAUUAUCAUGACAAGGCUUUACUUGGUAUUUAUUUCAGGACCACCAAUAAGAACAUAAGCCUAGAAUCUUUUAUAUGCCCUUCAAUAUGUCAUGCUGAGAGUUGAGACUCUUUAAUGAGCAACACAAAGUUCUUCCACAUACAGAUGUAGGACUUUUCCUUUCUUAAUUGGGAAACUUAUGGCAAGAGAAGAUACACAUGAAUAGCACCGAUCAUGCUAGGAUGGAAACUUUUAUAAGCAAGAAGAUUAUUAUUUCUCCUAAGAAUCUGGAGCAAGAAAUUCUUGGUUACAACAUAUGUGUUUCAGACAGCUCUGCAUCCAUCCUGCAAGGAAUAGUAGCCAGUGUUGAUGUUUGGUCCUAAGUGGUAACUUAGUUCCAAGCUUAAUAGUCCAAACUCAAAUAGUGCAAGAACUGACAAGAUAAACUGAUGCAAAAAUGGUCCAAUAAAAAGAUCCAAUGAGGUCACUAGUCUGAGUAUAGAUGGUGGUGGGCAAGAUUCUCUUCCCUCAAACUGAGCUCAAGUACCAUGAGACCCAAGUAGGGGCCCUACUGUACAUGCUCUGAGAGUAAGCCUAGCCAAGAGACACAAUAAUAACAAGAAGAAAAAACUAUGCAGUAAAACAAAAGUUUUUACCUUUUAAGCAGGGAGAGAAUGUAUGUACUCGGGAUGUGAACUGUUAACCUCACAUAAAUCAAAGUUGAGAAAAAUAGGAAUUAAAACUACCUUUUUAGUAACUUCCUUCCUAUAAAAUAUGCAGAAAAAAAAAUAAAAAUGUGACAAAGAUAUCUUAAUUUACAGCAAGAGACAAAAAGUAAUGGCAAUCCAGCUACAUAGUGAACACAAGUAUAUGACUGUACCGCCCAAAACCUUUCCUUUAAAUUCCCCUCUCUACCUCAAGUUUACCUCUACUUCCUCCAUAUCACCCCGUCUCUCAGUCUUUUCAAUUUCUCUCAAGAAACUAGAAAUGGGAUUGGUCUCAUCCUUACGGUUUCGUAGACGAAACAACAAGACUUUUCUUAGAAUCUUCAUGAUCUUGGUUCUAAGCUGUAUACCAGGUAGAACCAAUCUUUGCUCCAAUCAUUCUGUUAGUACCCCAAUAGAUUUACCUCCUGGAAAUCCUUCAGAUAUUCGUUCCUUGCUAGAUUCACUAGAUUUGGAGGGUUACAUAAGCUUCGAUGAUGUUCACAAUGCGGCCAAGGACUUUGGCAACAGGUACCAGUUACCACCUUUGGCAAUUCUGCAUCCGAGGUCAGUUUCUGAUAUUUCAUCAAUGAUGAAGCAUAUAGUGCAUCUGGGAUCCACCUCAAAUCUUACAGUAGCAGCCAGAGGCCAUGGUCACUCGCUCCAAGGCCAAGCUCUAGCUCAUCAAGGUGUUGUCAUCAACAUGGAGUCGCUUCGAAGUCCUGAUAUCAAAAUUUACAAGGGGCAGCAACCGUAUGUCGAUGUCUCAGGCGGUGAAUUAUGGAUCAACAUUCUACGGGAGACUCUAAAAUCCGGUCUUUCACCAAAGUCCUGGACAGACUAUCUUCAUCUGACUGUUGGAGGUACUCUAUCAAACGCUGGAAUCAGUGGUCAAGCUUUCAAGCAUGGACCCCAGAUCAACAACGUCUACCAGCUAGAGAUUGUCACCGGUACUUCCUUCAUGCUAUAUCUCUAUGGUAGACUCAAAAAAUAUUUGCACCCUGUAAAGUAAAAUAAGAGUGUGUAAUAGCCAAUGUGCAAACAUGCAACGCACACUUGUAAUUUGCAGCAAAGAUAAAUAAACGAGUUCUAUUUCACAUGUUGAAUCAGGGAAAGGAGAAGUAGUGACCUGUUCUGAGAAGCGGAAUUCUGAACUUUUCUACAGUGUUCUUGGGGGGCUUGGACAGUUUGGCAUAAUCACCCGGGCACGGAUCGCUCUUAGACCAGCACCGCAUAUGGUAAAGUUCCAUCUUAAACAUGCCUAUUGGAAUAUGUAUAUAGUGUCUAAGCUUCCAGUUUUCUGACAGUGAAAUGCAUUUUUAAUAGGUAAAAUGGAUCAGGGUACUCUAUUCAGACUUCUCUGCAUUCUCAAGAGACCAAGAACAUUUGAUUUCAAAGGAGAAUACUUUCGACUACGUGGAAGGAUUUGUGAUAAUCAAUCGAACAGACCUUCUUAAUAACUGGAGGUCGUCAUUCAGUCCCAACGAUUCCACACAGGCAAGCCAAUUCAAGUCAGAUGGGAAAACUCUUUAUUGUCUAGAAGUGGCAAAAUAUUUCAUCCCAGAAGAAGCUAACUCUAUGAAUCAGGUAAGAUGUGAAAACAGUUUAUCUUCAGACUUAAACUUGACAAUCACUAUAGAUCAAACUGUUGGUUUCUAACAUAGCAGGAAUGGUUGCACUGCAGGAAACCGAGAAGUUGCUUUCAGAGUUGAAUUAUAUUCCUUCCACUUUGUUCUCAUCUGAAGUGCCAUACAUAGAGUUUCUGGAUCGCGUGCAUAUUGCGGAGAGGAAACUGAGAGCAAAAGGUUUAUGGGAGGUUCCACAUCCCUGGCUAAAUCUCCUGAUUCCCAAGAGCCGAAUAUUUGACUUUGCUACAGAAGUUUUCAACAACAUUCUCACAAGCAACAGCAACGGACCUAUCCUUAUAUAUCCCGUCAAUCAAUCUAAGUAAGUGAGCAAAAUGUCAAAAGGAAAAUUCUUCCAGUGAUUCAGAGAUAAUAGAUUACUAACCAUGUUCUAACACUUUGUGUUGCAGAUGGAACAAACGCACAUCUCUGAUUACUCCAAAUGAAGAUAUAUUAUAUCUCGUGGCCUUUCUUCCCUCUGCAGUGCCAAACUCCUCAGGGAAAAAUGAUUUAGAGUACCUUUUGAAGCAAAACCAAAGAGUUCUUAGCUUUUGUGCAGCAGAAAACAUCAAUGUGAAGCAGUAUUUGCCCCACUACGAAACUCAAACAGAGUGGAAAUCUCAUUUUGGCGACAGAUGGGAAACAUUUGCAAAGAGGAAAUAUGCAUACGACCCUCUGGCGAUUCUAGCCCCUGGUCAGAGAAUUUUCCAAAAGGCAACACAUUUAUCUCCCAUCCAACUUCUCUAAGCCAAAAGGCAACAUCCAGUCCUCAAAGGUGCCAAACAUCAGAGCUAUGAUACUGCCAAAACAUAGAACUGUAUAUCGCAAGCGCAAACUCAGCUAGGCAGAGAGAGAGAGUGAAAUUCUUUUUUUUUUUUGGAAAACAACGAAUUUUAGAGUGAAACAGACUGCGACAGUGUAUAGGAUCCAUACACUCCUACACAGUGUCAUUAUAGCAGGAAAUAGCUGAGAUGAAAUGUUCCAAAAACUCUUAAAACAUUCAGCAGAAUCUGUUUCUAGCUUCCCAACAUGUAAAAAUAUCAUUUUUUUUUUUUGCUACAACAUCUUCUCUAAGACCCUAACACAUAUCCAUUGCAAAAGGAAUCUACAAUAUUGUUCUAUAUACAACUCCUGAAACAUCUGGAUCCUAUUGUCUAGUCUAAGCAUACAAUCGACAACAACUAAAAUUGAAAGUCUUUAAAUCAAAAUUUAAAAUGCAAAAGCGAAAUCGAUUAAGCUACAAUUGAAUUUUAUGGAGCCGCGGGAGAAUCCGGAUCUGAUCCCAUCUCGUUUAUUGAACCAAGCUUCAAUUUUUCGAUCAAUUAUAUAAUCUGCUACAACCAUCGUGUCCACGAUUAAACUUAUCUCUCGCAAAAUCGCAGAAAUUUGGCGCCUUUCCGCCAUGAAUGAAUAGCCCCGAGCAUAGAAGCUUUUUGUUUGUGAUUUCAAAAUUUCACUUCGUUUGUCACGAGUGAAGUAAUUAUACACACGUGUGUAUAUAUACAGUAUGUAUAUUUUAUUUUAUUUGAUGAGGGCGGUCAGGCGAAGCAGAGACGCUCCUGGGAAUGGCGAAACAAAGUUUGGUAAUAAUCAAAAUCCCAAAAACCCUAAACUGUUGAGAGACACUCUACGCACAUUCACCUGCUUCACCUCAGCACGCAAGUAGAUUCGUUUCCUCGAUAGAUUCUUUUCUAAAGCCCUAAAAUUUCAAUUUUUGAUUUUGAAAGUAUCGAAUAAUGUCUCCUCCGGCGGUGGAGAUUGGGUCUCCGGUUGAAACGGUUUCUCCUUCGCUAAACCCUGCCGGUGAAUUCUUCUCCGCAUUUUUUCCGGAGAGUGUCCACUCUCGCGAUCAACGAAGCAUGCACGCUUCUUCCUCCUCCUCUACAGAACCUGGUAUCGGGAAUGGAUUCCAAUUCGGGUUCGGAGCUGGUUCUGGACAAAGUACCAAGACUCGAUCGAAGCCGAGGCUGGUCAAACUGAGGAAGAACGGAAGAAAAGUGAAAGGAACCUCUCUUUCCGGCGAUAUCCUCUCGGGUUUCAAUCCAUUUGCGCCGCCCAGUAAAGGUAAGUUGUGUUUUUUUCACAUUUAAGCCGUAAUUUGAUUUUCUUUGCAGAUUCGGUUUAUUGGAAUGUUUUGGUGUCUGUAGGUAGUCUCCAUAUGAAUAGUGGCAAUGAUAGAAAUGAUGGCGAGUCACCUGGGGAUAAACAUUUUGUCUUUGGGGCUAAUGGGAAUAGUUCUGGUGCAAAAGGUUCUAGUACUGGUAAUGCCCCAUCGUCUGAUGAGGAGGAAUUUAGCACACCUAUAGGUGACUAUGACUUGGGUUCGGAAUCCACUAAACAGCAUUCAGAUGGAGGUUUAGGAAAGCUUGGUAAUGAUAUUCCGGCAAACACCAGGCCGUGUAAUGAAAGCACACCUUGUGGUGCGGGAAAUGGGUUUGAUAGUGGUGAAAAUGGAAGCUGGAAAGAUGUCCAGAAUCCAGGUGCGUCUGAGGAGGUUUUUCGAGGACAGAAUGACAUAGACAAGAAUGCAUCGGAAAGUAAAUCUUGUUAUGAUACUUGUAGAAAGUCUAACAGUGUGCAAAAUGCUCAUAGUGAAAGUAUAGAUGAUUCUGAAUGGAACCUGCGUGCUGAGAUGGAGAAACUUAACAUCAGUGGUACCAGAGUUCAUGGUGGCAACGGCUAUGAGGAAGCAAGAAAAUCCAGUAACGCGCCUGCAUUUGUUUUUGGUAGCUCUGGAAAGGUUGAUGCUGAAUGCAAAGAUGUGGCAACACCAGGGCCAUGCGCUUUCAGCUUCAAUGGUUUUCAACAAAGUGAUAAUGCAGCGGAUAAAAGACCUACUUAUCAUUCUGAUACCACCAACAUAAACAACCUAACAAGCACUACCUUUAAUACAAGAACAGCCUUUGACGAUUUCAAAGUAGAUCCUUCUGUGCUUAAGAACAGUCUGUUUCCAGAAGUGAGCAAAAAUCUAGUACAUUCGCGAAGAAAUCGUUUAUCCAAGGACAAGAGAUCUAAGAAAGACAAGGAAAAAAUGAAACAGCAGGGUCCAAAUCGAUGUAACGAUCAGGCCUCUGUGGGAAUUCAGUCUCAAGAGAAACGAAGCUCCCCUGGAUGUGGCUCACCCAUGGAUUUUUCUCCUUAUGAAGGCGAGAAAGCCAGCUAUCAUUUUCCAACAGAAACUCCUCUGACAUCAAUUGAUCCCUCACAAUCGAGAGAACAUGUAAAUUCCCGCUCUAGCAAUGACUUCAAGGUUGCCUCAGCCAGGGAUCAUGUAAAUAGUUGUAUGCCGGAAUUUUCUUUCUCAGCUUCCAGUUCUCAGGGAAAAAUACCAAAUAAAAAGCUUGCAGCUGUAAGGAAAUAUAAGAGGAAAGUUAAUAACAGUUUUCCGAAAAACAAUCUUAAUGCCGCCAAGCAGAACAAUCAAGAGAAUCAACCUGUGAAUACAGGUCAAGCUACACAGGAGUCAGGCUUUGCAUCUGCGAUGCCUGAUGCAUGUGAGGUUUGGCGACUAAGGUAUCAUAUACUAUCUCAAGAACUUCCACACUGGUGCUUUUUGAAUACUUUAUAACAAUUGAGAGAAGUAAUGUUUUGUAUCAGGGGAAAUCAAGCCUACAGAAAUGGUGAUAUGUGUAAAGCUGAGGAAUGUUACACACAUGGUAUUAAAUCCUCCCCGUCAAGUGAUAAUUCAGAAUACUUCAUAAAGCCUCUUGCGCUUUGCUAUGGCAACCGCGCAGCAGCAAGAAUUUCUCUUGGAAGAUUGAGGGAGGCUAUAAGCGACUGUGAGAUGGCUGCUUCACUUGAUCCAAGCUACAUUAAAGCGUAUAUGAGAGCUGCAAAGUAAGUUUAAGGUGUACUUUUCUCGAGUCAAUUUGUUCUUUUAGCUUAAGCUCUACCUCCUCUUGACACCAGCUAAGGUUUUAGAUCGAUUUUGCCAAGCAAGUGUAAAUUCUAGCAAUAACGAUCACACUAUGUAUCUAGUAAAAUUGAUGAUAUGUUAAUUAGUGGAAUUGAUUUAUUCUCUUUUAUUUUAUGUUUGUUGUAGCUGUCAUCUUGUGCUGGGGGAACUUGGAUCAGCAGUGCAGUAUUUUAAUAAAUGCAUGGAAUCCGCCUCUAGUGUCUGCUUGGAUCGACGAACUACUAUAGAAUCAGCUGAAGGUUUACAAAAGGCUCAAGUAUGCAUUCUUUCCUCAGCUAGAUCAGUAUUAUACCAUGGUCUACUCAAAAUAAUUUAUGCGUUAUCAGUUUGGAUGUCAUAUAUCGGAUUUUUGUUCGUGCAAUAGUGUUCUUAAUCAGCACAGAGGUCUUUUGAACCAAAAAAAAAAUCAGCACAGAGGUCUGUUAAUGUCUAAUUGAACGCUUAUUUACUUUACUUACCGGCAGGAGGUAGCUGAGUAUACCAACUGUGCAUCCAUAUUUUUGGAGAAGAGAACACCCGAUGGUGCAUCUGACGCAUUGGUUCCAAUUGCAAAUGCCUUGUCAAUUAGUUCAUGCUCAGAUAAAUUGCUUCAAAUGAAGGCGGAGGCCCUGGUUAUGGUAAGUCGUCUUUAUAGUUCAGUUCUCAAAGUUGAAUUAUGCUUUCACUGAGCAUGACGUUCCAUGUCAAUUUUGCAGCUCCGACAUUAUAAAGAAGUGAUUGAGCUUUGUGAGAAUACCCUUGAGACGGCUAAGAGGAAUACUGUUUCAGCAGGGAUUGGUGGCAUCACAAAUGUUGAUGGAUUACAGUCUACGCAUCACUCACUAAUAGUUUGGAGAUGGAACAUGAUUUCCAAGUCGCACUUUUACUUGGGAAACCUUGAGAUGGCCCUUGGUAUAUUAGAAAAGUUACAGCAAUUGGGAUCUAGCCACAACGAGUAAUCACUUUGUCUAUGUUGUGCAAUAAUGAACUUAUUGGUACGCGUGUUUUCAAUUUAUUUGUGAUCCUUGCUGAAAAUCUAUGUUUUGCUCGCUAGGAAUCAGGAAGACUGUCGUGAGUCACCGGCUUCUUUAGUGGCCACCAUUACUGAACUUUUAUGUUACAAGGUAUGCUUUAUAAUGAAACUGUGUGGUAUCGUGUUGUCUUUAUCAUCAACAGUUCUGAUCAAUCCUUCAUCACUCAUACUGCUGAAUAAAAAUGUUUUCUUUUUUGGUGGUUACAUUUACCAGAGUUUAUCCCUGUGAUUGCAGAACGCAGGUAAUGAAGCUGUUCGGGCAGGAAAGUACAUGGAAGCAGUAGAGCAGUACACUGCUGCACUAUCAAGAAAUGUUGACUCACGCCCUUUUGCAGCAAUUUGUUUUUGCAAUCGUGCGGCUGCUAAUCAGGCGUUAGUCCAGUUUACGGAUGCAAUUGCUGACUGUAGUCUUGCCAUGGCUCUUGAUGAAAACUACACAAAGGUAUAUGGCAUUUUUUUUCGCUUUCUACUCAUGAACAAACAAAUUUGUAUAUAUCUUUUCCCGCUUAGCUAAACUGAGCUUAUUCCAAGAUUUUUCUAGUGAUAUUUUUUAGACAAGGAGAAUGCAUAAUUUUUUUCCUUGAAAUGUGAUAAGGUACACAAAGCAGUAUGUAACCAUCAAUUUCAUGGAAUGAGGGUUCAUAAAAAUUUCAAUCCUACUUGUCCUUUCAUUUUCAGGCAGUUUCCAGGAGAGCCACACUACAUGAGAUGAUUAGAGAUUAUGAUCAAGCAGCUAGUGAUCUCCAGAGGCUUAUCAGCAUUCUCGUAAAGCAAAGUGAUGAGAAGAGAAAAACGUCAGAUACAUCUGCUGAUCGUGCAAGCAGCAGGAAAGAACUAAGGCAGGCCCGCCAACGGCUGUCUGUAAUGGAAGAAAAAUCGAAAGAGGGCAUUCCUCUGGAUUUCUUCCUCAUCAUGUAUGCUCACUUUUCACAGUGAAAGUGAAUUAUACCAUUAUAGUUUAUGCUUAUAUUCAUGCUAUCUUCUAUUCUCGUUUUGCUAAUUUGCAGGGGAGUGAAGGCAUCUGACUCUGCUGCUGAUAUCAAAAAGGCUUACCGCAAAGCAGCUCUUAGACAUCACCCAGACAAGGUUAUCUGUCUUUUUACUUGAUGACAAUGUUGCAAAACAGUAUUUUACAGGUGCUGAUAUUUCCUUUUUGAUGUGUAUUCAGGCUGCACAGAUUCUUGUCAGAAGCGAAAGCGAAGGACCAUGGUUGAAGGAGAUAUUAGAAGAGGUUCACAAGGGUGCAGAUAGGCUCUUCAAAAUGAUUGGAGAGGCAUAUUCAGUUCUUUCUGACCCAACUAAGGUUCGCUUUCUCUUAGCAAUUUCCGCUGACAAACCUUUUAACGUGAUUAUUGUUUGUCCCCUAUGAACACUUAGGAAUAGAAUGUCCCACGACUUUUCACUGAUCAGAUUUUUGUUUUGACAGAGGUCGGACUAUGAACUUGAGGAAGAGAUUAGGAAAGCGAGGGCAUCUAGAGAAAGUUACAGAAGCAGAGGAAACAGAAAGGCUGCAGAAGCAAGUAGCCCUCCAUAUCAGUCAAGCCCAAGCAAUCGAUACUGGAGGAACAGCGAGAGGACAUAUCGAAACACGCCUUCUUGGUGGUAGAACGCUAAAUUUUUCUUGGUGGCAUAACUCAUAAGCUAUAGGGAUCUGCUGGGUUACUCCCAGGUGAGUUAUUCCAGAGCUACUGAAGUAAGAUCAUAAUUCUCUCUGCUUUGCGUCAUCCUCGCAAGCUCUCACUUUAAGAGGCUAUUCAGUGGAAAAAAACCGUCCUUUGAUCCCUAAAAACGACAGAGACGAAGUUCCAAAGACGACGAUGAAAAAAGCAAGAUUUUUGAGAGGGGUUAUUUUGCCUCAUCUUUGUAUUUGUACAUUUAGUCAAGUAUUUCAUAAAAAAAAUGAUUUUACCCUCCACAUUCAGAUACAACUGUUGUAAGGCAGUGUCUUCUCUGCUCAAGUAAUUUGUUCUACUUCCAAGCGAUAAAACGUAAAAUAAGCAAAAGAGUUUUGAUUUUUAUGCAGUGUACAUAACACGCUUGCAGAGUUUUGAGUCCAAAAUUGGCCAUCUUAGAUAGAUAUCUGAGUUCUUGUAUCUUGUCGAAGGAGGUAUGAUGCUCAGCUGUUGCAACCCUCAGACACUUCUUUCAGCUCAAAUUAUUUGUUAACACAAAUUAAGGGGCUACAGGGUCUAGAUUUAGAGAUGAAGCAGAGACAAACUUUUUUAUUAUUAUCUUAGGCAAAACAUCACACAGACCAGUUAUUGAACACAAAACAUGACAAGUCCACUAGCUUUAUUGAUUGAUACUAACAUUUGGACAAAGCCAAAGCCGGAAGCCACGCAGCUGGACUGAGCUAGAGCUCAAGGGCUUGAGCAUGGUGGCUAAUGUGGUCUUCGAUGAAUGUGGCAAUAAAAUAGUAGGAGUGGUCGUAUCCUGGCUGCAUACGGACUAAGAGCGGCGCAUUCACCUUUUUGCAUGCCUCCUCGAACUUGUUGGGCAAUAACUGAUCAGGGAAGAACUGGUCGUUUUCUCCCUGCAUUAGAUGGAGUUUGACAAAUUUAGCAUUAACUUAACAAAUCAGUGUUUUGGUUCGCAAGGGGAUGCACACCACAUUCCCUUUAUGUUAGUAAGCUACAAGAUUGCCGACACAGUGAAGACGAAGAAGACCAUGAUGUAAAAGGGUUUUACCUGAUCAAUUAGAAUUGUGGCAGACAGAUCGUUGAACUUUGAAAUAAGACAAGUGGCAUCGUAUUCCUGAGAUUCAAGAAAAACGCAGAGAAUGAAAUCACUGUAGUGUGGUGGCUAAAUGCAUACCAAAAUAACUUUCUAAGGUUCUUCCUUUACCUCCCAAGCAGCCUUGUUGUCACCUAGAUAAUUGGUGAAUGCCUUCUGUCCCCACGGGCAAUUUAUGGGAUUGGCAAUUGGUGCAAACGCAGACACGGACUGAAAUUGCCACACAUACAAAAAUAUUUUUUAAGAAAAUGAUCAAAGAGUAAGAAGUUUUGAGCUGAAACAUGUUAUCCACACCCCAUUCUAAGUUCCAGACGUUGUACUCACAGCGCUGGAGUGUCACAAGGAAAGUCACAUAUGUCUUAACGCACAGAAUAACAUAAAAAAUACUGAAAUUAGUACCUUAUACUUAUCGAGGUUCUUCAGGUAAAUAGUAAGAGCUCCAUGUCCACCCAUGGAGUGUCCAGAGAUAGAUGCUUUUGCUGUGUCCAGCUGAGAUAAGUUUUCACUCAGGAGUUUUGGCAACUCUUUGACAAUAUAAUCAUACAUACGCCAGUUCUUCCAUUUCUCCUGUGUAGCAUUGAGGUAAAAUCCAGCUCCUAAUCAAACAGGAAAGAAAGAAAGUUUAAAUACUAGUAAGACCAAACCAAUACAACUUGUUCCGUAAAAGAAGUGUGCAAAGCAGAGGUAUGUAACGUUGCAUACCUACACCGAAGUCGUAACUGUCUGCUUCGCCUUCAAUAUUUAGUCCUCCUACAAUUAUCAAAACCAUCACGGAUUAGCAAACGAAAAGACAAUAAAUUUUUUGGUUUGUUUAAACAUCAAGGGAAGAUGAUAAACCAGAGUAAAACCAGGGCAAAUAAAACAAAUGAAAAUAUUGUGGCUCACUUGGAGAAGUAUCUGGAGAAACAAGAGCAAUGCCGUGGGUAGAAGCAGCACGUUGAGCCCCGGACUUGAUGAUGAAAUUCUCGUCUGUGCAGGUGAGGCCAGAAAGCCAGUAAAGCACCUGUCAAUCAACAAAUUCGAGAAUCAUUUGUCUAAACAGCCAAUUAGUGGGUUUGAGUAGCAUGAUUUUGAACGAAUCAAGGCAAUAAAAAAUCCAAAAACAAUCAUGCAAAACUAAAGUUUACUUCUUAGAGAUAUGAAGUAAAUAUGGAAAUUGGGACAAGUCACAAAAGAUGCCCCUACUCUUUGUCUUCAUAAGAUUAGCAAAGAUAAAAGAGGGAAAUUGAGACAAGUCACAAAAGAAGUUCGUACUCUUUGUCUUCAUAAGAUGAAACUAAUACGACCAGACAAAGAAAAAGAAGUAUCGAGGUGGAGCUGAAUAAUGAAUUUUUCCCAACAACAUAAAUGAAUCCUAUUAUACUGUAGAUAAAAAAAAAAUCAAAUCUUUAUAUAGGAACCCGAAUCGAAAUAACUAAAAUAAGAAAUGAGAUCAGACACUAAUACGAAGAUAAAGGAGGAUCACAUACAGGGAACCUUUUGGAAGAUGAGGGAGAAGGAGGGAAGUAGACUGAGAAAGUCAUGGAACAUCCGAGUGUUGGGCUGUGGUGUUUGUAUCUUUUGUUGUAGCCAUCGAACAUCUUCGUGCUUCCGAUCUCGCUUAGCCCAGUAUCCAUUAUCUAUAUCUCUCUUUUUCUCACUCACUCACUCUCUCUCUCACUCUGCAAAUUCCGGAAGAAAGAGCAGAUGAUGCAGCGGAGAAGGAGAAGAAGAAGAAGAAAAAACGAUCGAAGGAGAGAGGUUUAUCGCUUUCUACAGUGGACAAGAGCCCACUGAAAAUAUUUCCACAUUAACCCAUUAGCAGCAUAGCCCAUUAAGCAAGCCCACCUGAGUAAUAAAGUCAAGAACCUCUCUACCGACCAGAGGUUUCGAUUUCAUUAAAUACGAAAAAAAUUGUAACGUGUGUGUGUUAGUGUAGCUGGACUUUUUUUUGUUAUUUGAAGGCGGAGGAGGUGCUGCCCAACUGUUCUUACAACUAUGAUUUGUUAAUGUUAUUUUUGUUCUUUUUUUUUUCUAGAUAAACAUAGAAAUCGUGAUAAGUAAUAUGUUAAAAACCAUCAAUCUUUAUCUUCUGAAAACCAUUGUGUAAAUAAAUGGACACUAGACAGACAAAAGAAACAUUGACGGAAAAUAAAUAUACAAAGAAAAUUAACCGUCUAAACUGCGUAGACGUCUUUGACAAAAAGUUGGAUUUUUGCAUGAACCGAUUCGAUUAAAAUCCGGGUACGUUCGAGUUAUAGAACACUGGUAAAAGAAUAAAAUAUAUCAGGGGAAAUCAAUUUCAUUAUAAAGUGUGUUUUUGUUAGGUGAUCAAAUCAUUUAUAUAUCAAAUCACAAGCCAGAUAAUGCAUGAAUUAUUUUGUUUUUUUGUUUUUCCUUUGCGGCGGUCCCAUUUAUUUAUCUUCUUUAUUUAUUAACUUGUGUAAAUAAAUAUAUACAUGUGAUUGUGUUUCGGUGUCUGAUAAAUGCUGGUAUAACUAAAAAUUCACCAAAAAGUUGUUCAGAUUGAAAAUCCAAUACACCCCGAAAAAUGGAUGAGAGUGUAAAGAAAAUGAAGAGACUAACUAAUACCAAAAAAAUGGUAGUAGUGUUUUUCUUGAGCCAUUAAUGACAGUGUACGAAGUUAGGCACCUUCCCUUAAAUACAACACUUUAAAGCAAAAUUAAACAAAAAAAAAUAAAAAAAAAAGUCUUUCCCUUUCCUCAACUGUACCCAUCAAUGCUUAUGACUCCAUUCCUCUCCCUUGCACAAAAGCUUGCCUCUGUAUUUAAUUUAACUCUUAUCAAAUUUUCCUUAUCUGCAUGCAAGUUUUAUGAUUUUUGUGAGUAGAUAUAGAUACUCAAUAUUUUGUCAUGCGUUUAUUUUUCUCUCUUGAUUUGGCAAUUCUCGUGAGUUGAUUUUGGAUUUAGAUAUAUUUCUUUAUAGUUGCCGACACGAAAGGUUUGUUCUUGACUUGUACUUUGUUUACGAACUUUCUUUUUUUUCUUGUUUGUUCUUGUUGGGUAGAUGAACAACUCAAGACGGAGCUAACAAAGUUUGUUUUGUAUUACCAUAAAUUUCAUUUAUUUUAUUCCAUAAUCUUUCUCUGGAUUUCUUUUUUUUCUGUCCGCAUUUCGUCAGGUUGCAGCAUUAUCUAUUUAAAGCUUUUUUCGGUAUCUAUUGCAUUAAUGUCCGGUUUUUGAUUUCCAUUUUUGUGUUAUGUGGCAGAAGAAGCUACAACAAAAAAAAAGAACAUAAAAACCUCAAUUUGUUUGGUGAGAAAAUUCUGAGUUAGCGAACCAAGAAAAUCUUAUUCUUUCUGAGCAAGAAGCUGAUUGGUAAUGCCCAAGUUGCUCUUCUUCUUCUUCUUCUUUUUUCUAUCAAAUCCUACUUGAUUUCUUUGUUCUCUAUGAUCCAAACCCAUAUAUAAAUCUAUAGAGGAUUACAUAAAACUCCAAAAAACCAUUUCUAGACAUUGUUCAUUGCCUUUGGUUUGUGUUGAAUUUCUCUGGUGUGGACUAAGAAAAUGGUGGGAAGCAUUGAGGCCAAGAGCCUGCUAUCAAACGGGUCUGUUCAACAUAAUGGUCUUAAUCUGGAGGAGAAACUUGAUGAUUUUCGUCGUCUAUUGGGGAAAUCAGACAAGGAUCCGUUGAGGAUUGUAAGUGUUGGAGCUGGUGCUUGGGGAAGUGUUUUUGCAGCACUUCUGCAAGAAAGCUAUGGAAGUUUCAGGGAUAAGUUUCAGAUCAGAAUAUGGAGAAGAGCUGGAAGAGCUGUGGAUAGAGCAACAGCUGAACAUUUGUUCGAAGUGAUCAAUUCUCGGGAAGAUAUCUUGAGGAGACUGAUAAGACGCUGCGCUUAUCUGAAAUACGUCGAGGCAAGGCUCGGUGAUAGGACGCUCUACGCGGAUGAGAUAUUGAAAGACGGGUUUUGUCUUAACAUGGUUGACACGCCGCUUUGCCCUCUCAAGGUUGUGACAAAUCUGCAAGAAGCUGUGUGGGAUGCUGAUAUUGUUGUUAAUGGAUUGCCUUCAACAGAGACACGCGAGGUGUUUGAAGAGAUUAGCAAGUAUUGGAAAGAGAGAGUUACGGAUCCGAUUAUUAUAUCUCUGUCAAAGGGUAUUGAAACUGCUCUUGCACCAGUUCCACAUAUCAUUACUCCAACAAAGAUGAUCCAUCAAGCAAGUAAGCUUCUUCUUCUUCUUGAUGUUACCCUUUGUAUUGAGUAUCUUGCUUAGUUCUGAAAAAUGUUAAAACUCUUUCUGGAAUUGGUUCUCAAUUUUUGGUGUUUGUGGUAUCAGCUGGUGUGCCGAUUGAAAAUGUGCUGUAUCUUGGUGGACCAAACAUUGCUGCUGAGAUUUACAACAAGGAAUAUGCAAAUGCUAGAAUCUGCGGAGCCGAGAAAUGGAGGAAACCACUAGCAAAGUUCUUGAGACAACCUCAUUUCAUUGUUUGGGACAAUAGUGAUCUUGUGACACAUGAAGUAAUGGGAGGUCUCAAGAAUGUGUACGCCAUUGGAGCUGGUAAGUUUCUGCGUGUACACUAGGAUUUAAGUGAUUCCCUCGGCUUUUCACGCAUUGAUCCUACUCGUUUGUCUUUCCAGGAAUGGUGGCAGCGCUUACUAACGAGAGCGCUACAAGCAAAUCGGUGUACUUUGCUCAUUGUACAUCAGAGAUGAUAUUUAUAACACAUUUACUAGCAGAAGAACCUGAGAAACUUGCAGGGCCUUUGCUAGCUGACACUUACGUGACCUUAUUAAAAGGGCGUAACGCGUGGUACGGUCAGAUGCUCGCCAAAGGGGAGAUAAAUAGAGACAUGGGUGAUAGUAUAAGCGGGAAGGGAAUGAUUCAGGUACUCCAUUCUAACUGAGAACAAUCCUUGAAAGAAGUUUGAUGAUUUUGUUGUCUAUCAUGCUUAUGUGUGAAUGUUGGAUUUUUGUUGAAUAGGGUGUUUCUGCAGUGGGAGCGUUUUAUCAAUUGCUUAGUCAGUCUAGCCUAAGCAUAUUGCACUCUGAAGAGAAGAAACCUGUAGCCCCAGUUGAAUCAUGUCCUAUUUUGAAGACACUUUACAAGAUACUUAUCACAAGGUAAAUAUAUGAAAUCUGAAGAAAGUUUCUACGUUUACAAAAAUUUGAUAGACAAAAAAAGGUUUGAUUUUUUUCCCGAGGGUCUGAUUUGGUGUGACAUGAUGGGAAAUCAGAUUUCUAGUUUACAUGAAUGUCUUGGAGUUUGUGAGACAUUGAAGUCAUCAGAAACUUGCUUCUUUGAUUCUCUAAUGAAUUCUGUUGUUCAAUUUUGUGUCUGGAUAUUGCAGAGAACAAUCUACACAAGCAAUUCUGCAAGCAUUAAGGGACGAAACAUUGAACGAUCCCAGAGAUCGUAUUGAGAUUGCACAGAGCCAUGCAUUCUACAGGCCUUCCCUUCUAGAUCAGCCUUGAUUAAGUCCAUGGCUCUCUAUAAUCCAAACUUGUUUGUUCUGAUUACGAAAAGAUACAACAUGAACUACUUGUGCAAACUGUAGAUUCUUCUGCGGUGAAACAUUAUAGCUUUAAUGGAAGGGGUAGUUUCACUUGUGUCAUGUCUUAUUCUUAUUCAGUCUCUAGUCAAUACGAUCCUUGUACUGUAUCCUUUUCUUUAUGAUCAAUAAAGGCUUUAUUUGCUCAAAUGAUUUACUGAAAGAAAGAAGAAAAAUCCUUUUUUUUUUCUUUUACUACGCAAAUAUCAACUUCAGUAUCCCAAUAAGCAUUCUAACUUUAGACUAUCCUGAAACGACUCUAAAAGCCAAGCAAGCUCCGUAUGGUUAUACAAGCUAAUGGUAGUACCAUCGAGUCCAAAAAACAAAGAGGACUGUUCUGUAAGGUCUAAUGUUAACUAUACCAGUGAGAUCGGUUAUGACUCCAUUUUCUGCUCUGUACAAUCGGCUGGCUGCAAGUUUAGCUGGUUGAUUAUCUGUUGAAGCAGAUCUUCUUUCUUGAGCUUAGAGUAAUGUGUCAUUUUCAGCUCCUUUGCUAUGCUUCUUAACUCCUUGCCUGUCUUGUUCUUCAACUCGCUUAUUGAGGUCACUGAGUCACCCAUGGUCUGCCCAUCUCUUUGUCUAAUUCGUUCUAUCAACUCCGAUGUUGAAUCUGAAAGCUGUGCUGGAACACUUGAACCCCUGCUGAGUUUAGAAGUUGACUGGGUUGAUUUUUUAACUGGAUCAAUAUCAAUCUCACCAGCUUCACCUCCUACUUUCGGCUUGGUGUUUCUGAUAAAACUUGUGUUCAUGCCUUUAGAUUUCCUCUGUCCCUUCUUUGUUAGGUCUGGCCCAGGCUUCAACAGUGCAUUGCUCUCUGCCUUUUGUCUUGCCACGGUAGGCGAGUUUACGAUCAGCUCGUCUUUAACAGCAGUCUUCACAGCUUCGGACUGUGAACUUUUGAUUCUAUCAUCACAUGGGGUUUCUCUGCCUUUCUCCGAUGCAUCACACAUCUCUAAGCGAGACUCUGUGGUAAAAGGUUCAGAAGAAGUUUCGAUUUCUUGCUGCUGAUCCUUCAACAUUUCUCCAUCUUCGUUUGUAGCAUUUGCCUUUUCUCUCACCUUCUCGGUGGUCUCUAAACCCAAUGGCUUCAAAGUAGAACCUCCAAUAUUCUCUCGGCUUAGCUCAGAUAGAGAUCUGUUCUCGGGGGCUUGUUUUAUAGGAUCAAACACUUGGUCAGUAACCAAGGAUGAAGGAGAAUGUUCCUCCGCUUCCUCACUCUUGCUUGCAAACACAGGGCUAGAAGAGAUAUCUGCAUCUUCUGCAACCUUUCCCUUUAAAAAAAAAAACACAGAAUUUUCACUACAAACAUCCGAGCUGCUCGUUUAGGUCUUUAGAACAAGAAGCACAAAACAAGAUUCCCAUGGAUGCAUGGUAAUGGAUUCAGAAAAGAAGCAAUCUUUACAUACCUCCUCAACUGUUAUUGGGUCAUUUGCUGAUGUCUCCUGAGGCUUUCUUGUUUCUGGGUCAAUUACUUGAGUGUCGUUACUAGAAUCUUUUGUCUCCUUAGUUUGAGCAUCACUGAUACUGGAUGUGUUUUCAUCCUCAUCGAGAGCCGAUUUUGCAGAACUUGUGUCAGCAUCUGGAGAAAUAGCACUGAGGGUCUUGUCCUGUUGAACACAUAACAGUAGUAGUCCUCAUCAAUCAGUGAACACAAAUCACACACAAGAAAGCCAGAAACUUUCGUGCAAAUUCCGCAAAUAACAUCAAAUCAGACUCUUACCGAAUCAGAAGAGACUAUUUCCGGCGAGUCACCGGCUCCAGAGGAAGCCAUAUCCUUUUGAAGCGAAUCCGAAACCUUGUCAAGCUCAUUGCUUUCAGUAUCUUGCUUCUUUCCGUCCAAUAUACGCCGCACUUGCUCACAGUAUUUUUCGUUCUGGUACUCUUCUUCGAGCACAUCUAAACACACCAUGGAAACCCAAAAAGCAAAAACCGAUUGUUCUCAAAGAGAAUCACAGUGAUGAUAAAGAUUCAAAGCAACCACAAUUCUCAGUCGAACCUGUUCUGGGAUCAAACCAGAAUUCAUAACCACGUAAAGGCUUGAAAGGGGGCUCCUCCUGCACAACUAAAAAAAGAAAAAAAAAAAAAAAAAAAAACAACAAGCAUUAUGCACAAGACUACAAAGAUUAUAAAACCAUAUAAGAACAUGACGAUUGAUAAAAAGAAAAAAACAAGUACCAGGUGGCGGACCCCAGAGAUCAUCAUCAUCAUCCAUGGUAAAGAAAACUGAAAGCCGCAAAAUUCAUCCUGUAAAAACCAACAUUUUCCUCCCACAUUAUAAAAUUCCGAAGAAAUUCUCACUUAAGAAGCAAUCUUUCACCAACCUCGAAACAAAAUGCGAGAAGAAACAACAAAAUUUACAGGAAGAUGAAGCGAGAGAGUGAAAAGACUCUAAACCAUACCGGAAAGAAACAAUCCCGCGGAAAAGACGAGAAGGAGUACGCCGAUCAAUGUUCUGAAGUUUAAGUGGGUUUCUAGGGUUCGGAGAAAGGUCGGCGAGAGAAUUUAGUGAGAAAGAGAGAGAAAAAGGCUGGGCAGUGAAAGCGACGAACACUCUGCAAAUAUAGAGAGAGAGAGAGUGAGUGUAGAGAGAGAGAGGUCGGUUAAGUGGUGAACGGGGAGGCUACAAAUGGUAAACCAACGGAGGCGCGUGGAGGGAAAAAAGUGUUCCCCGUUUCGCCGGUUUAGAAAAUCGUGGGGACCCACCUCAAAACUGAAAUCUCAACCGUCAGAUUAAUUGACUUUUCUUUGACCAUAGUCUCCGUUUGUACAGCAUGGCAAAUGGGGAUAAUGUUCGUGUGUAUACGAGUUACACGUAUGCUCUCAGAUGAUUUAUUCUUGAUCCAACGGUUAGGAAACAAUGACGAGUCUUAAUAAUAAAAUCUCGAAUGGCAAAACCGUAAUAAUAUGGAAAGGGUCCCGCGAGACUUGGGUUAUAUAUUUUUCUUUAUUGAACUGACAUCUGAGAACGACGUCCGUACAUUUGUUGCUUUUCCCAAAGAUUUUCUCUUCCGCGUGACAAAGAUUACAUUAAUAAUACGAUUAAGUAAAGGGUUUUAAAAAUAAAGCGUUUUUACUUCCAGAAAUAGAAACUAUCGUGUUGAAAGGUCCUUAAAAAGUUUAUGUUUUAAGGAACUUUUCGUAUAAUAUAAGCACUUUUUAAAAAA